rnacentral:lncRNA from 1 species
AAGGAACAGAGAUGGUAUUCUGAAAGGGAGGAUCCACCAGAUUAUAGCGCAAAGGGUCCUUAUUUCCAUCGAAAUUCCCAAAUCCCCAUCCAACAACAUAGAAACUGUAUCCAUGGAGAUGCAUGGGGUGGUGUGUCGCUGCAAGCACAUUUGUCCCUUGAAAAACAAUCUCCACUGUGGAGUUAUACUCGAGCACCCUUACUUCUGUUCCGCUGCUCGGCAACUGAUAGAUUAAUGGAAGAUAAUCAGCUGUAAAAUCGAACACCAGUGGUGGAUCACUAGGAAAUUUAUCUCCAUAUACACCACUGAUGUUAUAAUAGUAAGCUUGCAGUAUGUCAACUGUAGGGGUAUGGAAGCUUAUGUUGUUUAUACUUGAGGAGAAUCGCGUCCCAUUGGCCCCUGCACAUGAAUUAUUGACGCAUGGGUACGAGUUUACAGAAACAGUGUAAAUCAGGUUAGUGCUCGUGCUCAAUGGGACAUUGCAAGGAUGUUCCGCAUUUGCUAAGCUUCGGAGGCCGGCCAUGACCUGAACGGAUGCAUUUGUGUCAUUGUAUGCAGGAAGAUAAGGCAAGGAGGGAGGUGAAGAUGGAGUGUAGUAUCCGUUGUAUUGUACAAUAGCUGUGGUGGUUGUGUUAUCAUAAAAGUCUUGAUAUUUCGGGGCAACAGAAUAAGUUAUAGCCGCCAUGUAAUAGUGAUCCGGGCGUUGGUUAGCUUCUAGUAAGACAUCAUAGGUUUGGCCAGGAAAUAUUGUGAUAAAAUCUCGUGUCAAUGGUUUCGUGUAGCUACCAUCUGUUCCAACCACUGUCAUUUUAUGCUUGUCAAUGGAGAAGAAGAGAGCCUCAUGCAAGGCAGCAUUGAUUAUGCGAAGUAGAUAGGUCUUUCCAUGAUCCACCGUUAGCUUGAAUGUGUCUGCAAUUAGAGAGGGAAAGUUGUAUACUUAUGACUAGCCAAAAGAAAAAGAAAAAGUUUCCAUGAGGAUCCACUAAUUAUGAAGGGAUUGAUUGAUGAGGGGUGUAAAUUUGGCUCCAUAGUUCAAAAUUAUAUUUGGACUAGCCUUUUUUUGUGUUUUAAAUCAUGGCUCUACCAUCCUCAUAGCUAUAUUCCUCUUUCUUAGCAUUAAGCUUUAAAUAUGUUGAUGUUAAUAAGAAAAAGUAAUAUGGCUAACAUAUAAGAAAAUGAAAUUGUGUACAAUUUUAAAAUGGGAAGUUAAACUUUGUACCUGAUUUUGAGCAUGGAUAUAGAUCACCGGGUUGUCCAUUUAUCAAUAAAGCAUCAGAGGGGUCGGGGUCACCUCCGGUUGCAAGCCCUUCAUCUCGAACCGCAUUCACAUCAUUCUUCCACCAUUCUCCUGCAUUUCAACAACUUCAAUAAUUUUAGAUUUUGCUUUGUUGGUUAAUUCAUAAUAUGUAAAUUAACCUUUAAAAGUAACAACACUUAUACCUAAUAUGAUAGGGACCUCUCUGUCAGGUUUGUGAAAAGGAUACUUGGUUCCAUUCUUGGGAUAGAUAAUUAUAGCUCCAUGAACAGUGGCUCGGGUCCAAUCACUGUGAGCAUGCCACCAUAGAGUGCCUUCUUCAGUGGAAAGGAUGAUCUUCUGUGUAAACUUUGACCCUGGCCGAAUUGGGCAUUGUGUGAUAUACUCGGGACCAUCUGUCCAUGGAUAUCUAGGCAUGGUCACCCCAUGCCUGCGAAACCAUAACUAUACGUUAAAACUAGUACUAAUUUUCAAAGUAACAAAAGAUGGCAUGCAACAACAUAUUAUCAUAGUAACAAGAGGCAUCAAUUGUAUUUCAAUGGAACUAAAGCAAAUAACCUUAAAGUAUUGUUUUAAAUUUGACUUUAUUUUCAAAGUUAUAUAUUGUAGCCCCCUCUUAGAUAUAAAAGAAUGUAUGUCAUGCAAGCAUGCUACCACUGCUCUUUCUUUGAGACACGCACAGGACCUACCAAUGAAUGGUGAUGUUUUCGUUUCCCUUGUUAUAAACGUCGACAAUGAUCGUCUCUCCUUUCGUAGCAUAUAUGGUUGGUCCCGGAAAUUUUCCAUUUACUGUUAAGAUGUUCUUGGUGCUACAAAGCCUUUUAUAUGAAGCUUCCCUCACCUGCAACCAAUUAAAAGUUAGCCAUGCAACCUCAUCCCAAAAGAAAUAUUACAUGCAUGAAUAGUUGUAUCGAUCCAUUCAUGUAAGUGUAUAACCAAUUAGAAAUUGAUAGCAUGCAUGAAUGACUCAACGACACCAAGGUAGUAGGUCAUAUGGUACGAAAUGAGAGCCAUACCACUCCCUAAAUAUCAUGAUUACAAGGUGGCGUUAAGGCCAGAAUCAUAUAUAGAAUUUACCACAAAAGUAAGCCGACGGGUCGAAGCUUGGCAAUGGAUUCCACCACCAAAAACUAGAAACGCUAAAAUUUGCAGGAGGAAAACCUUCAUGAUCAGCCACAUUUUCCUUGGAAUAAAAGCCUCUUCUCUUGUCCUAAACACAACUCCUUCAAUUCUCUUACUGCUUUUGAUGUAUUUCUUUCAUAUAUGGUUCAUUAUAUAGGCAUGGUAAUUCUCUCGGGAUACAAUACGUGUCAAUAUAAGAGGAAGUGAUUUGAAUGUGUAUUGGUUUUCAAUGUUCUUUCAGGACGACUUCAAUGAGCAGGACCACUUCAAAAAUAAUUAAUUACGUACACGUUAUUGAUUAUUUUAGAAUAUUCUUUCAAAAGUCUUUUAUUGAUUAUUUCAACAAAUUUUAAUUAAUUAAAUAUAUGUAGAAUAAUUUUAAAACUUUGACUUCCCGUAUGAGUACAAUUUGUCAUGAUCGUUGGUGUAGAUAUAAAAAGAGACUAAAUUAAAGGAUUUUGAAAAUGUGUCGACAAGAACAUCAUUGAAAAAUUUGAAGGUUCCAAUUUUGUGGGUCAUGCAAUUUAUUGGACACUGAAUGGAUAAACAAGCCACGCUCUCCACUUAUUUUCUUUCAAUAUAUAAGCCUUGUACGUGAUGUUGGUUGACUAUUAUGAUAGUAAAUUCGGGAGGAUGUUUAAAUGGACGGGCAAGAUAAGAAAUAGAUUUUCUAUUAAGAUAUUUGAAUGGAGAUGAAAGCAUGGGUAUAGGUUUGUACUAAGGAAAUGAACAUAUGAUUAAAAUAAACCUGAUACAGUUAGUCUAUAAGAAUGGAUCCUGUUUCUAACCUUUUAACACACAAAUUUGGAAACCUAAACCUAUGGAUUGUUUCUUUCCUAUAAUGGAAUCCUAUGUUCCUUCUCAAAGCAGCGCUGACUUUUCCCUUCCUACCAACUACAAAGAGAAAAUCUUGACUAAUCUCGAUAAAGGUUUAUUUUAUCUAUACAUGCGAGGUCAAAGUUUUAAAAGUAUUCUACAUAUAUUUUAAAUUUAUUCUAAAAUAAUGUGUUUGAUUAAUUUCUUGGUCAAUUCUCAAAGUCAAACUUGUAUUUUGAAUUGGAAAAUUCUAGAGAUUCUAAGAAACUCGUCUUCUACGAUACACAACCUGAUUGAAGCUGAGCUGUGAGAAAUUUUCACAAUUGUUAGCAUUCUUCAGGCAUUUGGUUUAUUUAAAUUUUGGUAAUAGUCAUAUGAUAGUAAAUUCGGGAGGAUGCUUGCAUGCAUGGGCAUCAUGAUUUUUUUUGAGAUGUUUAAAUGGACGUGAAAGAUAAGAAAUAGAUUUUCUAUUAAGAUAUUUGAAUGGAGAUGAAAGCAUGGGUAUAGGUUUGUACUAAGGAAAUGAACAUAUGAUUAAAAUAAACCUGAUACAGUUAGUCUAUAAGAAUGGAUCCUGUUUCUAACCUUUUAACACACAAAUUUGGAAACCUAAACCUAUGGAUUGUUUCUUUCCUAUAAUGGAAUCCUAUAUUCCUUCUCAAAGCAGCGCUAAACCUAAACCUGAUACAGUUAAUCCUAUAUUUAAAAUACAAGUUUGACUUUGAGAAUUGACCAAGAAAUUAAUCAAACGCAUUAUUUUAGAAUAAAUUUAAAAUAUCCUUUCACAAGUCUUUUAUUGAUUAUUUCAACAAAUGUUAAUUAAUUAAAUAUAUGUAGGAUAUUUUUAAAACUUUGACCUCCCGUAUGAGUACCCUUCUGAAAAGUCGGGAGGAUGUUGGUUGACUAUUAUGAUAGUAAAUUCGGGAGGAUGCUUGCAUGUAACAAUUUUAUUUUAUUUUAUUUUAAAAUUUAUUCUAAAACCAUAGGUUUAGGUUUCCAAAUUUGUGUGUUAAAAGGUUAGAAACAGGAUCCAUUCUUAUAGACUAACUGUAUCAGGUUUAUUUUAAUCAUAUCUUCAUUUCCUAAGUACAAACCUAUACCCAUGCUUUCAUCUCCAUUCAAAUAUCUUAAUAGAAAAUCUAUUUCUUAUCUUUCACGUCCAUUUAAACAUCCUCCCGAAUUUACUAUCAUAAUAGUCAACCAACAUCACGUACAAGGCUUAUAUAUUGAAAGAAAAUAAGUGGAGAGCGUGGCUUGUUUAUCCAUUCAGUGUCCAAUAAAUUGCAUGACCCACAAAAUUGGAACCUUCAAAUUUUUCAAUGAUGUUCUUGUCGACACAUUUUCAAAAUCCUUUAAUUUAGUCUCUUUUUAUAUCUACACCAACGAUCAUGACAAAUUGUACUCAUACGGGAAGUCAAAGUUUUAAAAUUAUUCUACAUAUAUUUAAUUAAUUAAAAUUUGUUGAAAUAAUCAAUAAAAGACCUUUGAAAGAAUAUUCUAAAAUAAUCAAUAACGUGUAGGUAAAUAAUCAAGAACAUCUUAACAGUAAAUGGAAAAUUUCCGGGACCAACCAUAUAUGCUACGAAAGGAGAGACGAUCAUUGUCGACGUUUAUAACAAGGGAAACGAAAACAUCACCAUUCACUGGUAGGUCCUAUGCGUGUCUCAAAGAAAGAGCAGUGGUAGCAUGCUUGCAUGACAUACAUUCUUUUAUAUCUAAGAGGGGGCUACAAUAUAUUACUUUGAAAAUAAAGUCAAAUUUAAAACAAUACUCUAAGGUUAUUUGCUUUAGUUCCAUUGAAAUACAAUUGAUGCCUCUUGUUACUAUGAUAAUAUGUUGUUGCAUGCCAUUAUAGGAUUCCAUUAUAGGAAUAUAGUUAUGGUUUAGGUUUCCAAAUUUGUGUGUUAAAAGGUUAGAAACAGGAUCCAUUCUUAUAGACUAACUGUAUCAGGUUUAUUUUAAUCAUAUGUUCAUUUCCUUAGUACAAACCUAUACCCAUGCUUUCAUCUCCAUUCAAAUAUCUUAAUAGAAAAUCUAUUUCUUAUCUUGCCCGUCCAUUUAAACAUCCUCCCGAAUUUACUAUCAUAAUAGUCAACCAACAUCACGUACAAGGCUUAUAUAUUGAAAGAAAAUAAGUGGAGAGCGUGGCUUGUUUAUCCAUUCAGUGUCCAAUAAAUUGCAUGACCCACAAAAUUGGAACCUUCAAAUUUUUCAAUGAUGUUCUUGUCGACACAUUUUCAAAAUCCUUUAAUUUAGUCUCUUUUUAUAUCUACACCAACGAUCAUGACAAAUUGUACUCAUACGGGAAGUCAAAGUUUUAAAAUUAUUCUACAUAUAUUUAAUUAAUUAAAAUUUGUUGAAAUAAUCAAUAAAAGACUUUUGAAAGAAUAUUCUAAAAUAAUCAAUAACGUGUAGGUAAAUAAUCAAGAACAUCUUAACAGUAAAUGGAAAAUUUCCGGGACCAACCAUAUAUGCUACGAAAGGAGAGACGAUCAUUGUCGACGUUUAUAACAAGGGAAACGAAAACAUCACCAUUCACUGGUAGGUCCUAUGCGUGUCUCAAAGAAAGAGCAGUGGUAGCAUGCUUGCAUGACAUACAUUCUUUUAUAUCUAAGAGGGGGCUACAAUAUAUUACUUUGAAAAUAAAGUCAAAUUUAAAACAAUACUCUAAGGUUAUUUGCUUUAGUUCCAUUGAAAUACAAUUGAUGCCUCUUGUUACUAUGAUAAUAUGUUGUUGCAUGCCAUUAUAGGAUUCCAUUAUAGGAAUAUAGUUAUGGUUUAGGUUUCCAAAUUUGUGUGUUAAAAGGUUAGAAACAGGAUCCAUUCUUAUAGACUAACUGUAUCAGGUUUAUUUUAAUCAUAUGUUCAUUUCCUUAGUACAAACCUAUACCCAUGCUUUCAUCUCCAUUCAAAUAUCUUAAUAGAAAAUCUAUUUCUUAUCUUGCCCGUCCAUUUAAACAUCCUCCCGAAUUUACUAUCAUAAUAGUCAACCAACAUCACGUACAAGGCUUAUAUAUUGAAAGAAAAUAAGUGGAGAGCGUGGCUUGUUUAUCCAUUCAGUGUCCAAUAAAUUGCAUGACCCACAAAAUUGGAACCUUCAAAUUUUUCAAUGAUGUUCUUGUCGACACAUUUUCAAAAUCCUUUAAUUUAGUCUCUUUUUAUAUCUACACCAACGAUCAUGACAAAUUGUACUCAUACGGGAAGUCAAAGUUUUAAAAUUAUUCUACAUAUAUUUAAUUAAUUAACAUUUGUUGAAAUAAUCAAUAAAAGACUUGUGAAAGGAUAUUUUAAAUUUAUUCUAAAAUAAUGCGUUUGAUUAAUUUCUUGGUCAAUUCUCAAAGUCAAACUUGUAUUUUGAAUUAGAAAGUUCAAGAGAUUCUAAGAAAGUCGUCUUCUACGAUACACAACCUGAUUGAAGCUGAGCUGUGAGAAAUUUUCACAAUUCUUAGCAUUCUUCAGGCUUUUGGUUUAUUCAAAUUUUGGUAAGUAAUCAAAUAUCAUACACAACUUGAAGUGGUCCUGCACAUUGAAGUGGUCCUGGAAGAACAUUCAAAACUGCACAUUGAAGUGGUCCUGGAAGAACAUUCAAAACCAAUACACAUUCAAAUUACUUGGCUUAUAUUGAUACGCGUCGAGGAAUUGUUGAUACCCAAGCCACAUGUGAUCUGAUUUAAUGAAUCUCUGCCCUUCAUCCGAAGAAUUCUGGUGUUCUGGAUUGAUGGGAGCAAAAAGGUGACCAGUUUUACCUUGAGUCAAAUUCAAAUGACAAAAUAUAUUACCAGGGCAAUCAUGGACACCACCCUUAACUACAAAAAUAGCGCACACAGCCAAUCCCAUCAACCUAGUAUACACCAAUUUGGAGGCAGAUGUACCAUAUUACUGUGGAGUCUAUACUCUGUUGGCUGAACCACUCAAGAAUUCAACUUCCAGGAACAAAAGUACUGGAUUCAAUAUGUGGAGUAUAUGGCACCAUCUGGGUCAUGAAAAUCAAUGUCAAGUUAUAUGGAAAUAAUGUAGGAGUAGUGCUCAAAGGAGUAUAAGAAUUAUUCCAUAGGAUUUAAUUGAUUUACUUUUACAAUAUGAUCAAGAGAGAGAGGAGAGAAACCUGAAUUGGGAAUUGAAAUCUUGGUAAUUUAUUUGCCAGACUUUGCAUUUCCCUUAAUGUAGCUGCCACAAAGUUGCUGCUUUCAUUCUCAGACAGUCUGAAGCAAUUAGAAAAUGUGAAUCGGAGGCCCCCACAUUCCUUGGAUCUGUAGACACUUGAUGGACACAAAAUGUUUUCCAUAACUGUGCCAUCAUGGGCAUCUAUUUCUUCUAUACUUGAUGGAAGCUCUGGUAAUGAUUGAAGCCUCUUGCAACAACCCAGCCUAAGGCCUUUGAGCUGUGAAAGUUGAUUGAGACGUGCAGGUAGGGUAACAAAAUUGUUUCUGCUCAGAUCUAAAUAUUCCAAUGAGCACAGAGAGCUAAAGUCAUUGGGAAUUGCUCCUUCCAAUAUGUGGCAAUCACUUAGAUUUAACUUUCUUAGGGAUCUUAAACCAAAGAAAGAUGCAGUUGCCACACUAUUCUUAGAUUUAACUUUCUUAGGGAUCUUCAUAUUUAGUUUCAUAGGAAAGAUGUUUUCAAAGAAAUCUGCAUUCUUUGUUUCUAUUAUAGUAUUGACAUCUACCAGAUUAUUUUCUGACUUAGUAACAAGAAACCUAUAUGCCACACUAUUCUUAGCAUAGCCAAUGAACAUUGCAUCAAAGGUUUUAGGACCUAGUUUUCGUUUUUUAGGUUCGGGGAGAAGAACUUUAGCUAAACACCCCCACACUUUCAGGUAUGCUAUAUUAGGUGCAUAACCUUUCCACAACUCAUAAGGAGUUUUACUAGUUUUCUUGUAAGGUAUUCUAUUUUGAAUAUGGCAGGCGGAUAGGAUAGCUUCCCCCCACAAGUUCAAGGGUGCUCCUGAACUUACUAACAUUGCAUUCAUAAUUUCUUUUAAGGUCUUAUUUUUCCUUUAUGCUAUUCCAUUAGACUCAGGGGAAUAAGGAGGAAUAAGGAGGAGUAGUUUCAUGAAUGAUCCCAUGAUCUUCACAAAAAGAAUUAAAGGGGUUGGACUCAUACUCUCCUCCUCUUUCAGUUCUAAGCCUUUUAAUUUUCUUACUUAGUUGAUUUUCCAUUUCAUUUUUGUACUUGAUGAAAGCAUCUCUUGCUUCAUCUUUGUUUCUCAAAAGAUAUACCCUUGUAUACCUUGAGUAGUCAUCUAUGAAAGUUAUGUAGAAUUGUUUACCACCUCUAGUCAUUGUAUUUUUUAGGUCUCCUAAGUCACUAUGUAUUAAACUUAGUAGAUCUGAUUCUCUUUCAACUGAUUUGCAAGAUUUCUUUGUGGUUUUAGAUUCUACACAAGAUUCACAUUUUCCAUGGUUUUCUAAGGACAGAUUAGGGAUUAAACUCAAUUCAACCAUUUUCUUCAUAUAUGAAAAGUUCACAUGUCCUAGUCUACCAUGCCAAAUAUCACAAGAAUCAACUAUGUAAGCAAAAGAAGAAGAUGUAUUAUUAUUGAUAAUAUCAUAAACAUUCAACAUAAAUAAACCCUGAUUACAAUAGCUCUUUCCCACAAAUGCAUCAUUCUUGGUUAAAACUAUUUUAUCAUAGUCAAACAAGAUCCUCACUCCUGCUUUUCCAAGUAGAGAUACCGACACCAAGUUCCAACGGAUAUCUGGCACAUGAAGAACAUCACAUAGGGCAAGCACUUUUCCAGAUGUUAGCUUGAGGAGAACUUUCCCUUUGCCAAUCACUGGAGUAGAUCUAGAAUCACCCAUGAACACUUGGUCCUCUCCUUUCUUUAUAGUGGUAUAGGAAGUAAAUGCAUUUCUAUUCCCACAGAUGUGCCUAUUAACCCCAAAGUCUACCACCCAUUCCUUCAUAUUGGUGACCAUGCUCACCUCAGAGGAGAUUACUGUUGUGAUCACCUCUGUCUCUGCCAGAUUUGCCUUUGAACUGGUCUUCUCAAUUCUCUUCCUAUGGCGACAUUGAGUUGCAUGGUGUCUAGACUUGCCACAGACAAAGCAAUUACCGCGUUUUUUAAUAAUUAGAUUUUGGACCUUAUUUAAUGCAUUGGGCUUGGUCCUAAAGUUUUGUUUCCUGAACCUAUUAUUUUUGGGUUUAGAUUUUUCUUCUACUACAUUAGCUUUAGAAGACAAUUCCUUAGCUUUCUCAAUAUUGUCCCUAUUUCGGUUUUGUUCCUCAAUCCUAAUAUGGAUUAUGACAUCCUCUAAGGACAUUUGUUUCCUUUUAUGUUUCAUGUUGUUUUUAUAGUCUUUCCAAGACUCCGGAAGAGCCUCUACUAAAUAACCAGCCACAAAAGGUUCGGGUAAUUUAAUGUCUUCAAUAGCUAAGUCAUUAAUCAACAAGUGGUAGUCAUGGAUUUGAGAUGAGACAACUCUAUCCUCACUCAUUUGGAAAUUUAUAAAAUUCCCUAUGGCAUAUUUAUGAGUUCCCGCAUCUUGCAAAAUAUAUUUUUUAUUCAUUGCAUCCCAAAUUUAUUUUGCAACUUUAAAUUGACAAUAAAUAUCAAAAAGUUCAUUAGAAAGUGUACUCAGAAUAGCAUGGCUAACUUGUUUAUUUCCAGUUUCCCAGGUUGGUAACAUAUGAGAACCAUCUUCUGGUUUUGGAUCAGUCAAAAUAUGUCCUAAGUUCACCACAUCAAUUGUAGAGAAAACCCUUUCCUGCCAUCUCUUAAAGAAUGUCCCAUUAAAUGGAUUAAUUUUAGAGGUGUCAGGAUGGGUGUGAAUUAGGGAAGCUUUCAUUUGAAUUUAUUUCAAGAUUGUUGGAUUUUAAGGGUAUGGAAACAAAGACUAGCCCAAAAGACACAAACAAAGAACAUAAUGAAUAAAAAAAAAAAACUUAUCGGCUGAGGCAUGACAAGCACUGUCCUUGAAAUAGAUCCACCCUCCUCGAAGACGAACUCGGUGCACUAUGUGAGAAAGGGUAUAAAUAAUGUGAGAUAAGGUACAAAAAAAUGUGAAAAAAUGUACGAAUAAUGUGAGAAAAUGGUAUGCACAAUGUUAUAAAAUGGUAUGAACAAUGUGAAAAAAGAUACAAAUAAUAUGAGACAUGGUAUGAAUUAUGUGAGAGGGGAUACAAAUAAUGUGAGGGAAGGUACAAACACUAUGAGAAAGAGUACAAACAAAACAAGGAAAUGUACGAACAAUGUGAUAAAUGGUAGGAAAAAUGUAAGACAUGGUAUGAACAAUGUAAGAAAAAUAAAAAAUAGAUAAGAUUAAUAAAUUAUUUUUUCAUUAAUAUAAAUUAAAUAAUUAAAAUACCUAAGUUUUUCAAAAAUUUUAAUCAUGGUAGUGGGCCUUUGAUCAACCAAAGAUAGCCCAUGUAUCAUUUUCCAAAGUGAAGCACAACAACCUUAUAACAGUGAUGUCACAUAGCAAUUCAUUAUUCAUUAUUUUGUUUUCCCUUUUCAAUGUGGAUUUUCUUAAAGCUAUUAAAAAAACACACAAAAUCAAGAUUUGAGCAUGGGUCUUUCACAAUAUCUUUUAUAUACUAAUAAUUAUAAAUUAAUUAAAAUGAAAUUAUUAUAAAUAAGUUAAUUUUAAUUAUCUUAUUAUGUCUCAUAUAAAGUGAUUAGAUAUAGGAUAAAUAUAAAUUUAUAAAUAAAAUUAUUAACAUUUUCAAAUAAAAAAUAUAAAUAUAUAUCAAUUUUUUUUAUAUCCUUUAGUAUAUCUAAACUUAAUGCAUUAUCAUUUUAGUAUUAAUAUUUCCCAAUUCGGUAUAUUAUUGUCUGAGAUUACAAAUUUAUUAUACAUUUAUCAAUUUUUCUUAAAACAAUAUCAUUAUAUACAUUAUUACUUUUCUAUCAUUUUUUGAGUUAUUUCCAACAUUUCAUAAGGUUUUAUCAAUUUCCAUCUUAUAUAUAUAUAUAUAUAUAUUUCAGAAUUUUCAUUGAUAUUUCUUUAUAUAUCUAUAAACUCCAACUAAUGAUAUAUCGGUAAAAAUCAAUAUUUUUAUUCUUACUUAACAUAAGAAAGAAAAUUAUUCAAAUGGUGCAUAAAUUAAUGUGACCUCCUGAUGAGAAUGACAAUGACAACCAUGAGUCAUAAUUAGUGUAUGUGUGUGGUAAAUUAACUUAGUGUUUGAUAAAAUAAUUAUUUAUCAUCAUUUAAAAUUUAAAAAUAAAUUUAAAUGUUAAAUCAAAAUAAUUAACUUAUUCUAAAUACUAAUUUUUUUUAUUCUCUUUGUUCAUAUUUGGUGAUAACCAUGCUUUAUUUUUAGAAUUCUUUUUUUUUUUAGUAAAUAUUUUGUAGUUAUUUUGUAGCUUCACAAUAGUACUUUUUAAUAUAAAUGUUUAACAAGCUUGAGUUUAUGAAGAUAAAUAUUAAGAAAAAUUAAUGAGUUUAAAUAUAUCAAUAUAAUAACUUUUAAAAAAUUAAGUUGAUUUUACCAAAAUAAAAAUAAAAAUAAUUCAUCUUAAAAUUAAUUUCAAUAAUUAAGUAAUAAGGAUUAAGUUUUAUCAUACACUCUCUUAAUUAAUAAAUGACAUAACUUCUUUCAACAACUUCUUCGUUCUACUUUUGAAAAAAAAUAAUAAUAAUGUGAUAUUUAUUUAUUUAUGUCUAAAAUUUAAAUAUACUUGAAUUUGACUUAAAUCUAAAUAUAGCUUAAUAUUAUUAAGUGUUCAGACUAUUUUUUUUUAUUUGUGUCUAAAUAUUAUUAACUGUUAAAUUGUUUCUUUUUAUUAAUAUCAAAAUAUGUGAAGUGUUAAAUUUAUUUAUUUUUGGUUAAAAACAUUUAUAAAAGUAAUUGUUAUAUUUCUUCUUAUUUUAAUUUGAAAAGUUAUAAUUUAACAAAAUAGUAAUUUAAUUAACACAUCUAAAAAAUAUUAUAAUACAUUGUCAAAGUAAAAAUUUUAUAAUGAUAAUUAUGUAAUUAGUAAAUUAUAUUAUUGUACAAUCCAUUGUUCCAUGUCGUAUAAUAUAGAAUAGCUAUGCAUACCCAUCAGUGCAUAGACAUAUAUCUUUUGAUAAUCUAUCAUGAAUGUCACCUGGACUCUAAGUGAAGUAUGUAGCUAUUAUACUAUAAAGAUGGCAUAGGAAGAGGCUCCGGGUUUACUAGUUCUCACUCAACCAUAGAAAUAGGGAAUAUAUUGCACAUUAUUUUCAUCUAAAAGAAAGGUAGAAAGACCUUAGAAAUGGAACUUUUAGAUAAAACCUAAGGGUGGCAAUGAGAUGAGUCUAAGAAGGAUCACCUCAAUCUCAAUCUUAUGCCAUUUAUUUAUAUUAAAUGGGGUGAGAUAAGACAAAAUUAUAUUCGAACCUGUCUUGAAUUUGGUUCGAGGGCAAGAAGGGUCUUUACAAAAAUCAGCCUCAUUGUCAUUCUUAGGUACGCAUCUAUACCAAUGAAAGUUUUUACAUCUAUUAAAAAAUUUAAUGUUCCCGAUGUUAAUUAACUUCACCAGACUACAUACACUUCAUAAUCGUGAAAAAGUGUUAAAAUUCUCAACCAAUCAAUGACAUAAACUACAAUCAAGUUUAGUACAUCGUAACCCUAAAAUACCUCCAAACCCCAUUUCUUGUAAGACCCCCUUCUGAUUAGGUUGCAAAUGUUGAAGUGCAUUAUACAACUAAUUAGGCGAACAACAAGUGUCAAGGUAAGACUGCAAGCCAUACAUAUACAUAUGCAUAUAAAUUCGAAAUUGAAAGAAAAUAUUAUCAAAUUUUAAAAAGAUAAAUUUCAAUUUUUUUUUUGUCUUUGAUACAUUUUUUGAGCUUGUACCAUUUUGUUUUACAUAUUCAUUGGAGUAUUUCUUCAUCAUGGGUCUUCAUCCAUUAGGGCACCAAGGAGAGCAAGUUCAUUGGCACGUGCUUUAAUGGUAUGUAGGAAGGUAGUGAUGCUUUGCAAACCCUUGGUGUGAUUCUUAAGGUGGUUGUUGACUUGUUUAAUGUAGACAUGUGAUAGUUUGACAUAGGUAUUGGUGAAGAUGAUCUAUGCUUCACGAAAGGUUGUGGCACAGGCAAUGAAUGGAAUUAUGGUGGGUGAAACGGAGCCAAUAAGUGCAUUUAGGAUCAAUUGAUCUUGAUGAAGCAAGAAUAGGUUGGGUUGGGUAUUACAGUGUCGUUGGCAUAGUGGUGGGUGGACAAGGUUUGGUUCUAUCAAUAUAGCUAAGGCGGUCAAAGCCAAUAAAUAGUGUUUGGAAUUGAAAUCUUUAUGAUAUAUAGUUGGUAGUGGUUAGUUUAAGUGGGGCUCGAGCAAAAACAUUUAUUGAGAUGAGUAUUUGGUGUGACUCAUGGGUGUUGUGAAUAUUGAGAGUAGAAGUUACAGAAGUGGUGACAUCUUAGGUGGCCAUGAGGCUAUGAUGAUGGGGAGGAGCAUUAGAUGGCUUUGGCAUAGAAAAAGAGGUAAGAAGGAAGAACAAGUGGUGGUGAGGGUUUUCAGGUUAAGAAGCUUGAAUGCUCUGAUGUCAUAUUGAAGAAUGAGAUUGGUAAAUUAUUUUUCUAGGUUGAUUCUAUGUUGCUUAUAUGCAUGAUUCACCAAGGGUUUCUGACAAGCAUUAGCUAAGGGUGGCUGAACCCAAUGACAGACCAGAUGAAGGAUUAAUAAUAUAUUGCACUCCAGCAGUUCAACCAAUUCCCUUCGUUUCCUUAAUGACUUCUUUUGGUGACCUAUCAAUUUCUCUCUUGGAAAGUCUAGUAAUGGGUUGCCAAUUACCUAAAAGUUACUUCUGAGGUUUUGUUUUGUUGAUUCUAUGCUAACUGAUAAUCUGCAGAGGAAACAACUUGUUCGUCUGGAGAAGGUCUUGAAGCAUGCACUGUGAUGAAUUUGACCAGAAGAGUAAACUCAUCAAGUCCAUAUUAAGUCAUCAGGUUCCAGUAGAGCUAUUUCAAAAACUUCUUUAAUGCAUUAGCAUUUAAAAAUUGAAACAAUAAAAUAACAUAUAUUAUUGAUACUAUCAUUUAAAACAAGAAAUAUAUUGUUGAUAAUGGCAUUUAAAACAAUAAAAUAGUGCAUUAGACCUGCAUUCAAAUCUUCAAUUCUCAAACACCACCAACCCACCCAUGAAUAGAGAAAGAGAAGAGAACCCUAGCAAAAGUAGAGAGGUUCGAUUCUCAAAUCUUCAAUUUUCUUUUUAUGUGUUCAAGUCAUUUUUAUUUGUUAAAUGAUUCCAGCUACUACUUGGGUCUAGUAUUUCCUUGGUGUAUAUAUCAUGCACUUCUCAGUAGAAUGCCCAUAGACAUGGAGAAACAAUUUUUUAUUUAUUUGCAAUGCCUAAUAUAAAUUAAUAAGCACCUAAUUUUUUGUUUCAGCUAUGAAUGGUAUUUUUCUCUAGAUCAUAAGUACGUUGGUUGAAUUUUAAAAAAUUUAUACCAUUUCAGCGACUAAUUAAUAUCAUGCAAUAGAAAAACAAAGUUGAAAUUUGGGAUAAUAAAUAUCAUUAAAGUACAAAGAAAGUAACUUAUUGGGAGCAAAUUCUUCACAACCUGGCAUUCGCCUUUAGAUUAAAUAAUUUAUUAAUAAUCUCCUCUUUCUUUCUAAACUUAUACCGCUGUUUAUGAAAGUUUCUAAAAACCAAAGCCCAAAGCCUAGACUAUAAAAAGGAAAUAAUCACUUGGAGAGGGGUUGUUUGUUUUUCUUGAGAGCCUAAUAAAUGCAACGACAUAGACAGAAAGAGGCGGAAGAGUUGAGUCGGAGGAUCAAGAAACACAACCAUUCUUCUCUUUCAUUAGGGUUUUUGGCUGACUCUAAGGCCGUCUUACCUUCCUCUUAGAAUGAUGGCCUCUCGUUUCUAUACAUAUCCUUUCAUGCAUUUUCUGGCUCUCCCAUUCUCUUUUUCAAAGCUACGUCUUUCCUCAUAGACCCUGUUUGGUUUCUAAGAAAGUGGUCUAGGUCUCUUUCUUUUUCUUGAUUUAUCUUUUGGUUUACAAGAAUCAGCGACACAAUAAGACUGCCAUGAACGCAUGACGCAGCCACGUGGGAGAAGGCAGCAACCACUUUCGCAUUUUUACUAUGUAUCUCCAGAAACUCCUUUGUACAGCCCACACACGCGCUAAUGAAGCAGAUUCAGCAGAUUUUAAGAGGGGGAAUCUUGAAACCACACAACAUCAAGAGACUUGGCCGGAAGUGUGAUGAUGGGUGUUUCCGAAGAAGAGUUAUAAUUCGCCCACUGUUAAAUAUGGUCAUAGCCGUGAAGGGUCCCACGAGCCUUGAAUUUGUCACUACAUGCAAAAUAUAUGCAGAAGUGAUUGAAAAUGCAUGGCCACCUUUUCCUGCAUGUGAAUGUGUUGAGCUCUAUGGUGCAAUUACUAAUGGAAUUCUCAAUUUAGCUGAUAAGUAUUUUGAGAUGCAAAAGCAUGAUGCUGUCCGGGCAUCGGAAAUUUAUCAGAAAGCAGGAGAGCCAUCAAGCAUUCACUCGACAAGCAAGAGUAACACAUAGGCCACACCAUUCUCCAAAUAGACACAACAACAUACAUUCUUGAAGGCAAGUCCCUUUUUAAAAUUUUAUCUUAGUUUAAUUUUAAUUUAUUUAGUUAGUUUAGAUGUUUUUUUCAAAAUUAGUUUAAUUAAUUCUACAUGAUAAAGCUCUUAUUUUUCAUUUCGAUUUAGUUUAGUGUUGAUUUUUCUUUUAGUUUAAGUGUGUUUGCGAUUUUAAUUCAAUAGCUUAAUUAUUCUUAUUAGAUAAAGUUCAUAUAUAUAUAUAUAUAUAUAUAUAUAUAUAUAUUAUCCCAAAUUAGUUUAGUUUUAAUCUAUCUUUUAGUUUAAGUGUGUUAGUAAUUUUAAUUUAGUUGUUUAAAUAAUCAUGUGAGAUAAAGUUCAUGUUUUUAAUUCUAAUUAGUUUCAUCUUAAUUUAUUCUUUAGUUUAGAUUUGUUGUUGACAGUAAUUUACUAUUUUAAUUAAUCUUAUUAGAUAAAGUCUAAUUAAAAUUAGGUUAGUUUUAAUUUAUUCUAUAGUUUGAGUGUGUUUGCGAUUUUAAUUCAAUUGUUUAAUUAAUCCUCUUAGGUAAAGAUCUUGUUUUUAAUUCCGAUUUAGUUUAGUUUUAAUUUACUUAUUUAUUUAUUUUAGUUAAGAUGUGUUUGUAAUUUUAAUUCGACAAUUUAAUCGACCUUAUUAGAUAAAGUUGAUGUUUUUAAUUCCAAUUUAGUUUAAUUUUAAUUUAUUUUUUAGUUUAAAUGUGUCUGUGUGUUUAAUUGACCUUAUGCUAGCUCUUGAUUUGUUAUUCUCAAUUUAGGUGUUUUCUUGAAUCUUAGUCAUUAAUUCUUGGUGGAUAUCUCAUUAGUUUAUUUUAUCUAAGUCUUAAUAAUUUAUUAUUUCGAUAGUCUCUUGUCAAAUUUACUUUUCAGAGGCCAUCGGAAAAUAGUGAAGAUUGACCUCCAUUCUCACCACUUUAGUUUGUUUGGUUGUCAAAAUUUUUACUUUGUGAUUUUGUUUGCUUUUAUUUUGCUUGUUUCUUAUGUUUUGAUUGUUUUCAAAUUAAUUUCUUUUAUUUUAAAAUAAAAUAUUUUUCUCAAAAGAUCCAUUUGAAAAUUCUAUUUUAAAAAUCAUUCAUUUAGACUCCUUAGAAUCAAAAUCUCAUUUUUUAAUAAUAUGUAACCAUGUCUUGAUCGGUUUGUAUCUUUCACAGUUUUCAAUCAAAAUUCCGAUUUGGAAUGGAAUAUGAAUCCGAGCUUGUGGUCCCAAACAAAUGGGAUAAUUCUGGUCUAGAUUUGUGUAUAUCAAUUGAGGAAUUGGUGGAACCCCUACAUAAGAAAAUUCUUCAAAACUCAUCUUUGCAGCCACCUUUGCUAUUUCAUGAAAUCAUGUAUAUUUAUUAUUUAGGAAUUAUAUACAAGAUGUAUGUGAUAAUUGAUGAUUUCGUAUACUUUGAUCAUUUUUGCUAGGCUAAUUAGAUAACAAGCACAUUAGGAUUUUUUUUAUUUUAUUAUCUAACCCCUCAUGUCUUGUAGAAGCAUGUUACAAGUCAUCUAUCCUAAUAUAUAUUUUAUUAUAUAUUAGUUUUUUUUUUCUUUUUUUAAUCCUAUCUAUGUUGUUGAUAUUAAUGCAUUGAAUUUGAUGCUACCUAAAACAAAAUUAUAUUUCAUGUCCUCUAUUAUAAGUGGACAAUCAUUCCUUAUUUUAGAUUUUAGAUAAAGAACGAAUAAUGAAGAUUGGAGUUGUAAGAAAUUAGGAGAUCCUAAUUUUAAAUAUGUAACAAAGUUCUAUAAUCACUCCAGUACGUUUAAAAUUUGUAUUUCUUUCUAAUAUGGGAGCAAACUUUUUCCUUCUUUCUUAUAAUUUUCAUUUGGGAAUGAUUUAAAAAUAAAUAAAUAAAGGCCCUUCUAAAUAUUAAAAAAACACUCUCUUAUAAAAAUUAAUUAGGUGGAUGGUAAGGUCAAAUUCGGGAUAGCUUCAUAUUUUUUGCUUUAACUGAAAAUUAAAAUCAAAAUUAAAGUAAGAAUUUUUAAGAUGUUGUAAAAGUUUUAUUAAACAUGAAAGAACUUAUUGUGUAAACAAAAAUAGAACUAUAGAAUUUUUAUAAGAAAUAACAUUUUUAUGACUUCUAUAUGAAACCUUUUUUAAAAGUGAUAAGUUUUUUUUUUUAAAUAAUUAAAUAGGUAUAAAAACUUUUAUUCAACUUAAUUUUUUUUAACGGUUAAAAGUCAAUUCAAAUAAAAUUUAAAUAUAUUUGAAAAUCAUUUUUAAAAAUAAAAAAAAAAAACCACUUUUUUUUUAAUUUACAUUUAAUUCAUGAAAUUUCAUUUAUUGUUAUUUAUUUUCGGGAUUUAAUUCUUUGCAAUUGUUUUUGAGUGUUUAUAAAGUAUAAUUAGGUUAUGCCCAAAUUUAUUCCUUUAACUCUAUCCAUUAGAUAUAAGUAGCGUGAAAUUUUGGCCCAUCUCCACCUUUCUUCACUUCUGACAUUGUCAUGCACUACUUCAUCAACUCCAAACACAACCGCUGAGGAUCGAAGAAAAUGAGACAAUGGUCAAUAAAAUGAAAGUUUAAUCAUUUAAUCUUUUUUAGCACACCCCUCAUAACUGUCAGUGAUUUCCUGCCAACUUAACAUAUUGACAUGGACUUGGAGAGUUCGGUCAAUUGCAGCAGCUUGGUUAAUUGUAAGUGUCUUUUCUCUAAACCAUAAAUUCCUACGUUUUAAUUUACAAAAGCCAGUGAUUUUUUUUUACUUAAGGAAGCAGGAAAGGGUUUAAAAUAAGAGUUGAAAAGUAUGCCAAUUAUUUUAACUUUAAGAAAAAACGUUUAUUUUAAUUUAAAAUAAGUAAAUCAAAAGGAAUUGAUUUUAUCUCAAUUGUAUAAGAUUUUAUAAAAAUUAUCUUAUUUGCAAAAUAUUUUCAGAUGUAAAAGUAAAAAAUUAAACAAAUCAUUUGAUGAUCAUAGUCUAAUUUUAAAUUAUUAGAAUAAGUCAAUCCUCUAAACUAUAUCAUUUAUAAUUUUUUUGAUUAUUAAUAUGAUACGUAACCUUCCACGGAAUUGGAAUAAAAUAUGGAUAAUUAAAAAAUGUCAACUAUCCCAUUUCAAACUUUUCUAAUAUAGCAUGAUAUUUUAACAUGAUGAAUGAAAUGGGAAUGACCAAAAAUUGUAAAAUCAAAGAUAUAUCUAUUGUGGACAUGGCAUUCGGAGGCUUCUUAACAUUGUAUUGGUCUACUUAAUGAGUUGAAACAGGAACACAACACCAAAUUCUCUUUUUAUAAUCAAAGACUUCCAUGGAAAAUUCCACCAUAUCAUAUCUCAAAGAUUAGUCAAAUUCCAUUAUCUUUAUAGACUUUUAACAAUCCAAGAAAUUGACAUUAAUAAUCCCAUACACAAUAUUCUACAACUUUACAUUAUCUUGAUUGAAGAUAAUCAUAUUAUUUCAUUAACAAUUCAAGAAAUUCCAUUAUCAAUCAAAAAAUAAAUCAUGAAAGCUAAAUAAUACAAAUAUUCAAUGAAAUCUUUGGCGUGUUAUUUCUUUACAGCUUCAACAUGGUGGCAUGUCCGACGGAGGAGGCAGCAUUUGAGCUUCCGGGUGUUUACCAUUUUUCAUUAUGAACGCAGUUUCCAUGCCCCAAGUCAGAUGGCGUUCUACAUGGCAGUGCAUGAACCACACUCCUGCAACAGAGAAAAUAUACCAACAUUACACCUAACUUAAUUGUAAUAUUAAGAAAAAUUAUUUCCUUGGUAUGCAGGUUAGCAGUUUCAAGGGUUUUUAUUUUUUAUUUUUAAUAGACGACAUGAGUGCUUGGAACAUACCAGGGUUGGAUGCCUCAAAUCUGAUUGCAACCCAACCAUUCGAAGGAACGGAGAUGGUAUUCUGAAAGGGAGGAUCCACCAAAUUAUAGCGUAAAGGGUCCUUAUUUCCAUCGAAAUUCCCAAAUCCCCAUCCAACAACAUAGAAACUGUAUCCAUGGAGAUGCAUGGGGUGGUGUGUUGCUGCAAGCACGUUUGUCCCUUGAAAAACAAUCUCCACUGUGGAGUUAUACUCGAGCACCCUUACUUCUGUUCCGCUGCUUGGCAACUGAUAGAUUAAUGGAAGAUAAUCAGCUGUAAAAUCGAACACCAGUGGUAGAUCGCUAGGAAAUUUAUCUCCAUAAACACCACUGAUGUUAUAAUAGUAAGCUUGUAGUAUGUCAACUGUAGGGGUAUCGAAGCUUAUGUUGUUUAUACUUGAGGAGAACCGCGUCCCAUUGGCCCCUGCACAUGAAUUAUUGACGCAUGGGUACGAGUUUACAGAAACAGUGUAAAUCAGGUUAGUGCUUGUGCUCAAUGGGACAUUGCAAGGAUGUUCCGCAUCUACUAAGCUUCGAAGGCCGGCCAUGACCUGAACCGACGCAUUUGUGUCAUUGUAUGCAGGAAGAAGAGGGAAGGAUGGAGGCGAAGAUGGAGUGUAGUAUCCGUUGUACUGUACAAUAGCUGUGGUGGUUGUGUUAUCAUAAAAAUCUUGAUAUUUCGGGGCAACAGAAUAAGUUAUAGCUGCCAUGUAAUAGUGAUCCGGGCGUUGGUUAGCUUCUAGUAAGACAUCGUAGGUUUGGCCAGGAAAUAUUGUGAUAAAAUCUCGUGUCAAUGGUUUCGUGUAGCUACCAUCUGUUCCAACCACUGUCAUUUUAUGCUUGGCAAUGGAGAAGAAGAGAGCCUCUUGUAAGGCAGCAUUGAUUAUGCGAAGUAGAUAGGUCUUUCCAUGAUCCACUGUUAGCUUGAAUGUGUCUGCAAUUAGAAAGGGAAAGUUGUAUACUUAUGACUAGCCAAAAAAAAAACAAAAAGUUUCCAUGAGGAUCCACCAAUUAUGAAGUGAUUGAUUGAUUAGGUGUGUAAAUUUGGCUGCAUAGUUCAAAAUUAUAUUUGGACUAGCCUUUUUUUUGUGUGUUAAAUCAUGGCUCUACCAUCCUUAUAGCUAUAUUCCUCUUUCUUAGCAUUAACCUUUAAAUAUGUUGAUGUUAAUAAGAAAAAGUACUAGGGUUAACAUACAAGAAAAUGAAAUCAUGUACAAUUUUAAAACGGGAAGUUAAACUUUGUACCUGAUUUUGAGCAUGGAUAUAGAUCACCGGGUUGUCCAUUUAUCAAUAAAGCAUCAGAGGGGUCAGGGUCACCUCCGGUUGCAAGCCCUUCAUCUCGAACCGCAUUCACAUCAUUCUUCCACCAUUCUCCUGCAUUUCAACAACUUCAAUAAUUUUAGAUUUUGCUUUGUUGUUUAAUUCUUAAUAUGUAAAUUAACCUUUAAAAGUAACAACACUUAUACCUAAUAUGAUGGGGACCUCUCUGUCAGGCUUGUGAAAAGGAUACUUGGUUCCAUUCUUGGGAUAGAUGAUUAUAGCUCCAUGAACAGUGGCUCGGGUCCAGUCACUGUGAGCAUGCCACCAUAGAGUGCCUUCUUCAGUGGAAAGGAUGAUCUUCUGGGUAAACUUUGACCCUGGCUGAAUUGGGCAUUGUGUGAUAUACUCAGGACCAUCUGUCCAUGGAUAUCUAGGCAUGGUCACCCCAUGCCUGCGAAACCAUAACUAUACGUUAAAACUAGUACUAAUUUUCAAAGUAACAAAAGAUGGCAUGCAACAACAUAUUAUCAUAGUAACAAGAGGCAUCAACUGUAUUUCAAUGAAACUGAAGCAAAUAACCCUAAAGUAUUAUUUUAAAUUUGACUUUAUUUUCAAAGUAAUAUAUUGGAGCCCCCUCUUAGAAAUAAAAGAAUGUAUGCCAUGUUGGCAUGCUGCCACUGCUCUUUCUCUGAGACACGCAUAGGACCUACCAGUGAAUGGUAACGUUUUCGUUUCCCUUGUUAUAAACGUCGACAAUGAUCGUCUCUCCUUUCGUAGCAUAUAUGGUUGGUCCCGGAAAUUUUCCAUUUACUGUUAAGAUGUUCUUGGCACUACAAAGCCUUGUAUAUGAAGCUUCCCUCACCUGCAAUCAAUUAAAAGUUAACCAUGCAACCUCAUCCCAAAAGAAAUAUUACAUGCAUGAAUAGUUGCAUCGAUCCAUUCACGUAAGUGUAUAACCAAUUAGAAAUUGAUAGCAUGCAUGAACGACUCAAUGACACCAAGGUAAUAGAUCAUACGGUAUGAAAUGAGAGCCAUACUACUCCUUAAAUAUCAUGAUUAGAAGGUGGCGUUAAGGCCAGAAUCAUAUAUAGUAUUUACCACAAAAGUAAGCCGACGGGUUGAAGCUUGGCAAUGGAUGCCACCACCAAAAACUAGAAACGCUAAAAUUUGCAGGAGGAAAACCUUCAUGAUCAGCCACAUUUUCCUUGGAAUAAAAGCCUCUUCUCUUCUCUUGCCCUAAACACAACUCCUUCAAUUCUCUUACUACUUUUGAUGUAUUUCUUUCACAUGUGAUUCAUUAUAUAGGCAUGGUAAUUCUCUCGGGAUACAAUACUUCCUCUCCACGUGUCAAUAUAAGAGGAAGUGAUUUGAAUGUGUAUUGGUUUUUAAUGUUCUUUCAGGACGACUUCAAAAUAAUUAAUUAUGAUAUUUCUUACAAGUUACCUACGCGUUCUUUUAGAAUAAAUUUAAAAUAUUCUUUCACAAGUCUUUUAUUGAUUAUUUCAACAAAUGUUAAUUAAUUAAAUAUAUGUAGGAUGCUUUUAAAACUUUGACCUCCCUAUGAGUAGCCUUCUGAAGAUCGUUGGUGGCAAAGUUGUUUUCGUAUAGUUAAUACAAUUUGUCAUCGUCGUUGUUUUCGUUUGAAUGGGACAAAGUUGUUUCCAAUUUUUUUUAAAACUUGGGAAUUGAGAUUAUAAAAGACAAAGUUGUUAAUACAACUUCAGAAUCGAUGAUAAACUAAUUCGGUAUUUCAGAAUUUUCCAUAAAAAAACACAAAAAUAUAUUUUGUAAAAAGUUGAAAAUAGGAUACAAACAACCCCUUGUAGUAUUUUUUUUUUUCUCAACAAAAACCAAUUUAAUAACAAUAAUAAUAAAUAAUUAUAGAUUUAAAAGAUAAUCUGAAAUUUCUUUCAAUAUAUAAGCCUUGUACGUGAUGUUGGUUGACUAUUAUGAUAGUAAAUUCGGGAGGAUGCUUGCAUGUAAAAAUUUUAUUUUAUUUUAUUUUUAAUCAUGGAGCACAUUUUGAUAGAUUCUGAUUUAUAAUACUGCAUCAAUGGUCAUGAACAUUGCAAUCAUGAUUUUUUUUGAGAUGUUUAAAUGGACGUGAAAGAUAAGAAAUAGAUUUUCUAUUAAGAUAUUUGAAUGGAGAUGAAAGCAUGGGUAUAGGUUUGUACUAAGGAAAUGAACAUAUGAUUAAAAUAAACCUGAUACAGUUAGUCUAUAAGAAUGGAUCCUGUUUCUAACCUUUUAACACACAAAUUUGGAAACCUAAACCUCUGGAUUGUUUCUUUCCUAUAAUGGAAUCCUAUAUUCCUUCUCAAAGCAGCGCUGACUUUUCCCUUCCUACCAAAUACGAAGAGAAAAUCUUGACUAAUCUUGAUAAAGUUUUAAAAGUAUUCUACAUAUGUUUUAAAUUUAUUCUAAAAUAAUGUGUUUGAUUAAUUUCUUGGUCAAUUCUCAAAGUCAAACUUGUAUUUUGAAUUAGAAAAUUCAAGAGAUUCUAAGAAACUCAUCUUCUAGGAUACACAACCUGAUUGAAGCUGAGCUGUGAGAAAUUUUCACAAUUGUUAGCAUUCUUCAGGCAUUUGGUUUAUUUAAAUUUUGGUAAGUAAUCAAAUAUCAUACACAACCUGCUCUUUGAAGUGGUCCUGGAAGAACAUUCAAAACCAAUACACAUUCAAAUUACUUCGCUUAUAUUGAUACGCGGCGAGGAAUUGUUGAUACCCAAGCCACAUGUGAUCUGAUUUAAUGUAGCUGCCACAAAGUUGCUACUUUCAUUCUCAGACAGUCUGAAGCAAUUAGAAAAUGUGAAUCGGAGGCCCCCACAUUCCUUGGAUCUGUAGACACUUGAUGGACACAAAAUGUUUUCCAUAACUGUGCAAUCAUGGGCAUCUAUUUCUUCUAUACUUGAUGGAAGCUCUGGUAAUGAUUGAAGCCUCUUGCAAUAACCCAACCUAAGGCCUUUGAGCUGUGAAAGUUGAUUGAGGCUUGCAGGUAGAUUAACAAAAUUGUUUCUGCUCAGAUCUAAAUAUUCCAAUGAGCACAGAGAGCUAAAGUCAUUGGGAAUUGGUCCUUCCAAUAUGCGGCAAUCACUUAGAUUUAACUUUCUUAGGGAUCUUAAACCAAAGAAAGAUGCAGUUGCAAACGCCUAGAGCGUGGAAUUUCUGCAGGCAACAACUGGAAAGAGAGGAGCAAAUUCCUUGGCUUGGAUUCUAGUCCUUUACAUCCCUCAAAUGAUAAUACUUCAAGGUUUUCUGAAAGAGAAAUAGAGGGCGGCAGCUCUUUUACAGAGUUCCAGCUGCUCCGAGCUUCUCUAAACCUUGUAGGCUCCCCGAACCUCUGGCAAAUUGUCUAGUUUUGAGCAACCAGAUGGAAUAAGAGUUUGAAGAGAUUUCAACUUACAAAUGCUAUGUGGAAGAAUUGCAAGGCUUUUGCAUUCUCUCAGAUUCAACAGAACAAGUCCACUUAGAUGUUGGAUAGGUGAAGUUAGCUCUUUUAGAGCAGUUCCAUCUAAGAAAAGUUCCAACAAACUCCCCAUAUUUUCCAAGACUUCUGGAAGCUCUUUUGAGUUUUAAGCAAUCUGAGAGAAUAAGAAUUUCAAGGGAUCUCAACCUAUAAAUACAGCUUGGUAAUGACUCAGGGUUUUGACAGUUCCUCAGAUUUAAUAAAACAGGUCCAGUCAGAUAUUCAAUCGACAAGGGCAAUCCUUUUACUGCAGUGCCCUCCAAGGAAAGCUCUGAUAAAUGUUUCAUGCACCCUUGGACCUCUGGAAACUUCUUGAGUUUCGAGCACCCGGAGAGAGUAAGAAUUUUGAAGAGAUUCCAUACAGAUGCUUCUUAGAAAACUCUUAAGAUUCUCGCAGCCUUCUAAAUUAAGGAAAACAAGCUUGUUUAGAUCUCCAGUGGAUGGGUGAACCUUGGACAAACUUGUACAACCUUCAAGAAUUAGUCUCCUAAGGUUUGGGGCCCCCGAGAAGUCUGGGGUUUCAAUCAGGUGUUGGGAGUAGCUAAGUUUUACGAAUUUCAAUUGCUGAUACAUCUGUCAAAAACAAAACAGAAAAAAUGAUUAUAAUUCGUUUAAAGUGAAAGACGAAACUUGCAAAGAUUAUAAUCAUAUACCUUGAGUCCUUUCCAAAGUUGUUCAACUCGACUGUAACUCAUAUUUAGCUCGACAAGCUGCUCAGGAUGAAAAUUUAAUGGGAGGGAUUUCAGAGGGUAUCCAUGCCAAUAUAGACAUCUUAAGUUGUUCGAUAGAGAUUUGAAGUCUCCAGAAAGAAGCAAUUUACAGUCUUUGAAUUGAUUGAGCUUAUUCAUCCUUGUGCAAGCAUCAGCCAGCACAUAACUGUUUCCAAGAAAAAUAUUCAAAGCUUCCACAUAGCCGCACGUUACAGACUUUGAGCAAUCUUAAUUUGUUCAUCUUCAUGAAGGCAUCAAAACUGAAGUGUAGUUCCUUUGAUGCUGACAAGUCAAGGACUAUGCCUUCAACUACUUCAGUUCCUUGCAAUUAACCAGGAACAGAGUAUGGAUUGGAAAUUAAAAUCACAAAAUUCUAAAAGGAAAAGCACAGAAAGCAUCAAACUAAUGACUUGUUUUCUUGUUUUUUUAGGCAGUGUUCUAGGAAGCAAGUAUGAAGAUAAAAGAAAAUGCAUCUACUAAGACAGAAACUCAGGGAAAAGUUAGCAAAGGAUUCAAAUCAAAUCAUUCCCCCAGCUUUAUAUCUGCCUUUGCAUACAUAAAUAUGCAAUACCUUAUUAAAAUUGUACAUAUAUGUGAGUUUCUCAAAUAAGUUGAAAUUAUUCAAACUUCCUCUUCACCUAUAGAGCUUAUAUAUACAAAAAGGGAACACACACACAAAGUUCAUGUAUUUAGGUCUUACUAUGUUUCUAGUUAAUGCAUCACUAACAUCUUCAUGAAUCCACAAUCUGCUGUGUUUUCCAGGAUAUUUAAGAGAUUCUUGCCAAACAAUUUCCCAACCCAUUUCUUGUAACAAAUCAUGCAUGCACAACUUAUUAUCUGAAACAAUUAUGAGUGACUUAUCAACGAGAACCCUUAUUCCAAUAUCCGGAAAGAAACCACAACUCUCUAGUAUUUCUGUGACAAAAUCUUUGUCCUCCCAUUUUCAAAAGCAUGCAAUAUCGAGAAAUAUAUCUCUUUGUCAUCUAAUCCAUCAAAACCCAUUUUAAGCACGUUCUGAAUUUCCAUGUUGCUAAUUCUUUUUAGUUUGUCCAAUUCACUUUUCCAUUCAAGUAUGCUCUUGCUAUACAAAAAAGCACCUAAGACUUCAAGAGCUAAGGGAAGACCCUUACUAUAAUGUAUUACAUCAUAGCAUAGCUGCAUAUAAUCUUCUCCAGGGUGGUUAUGUUUAAAGGCAUACUGACGAAAGAGUUGAAAAGCUUCACUAUCCUCUAAUCCCCUAACUUCAUAAAUUGCACUGACUCCAUGUGUAACAAGCAAAUGCUUUUCUCUGCUUGUUAUAAUAAUUCUACUUCCUGAACCAAACCAAUCAUGGUUUCCUGCUUAAUAUUCUAACUGUUCCAAGUUAUCCACAUCAUCAAGAACAAUAAGAACCUUCUUAGAGUGGAGCCUAUCCUUUACAAAAUUGAUUCUUGUAUUGGAAAUUCCUACAUUUGGAUUUCCAUCCUUCAAUGUCUUUGAGAGAAGUUCCACUUGUAAAUGAUCUAGAACACAUUUUUGUGAGCCUUCUCUAACACUUGUAAAUGAUCCAAUAAUUGGUUCAAACAGUUCAAAAUUGGUCCAAUAAAUAUACCCUUCAAAAGGAGAAAUUGAACCAGAAAUGUCGCUUGGUGGUUGGAUCAAUUAGACCAACUGAUUUGUUUCAAUUUUCAAAAAAUAUUGCUUUAACAUGUAUGAUAAUCAAAAUAUAGGAAAAAAAACUAUUUACUAAGAAAUGAGAUUAUUAUAACAAAAUAGAAAAUGUAAUCUAUUUUAAUGAUAUGAUGACUUGUAACUAGAUGAAACUUUGACCAGCAAAGAAAAACAAACAAAUCUUGAGGAAUUAGAAAAUAUUAUCUUUUAUAUUAAACUUAUCUUUGUGUAAAAGCUCUCUACAAUUAACUAUGGGUUUUCAUAAAGCUUUAUUUAGGCUAUGUUACAUUCUUGGAAAUUAAAAAAAAAAAAAUGUAAGAAAUUAAUAAAUUAUUUUUUUCAUUAAUAUAAAUUAAAUAAUUAAAAUACCUAAAUUUUUCAAAAUUGUUAAUCAUGGUAGUGGGCCUUUGAUCAGCCAAAGAUAGCCCAUGCAUCAUUUGCCAAAAUUGUUAAUCAUAGUAGUGGGCCUUUGAUCAGCCAAAGAUAGCCCAUGCAUCAUUUGCCAAAGUGAAGCACAACAACCUUAUAAUAGGGAUGUCACAUAGUAAUUCAUUAUUCAUUAUUUUGUUUUCCCUUUUCAAUGUGGAUUUUCUUAAAGCUAUUAAAAAAUCACAUAAUAUCAAGAUUUGAGCAUGGGUCUUUCACAAUAUCUUUUAUAUACUAAUAAUUAUAAAUUAAUUAAAAUGAAAGAAUUAUAAAUAAGUUAAUUUUAAUUAUCUUAUUAUGUCUCUUAUACAAUGAUUUAAUAUAGGACAAAUAUAAAUUUAUAAAUAAAAUUAUUAACAUUUUCAAAUAAAAAAUAUAAAUAUAUAUCAAUAUAUUUUUUAUAUCCUUCAAUAUAUCUAAACUUAAUGCAUUAUCAUUUUAGUAUUAAUGUUUCCCAAUUCGGUAUAUUAUUAUCUAAUAUUACAAAUUUUUUAUACAUUUAUCAAUUUUUCUUAAAACAAUAUCAAUAUAUACAUCAUUAUUUUUCUAUCAUUUUUUGAGUUAUUUCCAACAUUUCAUGAGGUUUUAUCGAUUUCCAUCUCAUAUAUAUAUAUAUAUUUCAGAAUUUUCAUUGAUAUUUGUUUAUAUAUCUAUAAACUAGAACUAAUGAUAUAUCAGUAAAAAUCAAUAUUUUCAUUCUUAUUUAACAUAAGAAAGAAAAUUAUUCAAAUGGUGCAUAAAUUAAUGUGAUCUCCUGAUGAGAAUGACAACAACAACCAUGAGUCAUAGUUAGUGUAUGUGUGUGGUAAAUUAACUUAGUGUUUGAUAAAAUAAUUAUUUAUCAUCAUUUAAAAUUUAAAAAUAAAUUUAAAUAUUAAAUCAAAAUAAUUAACUUAUUCUAAAUACUAAAUUUUUUUAUUCUCUUUGUUCAUAUUUGGUGAUAACCAUGCUUUAUUUUUAGAAUUCUUUUUUUUAGUAAAUAUUUUUUAGUUAUUUUGUAGCUUCACAAUAGUACUUUUUAAUAUAAAUGUUUAACAAGCUUAAGUUUAUGAAGAUAAUUAUUAAGAAAAAUUAAUGAGUUUAAAUAUAUCAAUAUAAUAACUUUAAAAAAAUUAAGUUGAUUUUACCAAAAUUAAAGUAAAAAUAAUUCAUCUUAAAAUUAAUUUCAAUAAUUCGGUAAUAAGGAUUAAGUUGUAUCAUAUACUCUCUUAAUUAAAAAAUGACAUAACUUCUUUCAACAACUUCUUCAUUCUACUUUUGAAAAAAUAAGAUAAAUUAAAUUAAAAAUUAAAGUGAUAUUUAUUUAUUUAUUUAUGUCUAAAAUUUAAUGUACUUGAAUUUGACUUAAAUCUAACUAUAACUUAAUAUCAUUAAGUGUCUAGACUCUUUUUUUUUAUUAGUGUCUAAAUAUUAUUAACCGUUAAAUUGUUUAUUUUUAUUAAUAUCAAAAUAUGUGAAGUGUUAAAUUUAUUUAUUUUUGGUUAAAAACAUUUACAAAAGUAAUUGUUAUAUUUCUUCUUAUUUUAAUUUGAAAAGUUAUAAUUUAACAAAAUAGUAAUUUAAUUAACACAUCUAAAAAUAUUAUAAUACAUUAUCAAAGUAAAAAUUUUAUAAUGAUAAUUAUGUAAUUAGUAAAUAAUAUUAUUGUACAAUCCAUUGUUCCAUGUCGUAUAUUAUAGCAUAGUUGUGCAUACCCAUCAGUGCAUAGACAUAUCUUUUGAUAAUCUAUCAUGAAUGUCUCGUGGACUCUACAGGAAGUAUGUAGCUAUUAUAGUAUAAAGAUGGCGUAGGAAGAGGCUCCAGGUUUAGUAGUUCACACUCAACCAUAGCAAUAGGGAAUAUAUUGCACAUUAUUUCCAUCUAAAAGAAAGAUAGAAAAGACCUUAUAAAUGGAACUUUUAGAUAAAAACUAAGGGUCACAAUGAGAUGACUCUAAGAAGGAUCACCUCAAUCUCAAUCUUAUGUCAUUUAUUUAUAUUAAAUGGGGUGAGAUAAGACAAAAUUAUAUUCGAACCUGUCCUGAACUUGGUCUGAGGCCAAGAAGGGUCUCUAAAAUAAUAAGCCUCAUUGUCAUUCUUAGGUACACAUCUAUACCAAUGAAAGUUUUUACAUCUAUUAAAAAAUUCAAUGUUCCCGAUGUUAAUUAACUUCACUAGACUACAUACACUUAAAAUGCAUGAAAAAAUGUCAAAAUUCUCAACCAAUUAAUGACAUAAACUAAAAUCAAGUUUAGUACAUCAUAACCCUAAAAUACCUCCAAACCCCAUUUCUUGUAAGACCCCCUUCUGAUUAGGUUGCAAAUGUUGAAGUACUUUAUACACUUAAUUAGGUGAACAACAAGUGUCAAGAUAAGACUUCAAGCCAUACAUAUACAUAUGCAUAUAUAUUUAAAAUUGAAAGAAAAUAUUAUCAAAUUUUAAAAAGAUAAAUUUCAAAUUUUUUUUUUACCUUUGAUACAUUUUUUGAGCUUGUACCCUUUUGUUUUACAUAUUCAUUGGAGCAUUUCUUUGACUUCCCAAAGAACUUUUUUUUUUCUAGGACUAAAAACUUUUUUCCUUAAUCGACUUGGGAUAUUAUAUACACCCACAACCUAACUUAGUAGUUUUAAAAUUAAUUGGUUAAAAAGAAUGAAAUAAUCCCAAAAUUUGUAAAUAUAACAAGAUUGUGUUUUUACUUGAAAAGUAGCCCAUUUUGACAUAAAUGUCUUUCGCCAUUUCAAUUAUUUACAUUUAAAUUUAAAAAAAAAGUUAUGACAUUUUUGUCAAAAGAAGGACACAAAAAGAUCAAAAGUUAAAUUUCCAGAUUUAGUUUUUUAAUAGAUAUUUUAAUAAAAUAAACCUUAGUUUUAUAUCACAUAAUGUUUCUUCUUUAUUGUUCUUUAAUCCCUUUUAUUUAUUUAUUUAUUUUAUCAUACACGACCUAUUAAAUUUGAAAAUUUUAACAAUUUCUUGCAGUGCAUGCCUACGUGCUUAUCACAUGAGCUUCUCCAUCUAUACUAGCUAGGGAUCCAUUUGAUAAUUUCUUUUAGUGUCCACAUGCUUAUCACAUGGACCUCUUCACUUCUAUUAAUAGGGGUCCAUUUGGUAUUUCAAAAUAGUUCAAGGGCUUUGCUUAAGAAAAGCUUAGAGACUAGUUCGAAACAAUGUUUUUAGAACCCAACUAGUUAUUGAAUAAAAAAAGUUAUUGAUUCAUUGUCUAGUGGUCAAAUUAAUGUUUGAACUGCAGUCAAAUUGGUGACAUCAUAAAUAUAUAAAUUAUAUAUUAAAAAAAAUUAUAAAAUUAUAAAACUUAUUUUUCAUCUUUGACAUUUCCAAACUUAAAUCAUGAAUAAAUAUAAAUAUAUUAAUAUUUUAAAUUUUAUAAAUAAAAUUUGUGUAACAUUCAUAUGUAAAGAAAUAUAUUUAAAUAGAAUAAAAUUCUUUUGUUCAUAAUUUAUUUUACUUAUAUUAUAUUAUUUAGUUGUAUUACAAAAUUUAAAAUAAUUAUGUUAAUUUAGGUUUAGUUUGCAUUUUUUAAAUUAUAAUCAUUAAUAACAAAGUGGUGAUAGCCUAAACAUGAUCUAAAGGUCCAUGGUUCAAACCCUUGGUUCCUCAUCAUUUUCCUGGUCUCAUUAGGUGGGCUAGGCUUGGUAUGCGAAGGGCUAACCUUCCACCCAUGAUCCAACCUUUUAGUUGAUGAAAAAAGAAGGCUAACCUAGAAUCGAUAGACCAUGGUUCAAAGUUGUGGUUGCGGUCACUAACUUGGAGGGUCUUGCGGCACAUUGGUCUUGACAUCUUAGCUUGAUAUUAGAUGAUAUGUAAAAUAAGAUAAAUAAAAAUUAUAAAAUUAUAAAAUAUUAUAAUAAAUAUUUAAAAAAUAAAUAUAAUUAAAUAAACUUAAAAUUUAAUAAAAUAAAAUAUUAUGAAAAUUAAAAUUGUUCAAUAAAUUUUUAAUAUUGAAAUUGAAAACAAAAACUCUUUAAUUACCAAACUCAAAUUAAAAAAUAAAAUAAAAUGUGAUGAUUUUUACCACACAUUAGCAUUUAAAAAUUGAAACAAUAAAAUAACAUAUAUUAUUGAUACUAUCAUUUAAAACAACAAAUAUAUUGUUGAUAAUGGCAUUUAAAACUAUAAAAUAGUGCAUUAGACCUGCAUUCAAAUCUUCAAUUCUCAAACACCACCAACCCACCCAUGAAUAGAGAAAGAGAAGAGAACCCUAGCAAAAGUAGAGAGCUUCAAUUCUCAAAUCUUCAAUUUUCUUUUUAUGUGUUCAAGUGAUUUUUAUUUGUUAAAUGAUUCCAGCUACUACUUGGGUCUAGUAUUUCCUUGGUGUAUAUAUCAUGCACUUCUCAGUAGAAAGCCCAUAGACUAAUAUAAAGGAGAAACAAGUUUUUAUUUAUUUGCAAUGCCUAAUAUAAAAUUUAAUAAGCACCUAAUUUUUUAUUUCAGCUAUGAAUGAUAUUUUUCUCUAGAUCAUAAGUACGUUGGUUGAAUUAAAAAAAAUUUAUACCAUUUCAGCCACUAAUUAAUAUCAUGCAAUAGAAAAACAAAAUUGAAAUUUGGGAUAAUAAAUAUCAUUAAAGUACAAAGAAAGUAACUUAUUGGGAGCAAAUUCUUCACAACCUGGCAUUCGCCUUUAGAUUGAAUAAUUUAUUAAUAAUCUCCUCUUUCUUUCUAAACUUCACCGCUGUUUAUGAAAGUUUCUAAAAACCAAAGCCCAAAGCCUAGACUAUAAAAAGGAAACAAUCACUUGGAGAGGGGUUGUUUGUUUUUCUUGGGAGCCUAAUAAAUGCAACGGCAUAGACAGAAAGAGGCGGAAGAGUUGAGUCGGAGGAUCAAGAAACACAACCAUUCUUCUCUUUCAUUUCUAUACAUAUCCUUCCAUGCAUUCUCUGGCUCUCCCAUUCUCUUUUUCAAAGCUACAUCUUUCCUCAUAGACCCUGUUUGGUUUCUAAGAAAGUGGUCUAGGUCUCUUUCUUUUUCUUGAUUUAUCUUUGGUUUACAAGAAUCAGGAGUGAAGUAAAGUGGGCUCUUGAUUUAUGUUUGAUUUUUCUUAUUCAAACCUAUGUUUUGAUCUUUUCUCUCCAGCUCUUGUGGUCUAGGUCUAAUAUGCGUUGUGUUUUCUUUCUUUUUUCUUGGUUUUUGUUUGGUUUUCCAAGAAAGUGAAGGAAAAGGAACUCUUUACUCUCUUGGCAUAUUCCACUUAGGAUUGUCCUCCUACAUCCUUUGAUGCUUUAGUGUUUGGUCAUUAGUUGUUUUUAAGCCCUUAUUGAUGGUCCAUUAAGACAUUUUAAAGGGAUUAGGCGGAUCCCUAUCUUGAUUUUAGUGAUUUUUGAAUCUUAGUUUUAAUUGAUUUAUAACAUAUUUAGGCUUGUUUAGAACUUUUAAAAUUCAUAAUUUUGAAUGUGCCAAAUACCCCCUUCCAUCAAUUCCAACUGCAGCAACUGCCAUUCAAAGAUGCUAGCCACAUAUUAAACCCAUGCAUGAACCCCCAGCCAGAUACCCAUUUUUUCCUCCAUCCAUCAACCACCUUCUUACUCCCACCACCGCCACUGCUCACCAUUCCCACUUCUCCUCCACCACCAUGGCCACCACCGCUUCUGGCUCUGUCUUCCUCCUUCUGCUCCUUGCUGCCAGCGCUGCCGUUGAUGGCAGAGUCAUAAGCAACCGCACAUCGUCCACCGGCCUAGUCUCUGACGGCGUCCACGACCACCGCAAUGGUUUGCCUUAUCUUCUUCUCAGGUCUUUUUCGGCCGUUUCAGCCUCGGAUUCAUGUGAUCAUAUAGUAAACCCAAAUGGAAAUCAAACCUUCACAACCCGCUCACCUUUCCGAUGCCCGUGAUGAUCAAGUCUGGCACUCGAAAGAGAGAGGACAACUGGGUCAUCUCCCUCUUCGUGAUCCUCCACAUUGGGCCCUUCUUGCAUCGCCUUGGAUUUGAAACUGACCGGUUUAGAACCAUAACUCCUGCACGCGAGAGAGAUCACCAUAAGCCAUGCAAGGGAGCAUGCCAGUCACGUUCUCUAACUGCCAUGCAUCCGGUGAAGCGGUUUUGCGAGGAGAAGCCUCCAGAAGAGAAUCUUUUCGGUUGCGGGAAUAUAAAGAUCACGCCAGAAAGAAUAAAGAGGGCUGUUCUAGAGACUUCGGAGGAGGAGAGAGGAAAGGAAAACUGACAUAGAGAGUCUCUGUUUCUGGGCGUUUUUUGGAAGAGAGUUCAAAGAUCUUCUUUCUGUAGAAGAUCAUCACAUGCACCGAUUCAAAGAAUUUAGAGAACUUCUCGUUAGAGUCAAGGUUCUCAUCAUUCUAGACCUUCAUGAACAUCUUCUUCACGGCGGCAUUGGCAUCCCGAUUCCUGAACCUCCAUGAUUGAUUGAUCUCCAUCAUCUUCACGAUCGUGCACAAGUUCUGAAAGUAGAGACGUGAAUCUCUUCAUCGUCUUCACUCUCUAUACUUGUAUCUCGAAGGUUAUCCCGGUUUCUAUGUGCAUCGGAUCUCCAUAGGAAAAAUUAGAGAAUGAAUAGAGGUUGACUGUCAGCCCCUUAGACCCUUGACUUAACCAUGGAGGAAUAGGCCUCAUGGGUAGGCCUUGCACCCAUGAAAGCCUAGGAUGAAAGCAGGGAAAUCCUGGAGGUUUGGUGGUUCAAACUCUAGGAGGCAUGUGAGGAGGCCGCAGGUGAGCCAGACAAGCACUGCGCGCGCAUCGCGGGCGAGGCAGACACGCACCACGCGCACACAGUGGGCAAGCCAGACGCGCACCGCGCGCGCACAGUGGGCGAGCUAGACGCGCACCGCAUGCACACCACAGGCGAGCCAGACAUGCACCGCGUGUGCACCAGAUGGGCAUCGCGCGCGCAUCUGACUUAGGUGGUGCAGAUGAAGGCUGAGGGACUUGGAAUUUUAAUUUAUAAUUAAAAUUAUUAUUCCAUUAUGCCUUCUCAGACAUAUUGAUGUCUCCUCAAGAAACAAUGAAAAUGGCUCGUAUUGCUCUUUAAGGGGGGGGGUAGGUGACUCAAAGGAGGGAGCCACCAAGAGAAGCCUUGACCGCACCAAGGGGGCACCAUGGCAUGGCCUUGGGCGUGCCUAAGACACACGACAUGACUCGAGCACGCACACAUGGGCUCCACGACAUGUGUGGUGUGCACCCCAUGGCCGCAACGGCACGGGGCCUGGUGCGGCCUGACCCCUCCCCGUGCAGGCACGAGGGAACCUAAGCCUUGUGCGGUAAGCCAGUUAAUGAAACCAUGGGCACAAUGCCAUGGUCUGAUGGCUCCAAUAGCUGACUCGCAUCAAGAUGCCUACGCAAAGCACAGGGUGCAAUGCCCUGUGCACCAAGAGGGAUCAGUCAUGGGCGCAAUGCCAUGGCUCGUUGCUUGGAAGCUGGGAAGCAAGCAACAAGCCCAAGCCAUGGGCACCUAGACAUGGCAUGGGUUCAUUCAUUAGUGUGGGGAAGGCACACUGAUGCACUAGACGCUUGGUCAAAUGGGUGGAGCACGUUGCCUGGCUUAGAGGGCCUUGAUCAAAGACAUGCUGAUGGGCACCUGGUCACAAGAGGCACCUUACGGGGGAGGGGUCAGCUUGUUAGGGGGACUCACCAGUAGCUUGGCGAGCAAGACCUGAGGAGAUGGCAGUGCAGCUAGCUAGUGGCAGCUAGCUCAGUGACCAAGUCAAGCCGUCAUUUGAACUGCAGUUGGCUGAGGGAUGAUGGCUGGUGCAAGUGGGUGGCAUGUGCAGGCCACUAUCUAGGUGGUGGGUGGUUAUGCAGGGCAGUUGAGGGCGGUUCUGGCCAGUUGCAUAACCACCAAAGUUGGCUUCAAGAUUUGAAUUGGAAAUUCAAAUUUGUAAUUGCAGCUUGAGUCUUUUAAAAGGGCUCCUGCAGCCUUCAAACAGGGAGAGAGAGUUUUGGGGAAAGGGUUCCUUCUCGUAUGCCUUGGGUGAGAGCAUUGUACUCUAGUUCAGGAAGCAAUUUUGUCUUGCAAGAGUGAUUAAUACAAGUUAGGAAAGGAUUCUCGUAACCUCAUGUGUCCCUGUUGCUUUGUUAUUUCUGUGUUCUACUCUGUUUUUCUAAACGUUAGGAUGGAAGGUUGGCUAAGGACUGGUCCUUAGCACCGCGCACUCGUGAAAAAUUCAGUGAGAUAUUCAGGGGUAUGACACUGACCAUGAUUACUAUAUCUAGAUAUAUGUUAUGGAAUAAUGGCAGUUGUAGUAAAUAAUACACAAUGGGUUACAGGAUAAUGUUGAUGCUUGUUGAUUUUUUUAAUAAAUACUACAUAUAGAAAAGUAGAUGUAUAACCAGCCAUAAGUGUUUUUAGUGGCUCUUGAUUACAAGUUAUUGUGCCUUGUUCAUAUGUAUUAUUUUUUUCUUCUACAUGUUUAGUGUUGUCAUUUUAGUUCCAAGUAUAAUAUUCGAUUCCUUAAUUCUAAUCUUUAUUGCCAAUAUUUUCACUUUAUUCAUGAUUUUUUUGAAUACAUGUUAGUUUAGGUUGGGUGUGGACAAUUUGGGCUACGCAUGAGUGUUGUUAGAAUUUGAUAUUUAGGAAACUAAAUGAUUAAAUGUGGAUUGCUUGGUGAAUUAUGAUUGAGAUUGAGUUAUUUUUUUCUCUUUUUAUUCAAAACUUCUUUUCAUCUAAAUAAGUCAUUGGAUAAUCACAUGAUAAUUGGCUUUGAAUAAAUUCUCCUCAUUUUGAUUCUUAGAAAUUUGAUUUGUCUUAAUUUUCUAAAAUAAUUCACACAUGUACAUUUACAUUUUUUAAUAAUCCAAAUUUAAAAAUAUACAUGAACCGUUUUCCUUUUUUGGAAAAUUGAUUUUAUACCUCAUUCAUAACAAGAUCAAUCUUAGUCUCUUUGAUAAUGGAUGGCUUUUGUAUUUAAAACCUAUCUUAGUCUCUUUUAAGUAGAAAAUUUCAAUUUCUAAAAAGAAUAAUGCUGCCCAUUUUAUUUGGUAUGCAACUUUGAAAGGUUUUAAAAUAUUUUUCCCUUAAUCUAGACUUCUUAAAUUUAAUUUUUGACAUAUUAAAUAUUAAGAAAAGAUUUCUGAAAUGAGAGAUAUAAUUUUUUUCUUUUUGACCUUGCUGCACCUAUGCUCCCCUAGAGCUGAAGGAUGUUUACUUAUUUUUAAAUGUGUCAUGAAUGUAACAUUGCCUUGUGAUUAUUAUUUUUUAUUAAAAAUAGACAUGUUAGCUAGUUGUACGAAUUUUUGUAUGAUUUUAGGACAUCUCCAAGUUAAUUAAAAAAAUAAGUUCUUGAGUAUUUUAACAAAAUGCCCUGUUCUGAACCUACUAAUAUCAUUAUGAAAUCUAGUACUAAAUGAGAGCUAAUUGAUAAAUUGGAUGAUAAAGUAGACAUAUAGAAGAUAUUCUUUGAAAAUUUUUGUAAUGAAAUUCAACUUCUAGAUAUUUGUUUUUGAUUUAUUAUAUCCCCUGUUUUGACCAUUUGCUGACUUUUUUUUUUUCUUUUUUUUUUUUUUUUUGUAAAAGAACUCAUUUGUAAAUAAAUUUGACAUUGAUUAUAUAUAAGUUUAGUUUGUAAUUCCUUUUUGAAUUCAUUACUAUUAUUUGUGAGUUAAUCUCAUUUCUAUGAAAAUGCUUUAAGAUGCUAAAACAGGUAUGCAAACCCUCUUUUCAUAAUUUAUUUAAAUUAAAGCUUAUGAUUGAACAUUGUCUAUUAGAGUUUGCUAGUUGUGUUGAGAUUUAUGACUUUAAAUUUGACUUGUUAUGGAAUAUGUGAUUGCUUAGAAUACAAUGUGAUGCUAUUGCUUGUUAUCUAACUUUUGUGUUUUUUGGAACCGCUCAAAUUAGGUAUGCCUUUCUUCAUAUAAUUGAUGAAUUGUAUUGAUGUGUUUUAUUUAGUUCAUAGUAUCCAUGAAUCAACCAAUUGAUCUUCGGAAUUAUUUCAAUUUACUUAGUAGAGACCUAGCUUUUAGGGCUUAGAGGGACGCUAUAGUUCUUCAUUGUACCUUCCUGAUAAGUAAUCUGAUACUCGAACUUAGACUCGGGUUUUCAAAGACAAGCAUUUCUAAAUAAAAAGGAGUCAUUUUCUAGGGUUUUUCUUUCUUAUUUUGUUUGUCAUUUUAAAAAAAUAAAACGAAAAUAAGUGGUGACUCCAUUAUUUAUAAAAUUGGUUUUUCACAAACAAAAAGUGAGUGUUGCCAUCGAGUGAGAAUGCAUGUGAAAAUGCGGGAUCACAAACGGUGAAGUAAAGUGGUUCUUGAUUUAUGUUUGACUUCUGUUUUUUAAACCUCCAUUUUGAUCUUUCCUCUUCGGUUCUGUUUGGUUUCCAAGAAAGUGGUCUAGGUCUAAUAUGGACCAUAGUUUCUUUCUUUUUCUUGGUUUUUGCUUGUGUUUUUCUUUUUCUUGGUAUAUCUUUGGUUUACAAGAAACAGGAGUGAAGUAAAGUAGGUUCUUUAUUUUUGUUUGGUACUUUGGUUUCUCGUUCUCAAACCUACGUUUUUAUCUUUCCUUUUAUGCUCUGUUUGGUUUCCAAGAAAGUGGUCUAGAUCUAAUAUGCACUGUGCUUUCUUUCUUUUUCUUGCUGUCUGUUUGGUUUACAAGAAGCAGGAAUGAAGUGCAGUGCAUUCUUGAUUUCUAUUUGGUUUCGAAUAAAGUGAAGGAAAAUGAUGUCUUGCUUGUUAUAUAAUCAUUGAUAAGACGCCCAGGGUAAGAACCUCAUAUUCCUAAAAACAUGCUUACCAAUGAUUUUGCUUGAGCUCUUAGAAAUAAUCUCAAAUAAUCUCACUUAAAGCUCUCAAAUAGUAAUCUAUGUCCACCAUGAUAAGACAUGAUGAAAUAAGCCCCACAAAAAUAGUAUUUCAGUGCCAUUAUUUGAACCCAAGAUGAGCCCCAUGGCUCUAUCGUUUGCCUUUCUCAAGCAAACCCUACAAAGUGAAGGCUUCUUUUCUAUUAUUUAACUGUGGAGUGAGGUAACCACAAGGGAGAACCAUCAAGUAGACGCUAUCUCUUUUGCUUUCACUCUUUAUCACUGCUUUAAGUCUAAUUAUGCCUUAGAAGUAGAAACUAUGCACUAACCAUUCUCAGGUCCCACAACCCACUAUUCAUAAGCAUCAGAGUGAUGCUGUGCAUGAAGAUACUUGUACAAGGGUUUUAUGUCAUGCAACUUUCGGUGAAUCCAAUAUGUUACGAACUCCACAAAAACAAUAUAUGCCAUGAUGUACACCAAGUAGGCAAACCAGCCAACUUCACUUAUUCUUGAAAAGCACUUUGUCCACCCAUUUUCGACUGCAUACUCUGAAAAUGUUGGGAGAGCAGCAAACCAGGGAAAACUCCUCAUGGAAGCUUUGACGUGCAAAACAAAAAUGCACUAUUGGAAUAACAUGUAAUUAAGAGCUCAAGAAGACAUGCCAUUCCCUAAUGAAACAACGCUAAGCACUAUUGGAAUAAGCACGCAUUUAAACAAAACUGACAUAGAGAGUCUCUGUUUCUGGGCGUUUUUUGGAAGAGAGUUCAAAGAUUUUCUUUCUGUAGAAGAUCAUCACAUGCACCGAUUCAAAGAAUUUAGAGAGCUUCUCAUUAGAGUCAAGGUUCUCGUCAUUCUAGACCUUUAUGAACAUCUUCUUCACGGCAGCAUUGGCAUCCCGAUUCCUGAACCUCCAUGAUUGAUUGAUCUCCAUCAUCUUCACGAUCUUCACGAUCGUGCACUAGUUCUGAAAGAAGAGACGUGAAUCUCUUCAUCGUCUUCACUCUCUAUACUUGUAUCUCGAAGGUUAUCCCGGUUUCUAUGUGCAUCGGAUCUCCAUAGAUGAACUCGGAUUUUGCAUUGAUCUGAAUCUCAAGCAUGCAUUAUUUCCAUAUUGUGCUGCCAAACUUGGUGUUUUUCUUCAUUUAUUCUUCACCACAACAGUUGGACAUAAAGGUUAGUCUCAAUGAAUCUUUACCAUUUGAAUUAGUUUAUUAAUGAUUUUUAAGUUAUUCAUUGAUGAAGUUAAGGCUAAUAGAUGAAAUUGGUUUGUUGAUUUUGAAACUCACGGCUGUUUGUGACAUGCUUUUAUCAAAAUUAGAGAAUGAAUAGAGGCUGACUAUGAUUACUAUAUCUAGAUAUAUGUUAUGGAAUAAUGGCAGUUGUAGUAAAUAAUACACAAUGGGUUACGGGAUAAUGUUGAUGCUUGUUGAUUUUUUUAAUAAAAGCUACAUAUAGAUAAGUAGAUGUAUAACCAGCCAUAAGUGUUUUUAGUGGCUCUUGAUGACAAGUUAUGAUGCCAUGUUCAUAUAUAUAUAUAUAUUAAUUUUUUCUUUUUUUAAUCCUAUCUAUGUUGUUGAUAUUAAUGCAUUGAAUUUGAUGUUACCUAAAACAAAAUUAUAUUCAUGUCCUCUAUUAUAAGUGGACAACCAUUCUUUAUGUUAGAUUUUAGAUAAAGAACGAAUAUUGAAGAUUGGAGUUGUAAGAAAUUAGGAGAUCCUAAUUUUAAAUAUGUAACAAAGUUCUAUAAUCACUUCAAUCCACAUUUAAAAAUUGUAUUUCUUUCUAAAAUGGGAUCAAACUUUUUCCUUCUUUCUUAUAAAUUUCAUUUGGGAAUGAUUUAAAAAUAAAUAAAUAAAAGCCCUUCUAAAUAUUAAAAAAACACUCUCUUAUAAAAUUUAAUUAGGUGGAUGGUUAGGUCAAAUUCGGGAUAGCUUCAUAUUUUUUGCUUUAACUGAAAAUUAAAAUCAAAAUUAAAGUAAUAAUUUUUAAGAUGUUGUAAAAGUUAUAUUAAACAUGAAAGAACUUAUUGUGUAAACAAAAAUAGAAUUAUAGAAUUCUUAUAAGAAAUAACAUUUUUAUGACUUCUAUAUGAAACUUUUUAAAAAAUUUAUCAGUUUUUCUUUUUAAAAAAUAAUUAAAUAGGUAUAAAAAACUUUUAUUCAACUUAAUUUUUUUUAACUCUUGAAAGUAAAUCCAAAUAAAAUUUAAAUAUAUUUGAAAAUCAUUUUCAAAAAUCCAAAAAAUCACCUAAAAAUAAUUUCAAAUUUUUUUUAUUUACAUUUAAAUACUAAGUGAUUCUUUUAAAAAUCAUUUGUAAUGUCAAAAUAUUUUUUUAUGGAUAAAAAUAUUACAAAUAAAAAACAUUUCAAUCACAAUUAAUUUAUUUUUAAUUCAUGAAAUUUCAUUUAUUGUUACUUAUUUUUUGGGAUUUAAUUCUUUACAAUUAUUUUUGAGUGUUUACAUAGAAUAAUUAGGUUAUGCCCAAAUUUAUUCCUUUAACUCUAUCCAUCAGAUAUAAGUAUCGUGAAAUUUUGGCCUGUCUCCACCUUUCUUCGCUUUUGACAUUGUCAUGCACUGCUUCCUCAACUCCAAACACAACCGCUGAGGAUCGAAGAAAAUGAGACAAUGGUCAAUGAAUAAUUUAUUAAUUUUUUUCUUAAUUUAAUAGCAUUGGAAUGUCAGUUGGAACAAACCAUUUGAUGAUCUUUUUCAUAAGUAUCCAUUUAGAUCAUAGUCUUUUUAAAAUAUUAGAAUAAAUCAAUUAGUCUAAGCUAUAUCAUUUAUAAUUUUUUUAUUAUUAAUAUGAUACCUAUCCUUUCACGGAAUUGAAAUAAAAUAUGAAUAAUUAAAAAAUGUCAACUAUCCAUGAUAUUUGAUACCAAACUUUUCUAAUACAACAUGAUAUCAUGUUGAAUGAAAUGGGAAUCACCAAAUGUUCUCAAAUCAAAGAUAUAUCUACAGGGGACACGUCAAAUUCUCUUUUUAUAAUCAAAGGCUUCCAAAAAAAUUCAACCAUAGCAUAUCUCAAAGAUUAGUCAAAUUCCAUUAUUUUUAUAGACUUCUAACAAUUCAAGAAAUUGACAUUAAUAAUCCCAAACACAAUAUUCUGCAACUUUACAUUAUUCUUUUUAUUGUAAUUGAAGAGGAAUACCAACUUAGUCAAAUAGAAAAUAAAUCAUGAAAGCUGAAUAAUACAAAUAUUCAGUGAAAUCUUUGGCAUGUUAUUUCUUUGCAGCUUCAACAUGGUGGCAUGUCGGAUGGAGGAGGCAGCAUUUGAGCUUCUGGGUGUUUACCAUUUUUCACUAUGAAUGCAGUUUCCAUGCCCCAAGUCACAUGGCGUUCUACAUGGCAAUGCAGGAACCACACUCCUGCAACAGAGAAAAUAUAUCGAGAUUACACCUAACUUAAUUGUAAUAUUAAAAAAAAAUUAUUUCAUUGGUAUGCAAGUUGGCAGUAUCAAGGGUUUUUUUCUUUAAUAGAGGACAUGAGUGCUUGCAACGUACCAGGGUUGGAUGCCUUGAAUCUGAUUGCAACCCAACCUUUCGAAGGAACAGAGAUGGUAUUCUGAAGGGGAGGAUCCACCAAAUUAUAGUGCAAAGGGUCCCUAUUUUCAUCGAAAUUCCUAAAUCCCCAUCCAACAACAUAGAAACUGUAUCCAUGGAGAUGCAUAGGGUGGUGUGUCUCUGCAAGCACGGCUGUCCCUUGAAGAACAAUCUCCACUGUGGAGUUAUACUCGAGCACCCUUACUUCUGUUCCACUGCUCGGCAACUGAUAGAUUAAUGGAAGAUAAUCAUAUGUAAAAUCGAACACUAGUGGUGGAAAGCUAGGAAAGUUAUUUCCAUAUACACCACUGAUGUUAUAAUAGUAAGCUUCCAGUAUGUCAACCGUAGGGGUAUGGAAGCUUAUGUUGUUUAUACUUGAGGAGAACCGCGUCCCAUUUGGCCCUGCACAUGAAUCAUUGACGCAUGGGUACGAGUUCAUAGAAAGAGUGUAAAACAACUUAGUGCUCGUGCUCAAUGGGACAUUGCAAGGAUGUUCCGCAUUUGCUAAGCUUCGGAGGCCGGCCAUGACCUGAACUGAUGCAUCUGUGUCAUUGUAUGCAGGAAGAUGAGGCAAAGAGGAGGUGAAGAUGGAGUGUAGUAUCCCCUAUAUUGUACAAUAGCUGUGGUGGUUGUGUUAUCAUAAAAGCCUUGAUAUUUCGGGGCAACAGAAUAAGUUAUAGCCGCCAUGUAAUAGUGAUUUGGGCGUUGGUUAGCUUCUAAUAAGACAUCAUAGGUUUGGCCAGGAAAUAUUGUGAUAUAAUCUCGUGUCAAUGGUUUCGUGUAGCUACCAUCUGUUCCAACCACUAUCAUUUUAUGCUUGGCUAUGGCGAAGAAGAGAGCCUCAUGCAAGGCAGCAUUGAUUAUGCGAAGUAGAUAGGUCUUUCCAUGAUCCACCGUUAGCUUGAAUGUGCCUGUAAUUAGAAAGGGAAAGUUGUAUACUUAUGACUAGCAAAAAGAAAAAGAAAAAUUUUCCAUGAGAAUCCACCAAUUAUGAAGUGAUUGAUUAAUUAAGGGUGUAAAUUUGGCUCCAUAGUUCAAAAUUAUAUUUGGACUAGCCUUUUCUGAUGUGUUAAAUCAUGGCUCUACCAUCCUUAUAGCUAUAUUCCUCUUUCUUAGCAUUAACCUCUAAAUAUGUUGAUGUUAAUAAGAAAAAGUAGUAUGGUUAACAUAUAGGAAAAUGAAAUCAUGUACAAUUUUAAAAUGGGAAGUUAAACUUUGUACCUGAUUUUGAGCAUGGAAAUAGAUCACCGGGUUGUCCAUUUAUCAAUAAAGCAUCGGAGGAGUUAGGGUCACCUCCGGUUGCAAGCCCUUGAUCUCGAACCUCAUUCACAUCCCUCUUCCACCAUUCUCCUGCGUUUCAACAACUUCAAUAAUUUUAGAUUUUGCUUUGUUGGUUAAUUCAUAAUAUGUAAAUUAACCUUUAAAAGUAACAACACUUAUACCUAAUAUGAUGGGGACUUCUGCGUUAGGUUUGUGAAAAGGAUACUUGGUUCCAUUCCUGGGAUAGAUGAUUAUAGCUCCAUGAACAGUGGCUCGGGUCCAAUCACUGUGAGCAUGCCACCAUAGAGUGCCUUCCUCAGUGGAAAGGAUGAUCUUCUGGGUAAACUUUGACCCUGGCUGAAUUGGGCAUUGUGUGAUAUACUCGGGACCAUCUGUCCAUGGAUAUCUAGGCAUGGUCACCCCAUGCCUGUGAAACCAUAACCAUAUGUUAAAACUAGUACUAAUUUUCAAAGUAACAAAAGAUAGCAUGUAACAAGCAUCAACUGUAUUUCAAUGGAUAUGAAGAAAAUAACCCUAAAGUAUUGUUUUAAAUUUGACUUUAUUUUCAAAGCAAUAUAUUGCGGCCCCCUCUUAGAAAUAAAAGAAUUUAAGCCAUGUCUUUCUCUAAGACACACACAGGGCCUACCAGUGAAUGGUGACGUUUUCUUUUCCCCUGUUAUAAACGUCGACAAUGAUUGUCUCUCCUUUCAUAGCAUAUAUAGUUGGUCCCGGAAAUUGUCCAUUUACUGUUAAGAUGUUCUUGGCGCUACAAAGCCUUGUAUAUGAAGCUUCCCUCACCUGCAACCAAUUAAAAGUUAACCAUGCAAUCUCAUCCCAAAAGAAAUAUUACAUGUAUGAAUAGUUCCAUCGAUCCAUUCAUGUAAGUGUAUAACCAAUUAGAAAUUGAUGGCAUGGAUGAACGACUCAACGACACCCAUAACAUGCAUGAACAACUCAAUGACACUAGGGUAAGAGGUCAUAUGGUAGAAAAUGAGAGCCAUACUACUCCUUAAAUAUCAUGAUUAGAAGGUGGUGUUUAGGCCAAUAUCAUAUAUAGUAUUUACCACAAAAGUAAGCUGACGGGUCGAAGCUUGGCAAUGGAUGCCACCACCAAAAACUAGAAACGCUAAAAUUUGCAAGAGGAAAACCUUCAUGAUCAGCCACAUUUUCCUUGGAAUAAAAGCCUCUUCUCUUCUCUUGUCCUAAACACAACUCCUUCAAUUCUCUUACUACUUUUGAUGUAUUUCUUUCACAUGUGAUUCAUUAUAUAGGCAUGGUAAUUCUCUCGGGAUACAAUACUUCCUCUCCACGUGUCAAUAUAAGAGGAAGUGAUUUGAAUGUGUAUUGGUUUUCAAUGUUCUUAUGAUAUUUCUUACAUGAGCAGGACCAUUCAAAAUAAUUAAUUAUGAUAUUUCUUACAAGUUACCUACACGUUACCUUAGAAUAUAUAAAUUUUAAAUAUUCUUUCACAAGUCCAACAAAUGUUAAUUAAUUAAAUAUAUGUAGAAUACUUUUAAAACUUUGACCUCCCGUAUGAGUACCCUUAUCAAGAUCAGUCAUGAAAACUGUUUUUCAUUGACAACUACUUUUAAGAAUUAUUUUAAAAUUAUUUUUGAAGAAUUAUUUUUAUAAACAUUAUUUAACCAACCCUUAUUAUUAAUUUUACUUGUUUUCGUGUUACUUAAGAUAAUUAAUAGUGCAGAACCCAUGACUUUGGUGGUUGGUGGCAAAGUUGUUUUCGUAUUGUUACGUAAUGCAAUUAUAAUAAUAAUAAAAUAAUUAAUUUUACUUGUUUUCGUCUGAAUGGGACAAAGUUGUUUCCCUUUUUUUUUUAAACCUGAGAAUUGAGAUUGUAAAAGACAAGAUGAUAAGCUAAUUCGGUAUUUCAGAAUUUUUCAUAAAAAACACAAAAAUAUAUUUUGUAAAAAGUUGAAAAUAGGAUACGAACAACCCCUUGUAGUAUUUUUUUCUCAACAAAAAGCAAUUUAAUUAUAAUAAUAAUAAAUAAUUAUAGAUUUAAAAAAAAAUAUUUUUUUUUUGGGGCAAUUUCUAGUAGUUCCAACUCCCAAAAACUUCUCCACCUUUGAUCUUUUAUUUGGUUAGGUUGGGUUGGGUCACCUCGACUUGGGCACCCACCCAACUCCAACAAUAUUUAAGUAAUUAAUAAAGUAAAUGAUUGAAUUACAAUGAACAAGUAUAAUGAUCAAAAUAAAAAUAAAAAAAUCUUUUUUGUUUUAAUACAAAUCAUUUACCAUUCAAAAAUAUUCUUAAUAUCUUCAUUUUCUUUUUGUGUUUUUGAAAGUUCAUUUUUGUUUUAACUAGAUCAAAUAAUAUUUGUACAAUAAUGCCUUUAACAUACAUUUUUGAUCAGUAAUACCAAAUAAACAUCUCAACAAAUAUUAUAUUAGAUGAUCAUUAAUUUCACUAUCUUCAUUUUAUUUAUCUUAUUCUUCUUUAUCCAGUGCAUUUAAUUAUGUGUUGUAAAAUGAACAAGGACCUCUACAGUUAUAAUCUCACCUAAAAAGUUGGAGAAGUUAUCUCUACAUUUAUGGUUCAUGCAUGAAAUAAAUUGUUUUUGUACUUCCAUCAUCAAAGAUGCAUGUAUGUCUAUGUGGACCCACAUUUCUCACAUGUGCCUCCACUCAAUCGGUGAGACUCACUUUUAUUAGUGAAAAAUUAAGUUUUGGAAAAGUCGGAGUCGCCACAUAUUUUAUUUUAUUUUAAAGGGAAAAUAAAACAAGAAAUAAAACCCUAAAAAAUAACUCCAUAGUUUUGGAAAAAACAUGUUUUUGAAAAACCCGAGUCUAGGUCCGGGGAUCAGGUUACCUAUUGGGAAGGUACCCCUAAAAGGUAGCACCCCUCUAAGCCCUAUAAAGGUCUCUACUAACUAAGUUAAAGGAGAUGUGACAAUUAAUUGGUUAAUUAUAAAUACCUAAGUAAGCAAGGUGAUUUCAAAAAUAGCAUGUCUAACAAGAAAACCAAUCAUAAUCAUAAAGAAGAUUUAGGGUGCGUACUUGGACUGCUUCUUAUGCGCUAUCACAAGACACCAAAGUUAGUUCAAAUAAUAUAUCAUCUAGCAUGCACUUUAUCAGAAAUAAUUUAACAAUGAAACUAAUAUCAAGGCACCCAAGCAUUAUCAAACAUAGACAUAGUUCACAAUGACAAGCAUAUUCACAGAAUUUAGAAGGCAGGUGUUAGGGGGCAUACCUGGAUAGCAUAGAUAACUUGUAACAUGUUUCCUUAAGACAUGAUGGGUUAGAUAAUAAAAUAUAAAACAAAGAAAUCCUAGCAUGCUUGUUAUCUAAUUAGCAUAGCAAAAAUGAUCAAAGUAUACGAAAACAUCAAUUAUCUUGUAUACAAUUCCUGAAAAAUAAAUAUAAAUAUGAUUACAACAAGUAACAAAGGUGGCAACAAAAAUAAAUUUUGAAAAUAUUUUCUUAUGUAGGGGUUUCACCAAUUCCCCAAUUAAUAUACAUGAAUCUAGCCUAGAAUUAUCCCAUUUGUUUGGGACCAUAAGAUUGAAUUCGUAUUCCACUCAAAACCAAAAUUUUUAUUGAAAACUGAAGAAGAUGCAAACCAACCAAAACAUGGUUGCAUAUUACUUAAGAAAAUGAGAUUUUGGUUCUAAGGACUCUAAAUGGAUUUUUAAAAUGGAUUUUUAUGAGGAACAUCUUGAGAAAAGCAUUUUAUUUUACAAUGAAGAAAUUAAUCUAAAAACAACAAAACACGAGAAACAAACUACCAAGUGAAACAAAAGAAAAAAAAAAUCACAAAACGGAAUUUUUUUACAACCGAGCAAACUAAAGUGGUAAGAAUGGAGGCCAAUCUUCACUAUUUUUUUAUGGCCUCUGAAAAGUAAAUUUUACCGGAAACUACCAAAGCAAUAAACUAUUCAAACUUAAAUCAAUUAAAUUAAUGACUAAUAUUCAAGAAACAUAUCAAUUAAGAGUAAUAAUCAAGAAUUAGCGCGUGAUCAAUUAAACACACAAAUGUAUCUUGACUAAUUAAAAUGGACCAAAUUAAAUCAGGGCAAACAUGAAUUCUCAAUCAUAGAAUUAUUUUAUUAGUGAGCUAACAUUAUAGAAAAUGCCUAAAUUAAAUAGAUGAGUGAAGCUAAAUCGGAAUAAACUAAACACAAGCACCUGCUAAUAUAGAAUUGAUUUUAUUAAUAACUUAAAAUUAUAAAAAAUACUUAAAAUAAUUAAAAUGAAUCAAAUUAAAUGAAAGCAAACUAAAAACAAAAUAUGAAUUCAUGGAAUCAACUUCCUAAAUAAAUUUACAUUAUUGAAAUGAAAUCUAUGCUCAAAAUGAAUUAAACACUAAUUAAGGCAAAUCUAAAAAUCAAAUAUUUAACACAUGAGGUCAAUUAUUUUAACAAACUAAAAUUUUACUUAAACCUAAAAUUAAAUUGAAAAACUAUCCAAAACUAAUUUUAAAACUAAACUAUAAAAUCAAUCUCAUUAACAAAUAGAUAAAUAGAUAACACAUGAAUAAAUAAGUAUGACUAAAACGAAAUAUGAACUCAUGAAAUCAAUUUUUUUUAAAUAAAUUUACAUUACUAAAAUGAAAUCUAAAUUUAAAAAUAUUUUUAACACCAAUUAUGGAAAUCCUAAAAUCAAAUAUUUAACACUUAAUAUUAACUACUUUAACGAACUAAAAUUUCACUUAAACCAAAAAUUAAAUUAAAAAACUAUCUAAGACAAAUUUUAAAACUAUGUCUCUAACCUAUAACAUAAAUCUUGCUAAUAAAUGGAUAAAUAGAUAGCAUAUAGAUAAAUAUAUCUCAAAUUGAAAAUGACUUACAAAGGUGUAACAAUAAAUUCAUAAAGAACCUUUAAUAUAUUGUAUUGAUUGGUUAAAAAUAUAAUAGGAGAAUAGCUCACCUAAUCGAAUAUGUGUAUGGGUAGUAGGCUUCUCAAAGUGGCAGCCGCGUGACUGAUUCGACUAGCCAAAUCCAACUGGCUGUGCAAAUAUGCAAACUUCCAAAGACCUCCGGGGCUUGCUUAGAUCACGACUUCAAGACGCAUGCUGUCAUGGACCAAACCAUCUUUCAGAGAACGUGUUGCAAUAUCUCCUCUCCAUAGGUCGGAAAUCUUCUUCCAAUAACUCAGACUGAUCUUUCAAAACUCGGAUUGAGUUUCGAAGAAAAACGGACUGACCUUCAUCUUCCAGUUUUGGUGUUCGACUCGUCCUUCCUCUUACCUCCUGAAUGCUCGAUAUCCUCCUCUUGCCUCUUCGUACAACUGUUGCCAAUUUGUUUCUUUUCUGGAUGCCUGCUUCAUAAAAGCUUUUCUUCGGUAAAACCGAGCUUUCCCAGCCUUCUCCACGUGCUGGAAAAUUUCCUUCAAGGGUGCAGCUGCACUUGUUUUUUUUUUUCAAUGGUGUGGCUGCACCUUUCUCACCAUCCGAAUCCCAAACUUUCCUUUGGUCUUAAUGGUGUGGCUGCACCUACUCCCACUCCCAGAAUGAUGUGGCUAUCGAUCUACUCCUCCAGAUUCAACAAGGUAGGUAUGCACUCAUCUUCCCAAUCGCGGGGUGAAUAGCCGGUGAAUAUCAACAAGCAGUCGUGUAUGUGGGUUCCAAAACAGCAGUUUGAAUCCACUUUGAAACCUGGACUGAUCCUCCUCAAACAGCAGCUCCCAAAUGCCUUUUUUUUUUUACACAGACUGAUUCCUCCACUUUAAAAUCACAACUUAACUCCCAAAAAUAAUCCUUCUGAAAACCCCUUCAAUCGUGCGUCGUUCUUCAUUUUUCUUUUUCUUUUUUCUUAAUCCAUCACUUCGUCAGCUCCUCUACUGCCACAGUGAUGGAAAAAACAGCAGAAAAUGGUUUCCUUAUCCUCUUCCAAUCACCCUCAAUCCCCUCCAAUUAUUCCUUUUGUUUCCUUUGCCUUACCUUUUCUCUCUUCCUCUCUCUCCAAUCCACUAGUUGUCUUCAUCUUUCCUCUUAAUGGUGUCUUUUCUUUUCUCCCUUACUCUCUCUCCAAUUACCGACUGCCUCCGUCUUUCCUUUCUAAUGGUGUCUUUCUUUUUCUUUUGGGAGAAUUAUGUUUUAGGGGUAGAUGGCCCCCAAAUUAACAAAAGGUCCAUGUAACUCUUCAAAUUGAGCCCAAGACCUAAUGAAAGUAUGGAAAUUGAGUUGAAGGAUAUCAUUCUUUAGUAUUUUCAAAAAUGCCCUUUGUUGAUUUUGAGAAAAAAAUUAAUAUUUUUGAAAAAUACUUUUAUUUAAUUUAAUAUUUUUUAUUUAAUUUAAUAUUUUUAAAAAAUACUUUUAUGUAAUUUAAUAUUUUUUAAAAUACUUUUAUUUAAUUUAAUAUUUUUUAAAAAUAAAUUUAUUUAAUUUAAUAUUUAAAAAAAAUUAAUUUAAUAUUUUUUUAAAUACUUUAAUUUAAUUUAAUAUUUUUGAAAAAAAAAUUUAAUUUAAUAUUUUUGAAAAAAAAAUUAUUUAAUUUAAUAUUUUUGAAAACUACUUUUAUUUAAUUUAGUAUUUUUGAAAAAAAAUUAUUGAAAAAAAAUUAUUUAACUUAAUUUUAUAAAAUAUUUUAUAUGUGUUCUUAAAGGGUAUAUUUGUCCGUUACUAUUUCAUAUCCUUCAACUCAAUUUGAAGAGUUAUAUGGACCUUUUGUUAAUUUGGGGGCCCAUCUACCCCCAAAAGAUAAUUCUCCCUUUUCUUUUAUGGAGCAUGUGGGAUCCAUGCAAAACAAAUAAUAAAAAAAAAAAAAAGUAAUAGGAAAAUUAAAAUACAAAUAAAAGAAAACUAAGGGUUAGAAUAAUAAAAAAAAACAUGCAACUAAGAAUUAAAAAUCCAAAUUAUGUAAUUUUAAACGAAAUUAAAAAAUAUAAAUCACAUGCAUAACUAAAAUGAAUUAUCAACUCAAGCAACUCUCUAUCAAAAUAAAUUAAUAAAUAAAUAAAUAAAACAAAAUGAAUAUGAUUAUUAAGUUCAUGCAAUUUUCUAAAAAUAAGUAAAUAAAUUAAUAAAACUAAUAAAUAGAUAAAGAUAAAAAAACAAAAACAAAAUCAAGCACAUGCAAGCCAUAUGAGCUAUGCAACCAUGCAAGCCAUGCCAACCAUGCAUCCAUAUAAAAAUGAUCUAAAUGGGCCUAGGGUGCCUAAGUGGGCCUAGGGUGGUGCCUAAUGGGCCUAGGGUGGUGCCUAAUGGGCCAAGUGUGUCUAAAUGGGCCUAAGGUGCUUAAGUGGGUCUAGGAUGGUGCCUAAUGGGCCAAGUAUAUCUAAAUGAGCCUAAAGUGGUGCCUAAGUGGGCCUAGUGGGCCAAGUGUGUCUAAAUGGGCGUAAGGUGCUUAAGUGGGUCUAAGGUGGUGCCUAAUGGGCUAAGUGUAUCUAAAUGGGUCUAAAGUGGUACCUAAUGGGCCUAAGGUGCCUAAGUGGGCCUAGGGUGGUGCCUAAUAGGUCAAGUGUUCCUAAACGGGCUUAAGGUAUCUAAGGUGGGGCCUAAUGGGCCAAGUGUAUCUAAAUGAACCCAGGGUGCCUAAGUGAGCCUAAGUCUAAACUAGGGCUGCCAAGAAUCACAAUGGAGUUAUAUAAAUCACUCAAUCAAAGUCCCCAAGGUGGCUUAGAAAAGAUAGGUUACAUGAGUAGUAGUGGGCCACCAAGGAAUUGUUGUAAAGUAUCAAACGAACACAUAAUAGGACAUGUGCUAGUAUGACAAAAUGGAGGGUCUACAGUCUAACAAUGGCAAAAGAAUCUAUGAGGUCAAGAAAAAAAUGAAAAAAAAUUAUAUGUUUUUUUAAUUCAUUUCAUUUAUUUAUUUUUCUAUUCUAUAUAAAAAUUCAAUAUAUAUAACUUUUUAACUAAUUUUAAUUAUAUUUUUCUUUCAUAUUUUAUAUAAUAAAUCAAAAACUAAAAAAAGAAGAUAUUUUUUAAUAUUUCAACUAUAACAAGGUGGGCAAAAUUAAUUUAUAAUGCUAGGAUAUCCUAACAACCUAACCUUCAAAUUUCCUUAAAUAAAUAAUCACUUCACUAGUAAUAUAUUUUCUUAUUCCACCCUAUUGUGAUUAGCACCAUAGUAUUUGUUAUACUUUGAAGCAUUUUGGUAUGAUUCUUAUCUCAUAAUAAGUCAUUUUUGAAGUAAACCCAACAUGGUUGAUAGAAAUCCUCUUCCUAAAUGAACCUCUAGGUUUCUUAUUCAUGAGUGUUGGUACAUUAAGUUAUAUAGUUUAAGAUUGAUAAUUUUGUUUCAUUCAUUUUGACUUAGGACUUUUUUAGAUUAUGUCUUUCUCUCCUUUGAAAACUCGAAGUUGUCGUGUGAUUAACUGGAAUAACAAAGGUAAGUAUCGAAUGAUCUAGAAAGGAAAAUUAGAGUUAGUUAAGGUUGGCACGAAUGUCCAAUUCUUAAACCGAGUUUUUUUUAAAAUAAGAAAUAAAUAAAAAAAACAGUUUUAAAGAACUCCUUGAGUUCUCUAAUGAUGCAGAGAGCGCUUAAGCGCUCAUUGCAGCACUCAAGUGUGAUAGAAUUCUUUAGAAUUUCACAGCUUUAAUUUUCCAACUUUUACAAGCUUUAUUUUGGGAAAAUUCUAAAUCUGAUCCACUAGGAUCUUGGCCUAAUAAAUAACUUUCCUAAAGAGGAUUUUCUCUUUUUGAUGUUAAUGUUUCAAAAAACCUAAUUUGUCAUCUUGCUCCCAAAACUAUGAAAGAUGAUUGUCUUCGCUUUUACUAGGUUGAGAAAGAGAUUUGCAUCUCCACAAACACUAAAGUAAGAUUCACGGGGAGCACAAGUGGUGUUGUACUACAAAUGUGAAGUAUAGUAGAAGUGAUAGUGAGCUCACGACCCAGAGUUGUUUGCAUCCUUCACAUCCCUGAGAUGUUUGGUUUUCAUCAUUCUAGCCACUUGCAAGUGGCCUCGACUCGACACCAUGAGUUAGAAAGAAUCUUGAUCGGUUAUCUAUUUAAAGCCAUGAGCUCACGACCUAGAGUCGUUCUUCUUAUUUAUGACCCAGAGUCAUUCUUCUUGGUGACAAUGGAGGUGCACUACCUGCAGGAAACAUGGAAGGUAAUGAGUUUCUUGUAGCAACAUUUUUUGUAAAAGAAUUUCCAGGGACAUUCAAGGGAACAUCGGCCUUUGCAUCAUUUAGCAAUGAAGUCACCAGACGAUCAAUCUCAAGAAGCGAAAGCCAUUGGUCAAAAAGCUCCUCGGAGACCCUAAGGUUCGACUUGAGAGCAAAAGGCAACACUUUCGGGAGCUGCAACAUUCGGUGUCCAAAGACACCAUAUUGCCAACUAUCUCCAUAUUCAUUGUUACACAACUUGAUUAAAGCUGAGCUGUGAGAAAUUUUCACAAUUGUUAGCAAUCUUCAGGCAUUUCAAUUAUUUAAAUUUUGGUAAGUAAUCAAAUAUCAUACACAACCUACUCUUUGAAGGGGUCUUGCACAUUGAAGUGGUCCUGGAAGAACAUUCAAAACCAAUACACAUUCAAAUUACUUCGCUUAUAUUGAUACGCGACGAGGAAUUGUUGAUACCCAAGCCACAUGUGAAUCUGUGCCCGUCAUCCGAAGAAUUCUGGUGUUCUGGAUUGAUGGGAGCAAAAAGGUGACCAGUUUUACCUUGAGUCAAAUUCAAAUGACAAAAUAUACUACCAUGGACAACGCCCUUUACUACAAAAAUAGCGCACACGGCCAAUCCCAUCAACCUAGUAUUACACCGAUUUGGAGGCAGAUGUACCAUAUUACUCUGUUGGCUGAACCACUCAGGAAUUCAACUUCUAGGAACAAAAGUACUGGAUUCAAUAUGUCGAGUAUAUGGCACCAUCUGGGUCAUGAAAAUCAAUGUCAAGUUAUAUGGAAAUAAUGUAGCCAUGUAGGAGUAGUGCUCAAAGGAGUAUAAGAAUUAUUCCAUAGGAUUUAAUUGAUUUACUUUUACAAUAUGAUCAAGAAAGAGAGGAGAGAAACCUGAAUUGGGAAUUGAAAUCUUGGUAAUUUAUUCUCCAGACUUUGCAUUUCCCUUAAUGUAGCUGCCACAAAGUUGUUGCUUUCAUUCUCAGACAGUCUGAAGCAAUUAGAAAAUGUGAAUCGGAGGCCCCCACAUUCCUUGGAUCUGUAGACACUUGAUGGACACAAAAUGUUUUCCAUAACUGUGCAAUCAUGGGUAUCUAUUUAUUCUAUACUUGAUGGAAGCUCUGGCAAUGAUUGAAGCCUCUUGCAAUAACCCAACCUAAGGCCUUUGAGCUGUGAAAGUUGAUUGAGGCUUGUAGGUAGAGUAACAAAAUUGUUUUUGCUUAGAUCUAAAUAUUCCAAUGAGCAUAGAGAGCUGAAGUCAUUGGGAAUUGCUCCUUCCAAUAUGUGGCAAUCACUUAGAUUUAGCUUUCUUAGGGAUCUUAAACCAAAGAAAGAUGCAGUUGCAAACCCCCAAAGCGUGGAAUUUCUGCUGGCAACAACUUGAAAAAGAGGAGUGAAUUCCUUGGCUUGGAUUCUAGUCCUUUACAUCCCUCAAAUGAUAAUACUUCAAGGUUUUCUAAAAGAGAAAUAGAGGGUGGCAGCUCUUUUAUACAGUUCCAGCUACUUCGAGCCUCUCUAAACCUUUUAGGCUCCCCGAACCCUUUGGCAAAUUGUCUAGUUUUGAGCAACCAGAUGGAAUAAGAGUCUGAAGAGAUUUCAACUUACAAAUACAAUGUGGAAGAAUUGCAAGGCUUUUGCAUUCUCUCAGAUUCAACAGAACAAGUCCACUUAGAUGUUGGAUUGAUGAAGGUAGCUCUUUUAGAGCAGUUCCAUCUAAGAAAAGUUCCAACAAACUCCCCAUAUUUUCCAAGACUUCUGGAAGUGUUGAGAUAUUAGGAAUGUUUAGAUAUUAGGAAAGUUGAGAUAUUAGGAAUAUUGAGAUAUUAGGAAAGUUGAGAUAUUAGGAUAUUAGUUGUUCUUUCCUUGUAUCAUUCUUUCCCAUUCUUAGAAUGGUGAUUACCCUCUAUAUAUACUUUGUACAUGAACGAAUGAAAGGAAGAAUGAAAAAACUACCAUUUAUCAAUUUGAAGAUGGUAUCAGAGCCAUGGAAUUGAAAUCCUGGAUAUUUUGUCGCUAUGGUAGUCCGACAACGAUCAACCCAUAAUUGGCAAGACCAAUCCAAGACCAACCAUCCUAAGACAAACCCUAACAUUAAUAAGUCAGCCUUCAAAUGCACUCACUGCAAUAAGACUGGUCAUACCAAGAGUUGUUGCUUUGAAAUUUGUGGGAUAUCUAGACUGGUGGGAUCAUAAUCGUGAUAAACGGAAGAAGGAUUCCGAGAAAGCCUCUGCAUUGGUAGCCACUAUAGAUUAUGGUGGUAAGUUUUUAAAUACUUUUACACCUGUUAUUAAUAGUGCAUGGAUAAUUGAUUCUGGUGCUACAGAUCAUAUGACUUUUUAUUCUAGACAGGUUUCAUCCCUUAGACCUUCCUCACAAAAAAUUGUUUCCACAGCCAAUGGUAACACAACCCCAAUCAUUGGGAAAUGAUCCUUGACUCUUACUGAUACUUUGAAUUUGGAUUCUGUUUUAGUUGUUUCAUCUUUAAAUUACAAUCUUUUGUUAGUUUCUCAAAUCACUGCAGGCUUAUCUUGUAUUGUCAUUUUUUGCCCUGAAUUUUGUGUUAUUAAGGACAUCCAAACAAGACAGACGAUUGAUUGUGGUAUUAAGCGGGGAAAACUCUAUUACUUGGACUUGCAAUCAAAGGAUUCAAAUAAGUUGCAACAAGCCUUGAUGGUAGAUGGAUCUGAGGGGGAGAAGAAAAAGUCUAAAAUUUGAUUGUGGCAUCGAUGUUUGGGACAUGCUUCCUUUGGUUAUUUAAAAAAAUUGUUUCCUAGUUUGUUUGCAAAGAGUGAUAUUUCUGGUUUCCGUUGUGAUAUUUGUGAAUUGGCUAAAAGCCAUCAUGCUUUGUUUCCAUUAAUUUUGAAUAAAAGUUUGCUUCCUUUAUGGUUAUACAUUCUGAUGUUUGGGGCUCAUCCAAAGUCCCAUCUUUGAGUGGCUCACGUUGGUUUGUUACUUUUAUUGAUGAUUGUACCAUAAUGACUUGGUUAUGCUUGAUGAGGACCAAAGAUGAAGUGAACUUGUUGUUUUAAAAUUUUCAUAAAAUGAUUGAAACUCAAAACAAUGUAAAGGUUCAGGUUCUAUGUAGUGAUAAUGGUGGAGAAUAUCAGAGUUUUAAUCUUCAAAAGCAUUUGGAAGGACAUGGCAUCAUUCAUCAGACUACUUGUUCCAAUACACCCGAACAAAAUGGAGUCGCUGGAUGGAAAAAUAGGCACUUGUUAGAGGUUGUUCGUGCUUCCUUGAUAGUAGCAAAAAUACCGAUAUCUUAUUAGGGAGAAGCAAUCACAUCUGCCGUAUACUUGAUCAAUCGGGUACCUUACAGCUCAAUUGACUUCCAAACACCUCUCCAAUCUUUUUUAAUGUUGUAGUUGUCCCAACUGUCCCAAAUCUACCUCCUUGUGUUUUUGGUUGGGUGGCAUUUGUGCAUCUACACAAACACCAAUGCACCAAGUUAACUUCCCGUGCAUUGCGAUGUGUGUUUGUUGGAUAUGCAUUGCACAAAAAGGGAUAUUAAUGUUACCAUCCUCCAACUCGACGACUGUUUAUUAUAAUGGAUGUGGUGUUUNNNNNNNNNNNNNNNNNNNNNNNNNNNNNNNNNNNNNNNNNNNNNNNNNNNNNNNNNNNNNNNNNNNNNNNNNNNNNNNNNNNNNNNNNNNNNNNNNNNNNNNNNNNNNNNNNNNNNNNNNNNNNNNNNNNNNNNNNNNNNNNNNNNNNNNNNNNNNNNNNNNNNNNNNNNNNNNNNNNNNNNNNNNNNNNNNNNNNNNNNNNNNNNNNNNNNNNNNNNNNNNNNNNNNNNNNNNNNNNNNNNNNNNNNNNNNNNNNNNNNNNNNNNNNNNNNNNNNNNNNNNNNNNNNNNNNNNNNNNNNNNNNNNNNNNNNNNNNNNNNNNNNNNNNNNNNNNNNNNNNNNNNNNNNNNNNNNNNNNNNNNNNNNNNNNNNNNNNNNNNNNNNNNNNNNNNNNNNNNNNNNNNNNNNNNNNNNNNNNNNNNNNNNNNNNNNNNNNNNNNNNNNNNNNNNNNNNNNNNNNNNNNNNNNNNNNNNNNNNNNNNNNNNNNNNNNNNNNNNNNNNNNNNNNNNNNNNNNNNNNNNNNNNNNNNNNNNNNNNNNNNNNNNNNNNNNNNNNNNNNNNNNNNNNNNNNNNNNNNNNNNNNNNNNNNNNNNNNNNNNNNNNNNNNNNNNNNNNNNNNNNNNNNNNNNNNNNNNNNNNNNNNNNNNNNNNNNNNNNNNNNNNNNNNNNNNNNGUGAACCAGGAAGCGGGUGAGUUGGAUAUGAGUGGUACAACUUUGGAACCAAGUAGUAAUGACCACCCAGAAAUUGAAGAAGUGAUAGAAGAAGGAAGAGACAAUACAAUUGAAUAAUCACCACCAUCUGAACAAUUUAGGUCCGAAGAUGUUUUCACUGAAAUACCAAACCAAUCGUCGUCUGCUGAGGGUGUUCUUAAUUUGGAACUUGAUCCAUUCAUGAAACGGUUACCACACUUUCAUAAUAGAGGUAUUCCUAAACCCACAUAUGAACCUGAAUUGUCUAUUAAAGUCAAAUAUCCCAUGAGCAACUAUGUGUCUAGCCAUUGUUUGUUUGAAUCAAAUAAGUCAUUUGUAAAUCAAUUAUCUACUGUAGCUAUUCCUAACAGUGUGUAAGAAGCCUUAGCUGAUCCAAGGUGGAAAACAACCAUGAAUGAAGAGAUGAAAUCAUUGUAGAAGAAUGAAACAUGGGAACUCGUAGAAUGUCCACCAGGAAAGAAGCCAGUUGGGUGUCGUUGGAUCUAUACUGUGAAGUACAAGGCAGAUGGUAGUAUUGAACGAUUUAAAGCAAGGCUGGUAGAAAAAGGGUACACUCAAACUUAUGAAAUUGACUACACAGAGACAUUUUCACCUGUAGCUAAGAUCAACACAGUUCGAGUAUUACUGUCUUUAGCUGCAAACCUAGAUUGGCCAUUACAACAAUUCAAUGUAGAAAAUGCCUUUCUGCACAGCGAGUUAUCUGAAGAAGUAUAUAUGGAUCUUUCACCAGGAUGCAUGGUGUCAAAAAGCAAUGUCAGAAGGUGUGUAAAUUGAAAAAGUCAUUGUAUGGGUUGAAGCAAUCCCCGAGAGCAUGGUUUGGAAGGUUCACAAAGUUAAUGAGAGCAUUUGGCUAUCAUCAAAGUAAUUUAAAUCACACUUUAUUCUUGAAAAAACAACAUGGUAAGAUUAUGGCACUCAUCGUAUAUAUGGAUGACAUGGUAGUUACAGGAAAUGAUCCUAAAGAAAGAAAAGCUCUGUAGAAUUAUCUAUUUAGAGAAUUCGAAAUGAAGGAUCUAGGUCCUCUGAAAUACUUUCUUAGGCUUGAAGUUUCUCGAUCAAGUGAAGGAAUUUUUCUUUCUCAAAGAAAGUAUGCCUUAGAUCUUUUAUAGGAGACUGGAAUGUUGGGAUGUCAACCUGUUGAUACACCAAUAGAAGAAGGUUUGAAAUUAUGUGUUGAGCCUAAUCAAGGGUCAACCGAUAAGGGAAGAUACCAGAGACUUGUGGGGAGAUUAAUGUACUUAGCUCAUACAAGACCAGAUAUUGCUUAUGCAUUGAGUGUAAUGAGUCAAUACAUGCAUAAUCCUGGAAAGCAAUAUAUGAAUGCAGUCAUGCGUAUUUUGAGGUAUUUGAAGAAUGCUCCUGGGAAGGGAAUUUUGUUCACUAAAAAUGUUGAUCAUUAAAGUAUAGAAGUGUAUACUGAUGCUGAUUGGGCCAGUGUAGUGGAUGAUAGGCGAUCUACAUCUAGUUACUUUACCUUUGUAGGUAGUAAUCUUGUGACAUGGAAAAGUAAGAAGUAGAAUGUCCUCACUCGUUCAAGUGCAGAAGCGGAAUUUAGGGGUAUAGCUUUAGGACUUUGUGAGGCAUUAUGGCUAAGACUCCUCUUACAAGAUUUAGGUUACCUAUCUAGGCAACCAAUCCGAUUGUUUUGUGACAAUAAAACCGCAUGUGAUAUUGCUCAUAAUCCAGUACAACAUGAUCUUACAAAGCAUGUCGAGGUAGACAGAUUCUUCAUUAAGGAGAAGUUGGAUGAUAAGAUUGUGGAAUUGCCUAAGAUUCGAUCAAAAGAUCAAUUGGCCGAUAUCCUCACCAAAGUUGCAGUCUCAAAUCGAGUGUUCUCAAAAUUUUUAGACAAGUUGGGCAUGUGUGACAUCUAUGCACCAACUUAAGGGGGAGUGUUGAGAUAUUAGGAAUGUUUAGAUAUUAAGAAAGUUGAGAUAUUAGGAAUGUUGAGAUAUUAGGAUAUUAGUUUUUCUUUCCUUAUAUCAUUCUUUCCUUAUAUCAUUCUUUCUCAUUCUUAGAAUGGUGAUUACCCUCUAUAUAUACUCUGUACAUGAACGAAUGAAAGGAAGAAUGAAAAAACUACCAUUUAUCAAUUUGAAGAGGAAGCUCUUUGAGUUUUAAGCAAUCUGAGAGAAUAAGAAUUUCAAGUGAUCUCAACCUAUAAAUACAGCUUGGUAAUGACUCAAGGUUUUGACAGUUCCUCAGAUUUAGUAGAACAAGUCCAGUCAGCUAUUCAAUCGACAAGGGCAAUCCUUUUAUUGCAGUGCCCUCCAAGGAAAGCUCUGAUAAAUGUUUCAUGCACUCUUGGACCUCUGGAAACUUCUUGAGUUUGGAGCACUCAGAGAGAGUAAGAAUUUCAAGAGAUUCCAUACAGAUGCUUCUUAGAAAACUCUUAAGAUUCUUGCAGCCUUCUAAAUUAAGGAAAACAAGCUUGUUUAGAUCUCCAAUGGAUCGGUGAACCUUGGACAAACUUGUACAACCUUCAAGAAUUAGUUUCCUAAGGUUUGGGGCCUCCGAGAAGUCUGGGGUUUCAAUUAGGUGUUGGGACUAGCUAAGUUUUACGAAUUUCAAUUGCUGAUACAUUUGUCAAAAACAAAAUAGAAAAAAUGAUUAUAAUUCGGUUAAAGUGAAAUACGAAACUUGCAAAGAUUAUAAUCAUAUACCUUGAAUCAUUUCCAAAGUUGUUCAACUCGACUGUAACUCAUAUUUAGCUCGACAAGCUGCUCAGGAUGAAAAUUUAAUGGGAGGGAUUUCAGAGGGUAUCCAUGCCAAUAUAGACACUUAAGUUGUUCGAUAGAAAUUUGAAGUCUCUAGAAAGAAGCAAUUUACAGUCUUUGAAUUGAUUGAGUUUAUUCAUCCUUGUGCAAGCAUCAAAAUCACCACAUAACUCUUUCCAAGAAAAGUAUUCAAAGCUUCCACAUAGCCGCACGUUACAGACUUUGAGCAAUCUUGAUUUGCCCAUCUUCAUGAAGGCAUCAAAGCUGAAGUGUAGUUCCUUUGAUGCUGAUGAUUACUACUCAAAAAGUGCUAUUUUGUAGCUUGUAAUUAAUCCUUUUAAACACUUUUGAGUAGUAGUUAUUGCCUUUUAACUCAAUUAACAUGUUAAGGACCCUUGCAAUCAUUUCUAAUCAAAUUGUGUAAGUUUUGGUGUUUUUGUUAGUAAUUUGAUCACCAAAACAAUCCAAGAUUGAGGAGAGUUAUUUGGAAUCCAUGGCAAAGCAAUGAAGAGCUCAAAUUCAUGAAGAACCAAGCAUUGGAGCUCCAUAGCCCUUUGCCAAAGUCGUUCAAAGUAUGCAAGGAGAGAAGCAAGGAGAAGAGGAAAACAGAGUGAAGAAAAUAGAGGACAGCAGCUGCAGUCUUCUUUUAUACUUUUGGAGCACUUCCCGAAGUCCAUUUUCUACAUUUGUAUAUACCAUUUCAAAGCUCAGGAAGUCAAGAAUCCAAUGCUUCAAACGGUGUGCGAUUCGGAGUUGAAACGAAGAAGUUACAGCCACUGCAAGUCAAUCACUCUAAAGUGUUGCGAAAUCAGCCUUUUGUUGCGAGAAUUUCGCAGCCUUUUUGUACAGUGUUGUGGAUUUCCUCCUGAAGUUUCACGCCACGAUGGAAGCCAAACACCACAAGGUGGAAGCCAACUUAGCAGCCCUGCGAGUUUAACUUGUUGUUGCGGAAAUAUUUCGCAGCCCUCUUGAGUGUCUGCGAAAUCUCGCAGACACCAUUUUUCACCUGCGAAAUGUUCCUGGAGCUUCCCGAUAUUUGCCACCGACUCUUUUGGAUAUUUUUAUUCAGAUAUUUUUGUAUAAAUUUCCAUUUUCUCCUUGUAUUCAGCCACUCAUGUAAUUCCUUAGCUAGGAAGUAUCCAAGGAAGGGUAAAUUACCUUCCUAUAUAAACUCUCUUGUAAACACUCUCAGGAGACGUUGGGGGGGGGGGGGGAAGUAUGUAAUAUAUAUAAUAUCAUAUAUCAUAUAUAGAAUAUACAGAGCCUUGCUCUGUUUUUCCUUCUCUUUCAUUUUUCAUUUCUUUUUCUUUCUAGCCAACCAAACUCUGAGGAUUUUUCCACAGAGGAUGAGAGGCUAAGCUUUUUGUCUCUUGGAGUGAGGAAAGCCGGGUAAGUUUCCACAUGCAUAAUUUGGAAGUUUUGUUGUUUUAGUUUUUAAUGAAGAGAAAGUGUAACCCGUUAGUGAUUUCUAUGUUUUUAGUUAACUUAAAACACCUUUAAAUCACCUGGGCCAACAGUUGGUAAGGCAAGUGAUUUCCAACCAUGGAAAUGCACUAGUUUACCCCUUGCGAGCCUUUGGGAGGUGACUUGAAGGUAGGAUUUUCUAGAAUAGCCAACACUUGGUAAGCUUUUGGACUCCAAGGAGACAUCCAUUAGUUAUCUCUUGCGAGCUUUUGACGGGUAAUCCAAGGUUAAAGAUCAUCUUGAAUGGUAAGUGCUCGUGAGAGGCAUGAACCAUUGCAAGUUGCAUCAGUGAGAGGGAUUUGGUGUUUGAACCCAUUAAUGGAAAGCAUCUGUACAACACCGGUUAGAGAAUUAACUAUAUGUUAAUUCUCUAAUGCGAGGAAAAGAAACAAGUGACCGGAACUCCCUUUUUGUAUGAGGAAUCUGAGCCUAGUGAUCUGAACUCCAAGAAACAUCUUUUCUUUGUAGUUAAAAUCAGUUACUAUUUUUGGUUAGUUUAAAUCUAAACCUUUUUUCAUUCAAGCAUCUUUAUGUUUUCUUUUAAAGCUAACCUUGCAAUGAAAAGGCACCAAUUCAGCUUUGAAUUAAUAUCAUUUGUGAAGUGAAAACACAUCCCAGUGAACGAUCCUAGAGCCACUAUGCUAUAGUAGCUUUGUCUUUGCUACCCUAGUAUAUGGUGUAAUAGGUUAUAAAUUUUGUUGAUUACUCCCUCAAUCAAGGAGCACCAGCUGGACAUGAAUCAGUUGAGACACCAAUUGGGCACGAAUCAAAUGGUGCCGUUGCCGGGGAUCGAACCUCGAAUCAAAUGGUGCCAUUGCCACUGCCACUGCUAGGCACGAAUCAAAUGGCGCCGUUGCUGGGGAUCGAACCCCGAAUCAAAUGGUGUCAUUGUCACUGCCACUGUUAGGGACGAAUCAAAUGGCGCCGUUGCCGGGGAUGGUGCCACUUUGCAGUGAUAUGAUCUUUUGAGAACACUUGUGAUCUUCAUUACAAGUUUGGUGACUUUUCUUUUCCUUUUACUAACUCUUUUUUAUUUCUUUAUUGUUCAUAUUUGAGUAUACCUUUUAUUUAGUUUUUAGUUUACCUUAAUUUUCUUUCUUUGAAUUGUUUUUCUUUUGUUUUCUUUUGUGUUCUCUGUUUUUAAUUCACAAGUUGCUAGUUGUGCAUGCCAUAUUGAAUACCAUAGCAGAAGAAGCCAUGAACUUCUUGAUAUAUGUGGCUGAAUUUUCAAGAGAAUGGGGUGAACCAAAUGCUAGAGAUAUGGGAAGAAUGACGUCUCAACCUAAAGCUAAGGGUGAGAUGUAUAUUUUGAAUGACGGCAUGGACAUGAAGGCAGAGAUUGCAGCUAUGGAAAGGAGAUUGGAUGAGCUAGAAAUGAACCAUAUGCAAGAAGUGCAAGCCAUUUCUCAAACACCAUUGCUACCUAUGCCUUGUGCCAUUUGUCGAUCAUAUGAGCACUUGGUGGAUGAGUGUCCUACCAUUCCAGCCAAGAGGGAAAUGUUUGGUGAUUGCAACACCUACAAUUCCAAUUGGAGGGACCAUCCAAAUUUCUCUUGGAAACCAUAGCCACAUCAGUAUCAGCAACCUGCUCAAGCACCACAGCGAGCCUCAAGCCUUGAACAAGCUAUGGUGAAUCUUAGCAAGUUCGUGGGAGAUUUUGUUAGAAAGCAAGAAGCCAUCAAUGCUCAAAUCAAUCAAAGAAUUGACAGAGUGGAGAGUACUUUGAAUAAAAGAAUGGAUGAAAUGCAAAAUGAUCUAUCUCAGAAGUUAGAUAUUCUCCAAGAUUCAAUCUCAAGGCUUGCUAACCUCAACACAAUGCAAGAGAAAGAAAACUCUCCUUCUCAACCUUGUCAAAAUUCUAUGAGUAUCCAUGAAAUGGAGGCUAAGGAGGGAAAAUCUUCACAAAAGAAGGAAGUCAAAGAAGUGAUCACUCUGAGGAGUGGUAAAGAGGUUGAUCUGCCCACAUGCAAGCUAGAGCAUAAGGUAGAGAGUGAAACAGAGAAAGAAAAGAGGGAGGAAAUCAAAGGAAAGAAAAAUGGCAAAAGCAUAGAGAAAGAUGACUAUGAUGUUAAUGUACAAAGAGAACCACAGAGGAUAGUCAUCAAAAAAGAAUUGAUGAAGAAACACAUGCCUCCACCUUUUCUCCAAGCUUUGUAUGAAAAAAUCAUACAGAUCACAUCUCAAGUGAGGGAUGCAAACUUCAUAUGGGAUCCGGGCAAGCUAAAUAAGGAUCAAAUUUUUUGAUGGACUUAGUCUUUCUAAAGACUAGCUAGUCCAUAUCUUUUUAUUUUACUUUUUACUUGUUUUAAUUUUGAUUUCAAUGUUUUAAUUUUGAUUUCAAUGUUUUAAUUUUGAUUUCAAUGCUUUAAUUAUGUUUGUUUUGAUGUAAUAUAGGUUUUUGGAUGAUCAAAAUCAAGAGGAAUUGUAAAGAAAUUGAAGGAAGUCUUUCGGAGCAAAAUCGGAGCAAAAUCGGAGUCAAACGGAGCGAAAACAGGGGUCUGCGAGAUUUCGCAGCCUCUGCGAAAUCGGCACUUUGCUGCGAAACCAGUUCGCAGCCCAAUUACCCUCUCUGCGAAAAUUUUCGCAGCUGCGAAACCACUUUUGGCACACGAGUGCCACUUCGCAGCACAGGAGCCCCCAUUUCGCGGCUGCGAACCACCAAAGCAUGAAAUCCUCCAUUUCGUAGGGAAAACUCCAUUUGGAAGGGUGUUUUGCAGCUGCGAAGCCAACUUUUGGCACACGAGUGCCAUUUCGCAGCACAGUACCCUCAUUUCGCAGCUGCAAAAAUGGCUGCGAAACCUAAAAAAAAAAAAAAAAUUCAUUUUUUUUGGCAAUAAAAGUCCCAUUCCGCAGAGGAUUUCACGGCUGCGAAAGCACUUUUGGCACACGAGUGCCAUUUUGCAGCACAGUGACCCUCAUUUCGCAGCUGCGAAACGGCUGCAAAGUUCUAAAACGUGAAAAAUCCCAAUUUCACAGCCACACCCCCAUUUCGGCAACUGUUGGACACAUUUCGAUCACUUCCUGAAGUUCAAAUUAUGCAUGAAAUAUCUUGUUUCAAAGCUUGGGAAGUCACGAGUCCAUAGCUUCAAACGGUGCUCGAUUUGGAUUUGAAAUGGAAAAGUUAUGGCUGUUUGAAGAUGACUGUGCAAACCAUGAACGGAAAUGUCGCACCUCCAUUUUGCUACUAUUGGACACGUUUUUGAAGCACUUCCUGGAGCUAAAAUUAUGCAUGUGAUAUCUCGUUUCAAAGCUUGGGAAUUCAGGAGUCCAGAGCUUCAAAUGGUAUGCGAUUUGGAGGUGAAAUGAAGAAGUUAUGGUCGUUUGAAGACAAGCGCGCAAAGCUGAGCGAGAAUUUCGCAGCCGAGACGCCAUUUGGAAGGGUGUUUCGCAGCUGCGAAACCACUUUUUGGCACACGAGUGCCAUUUGCAGCAUAGUUCCCUUCAUUUCGAAGCUGCGAUACAACUGCGAAAUCACCUUUGAGCUGCGAAACCACUUUUUGGCACAUGAGAGCCAUUUUGCAGCCCCGUACACUCAUUUUAGAGCUGCGAAAUCACUUUUGAGCUUUGAAAUGGCUGUGAAAUGAUCUCCGAGCUUCGAAAUGGCUGUGAAAUCACCUCCAAGCUUAGAAAUGGCCUGCAAAUUGCGAAAUUGACUUGCGAAAUGGAGGAAGGUUUGCAAAAACACCUUGCAAAGCCAAGAGAAGUUGCUAAAAUGCCAUCAGAGCCCUGCAACCAUGCAUAUGAAGAGGAGAGCCCCACACACCCUGGGAUCACACACACAAAGUCUCUCACUCCAUUUCUGACCUCCUUAAACCAUCAAAUCCCAUAGCUACCAACUGAGAGCUCCAGUUGAGGAUACUAUGCCACCUAAGGAGACUACCAGAACAGAGGCCAAAGUCCUGAUCCAACCUAUUCAAGAGGGCCACACAGACACAUCAGCUCCACAGGACCUUACCAUUACUUGAUCAUCUCUUUACUUUUUGUCUUUACAUAUUAUAUUAGUAUAGAUAAUUCCAUAUUUUGAUGUUUUAUAUUCUAGGAUUGGAUGUAUUACUGGUGAUACAUCAUAUAUAGACAUCAAUUUUUGUUUAAACUUAGCAUUUUUCUAUUUCCUCUACUCACUAACUCUUAUGUUUUCUUUGAAACAUGUGGUUUCUCCUAUACGACUCAGACUCCAUGUCACUCAAGAGGUACCACUUCCUCCCUAUUUUUUAAUCGCUUUUGUCACAUUGAGGACAAUGUUCAGCUUGGUUGGGGGGAGAGUUGAGGAAGUAAGUAUUGUUAAUAAUGCUAAGUUAUUUUGGUAAUUUAGUUGUUUUUUGCUUAAUUUUUAAAAUUUUUAAAAGUUUUUAUUCUACUCUCCAUGGUUAUUAAGGAAAAAUUUUCAAAAUGAAAUGGGAGAAAUUGAAUUUUUGUCUUUUUACUUGACUUAGAUUUUGUAUUAUGCUUAUUAAAGUUGGUGAAUUGUUGAAACUUCUAUUGAAGUCAACCUUAGUUCUUCCACUUUAAGCUAUCCACACACUAUGCACAAUAGGUUCCGAGUAUAAGAUGAAAAACUAUUUCCCUCUUGACUUAGGAAAAUUUUAGACUUGGUACCUUUGACCUCUCUUUAAUAGUGUUGGGACACCUCAUAAAGACCAAUGAGUCUUUGAAAAAAUAGAAAAAAAAGAAAAAGAAAAAGAAAAAGAAAAAGAAAAAAAAUAUAUAGAAUAAACUUCUUUGCUUGCCUUGAAACCCGAGCAAGGUCUGAGGGGUAUAUGGUGAAAAUCUUUAAAACCUGGUGCCCUAAGCCUUCAUUGGUUGGGAGUCACCGACCUCAAUGCUCGUUACAAGGGUGGAUAGGUGGAGUUUAACAUACUGUAGGUGCUUGAGUAUUAAAAUUCAUUCUCAAAAGUCCGGGGUAAAAUCCGAGGAGUUAGUGGUUGAAAGAUCCUUAAAGCUUGAUGCCCUAAACCUUUAUUGGUUGGGAGUCAUCGAUGGACCCCUGUUACAUGGACAAUUUAUAAAAAAAUACCUUUAAGCCUUGUACUCCUACAAUGAAAAAAAUUGUGAAAAAAGAGGUGCGUUCUUAGCCUUUUGGAGGUUGAUUAGUUUGCUAAGCUUUGAAAAAGAACUAGGUUGGGGGGAGAGAUUAGUUCAACAUACUAUAUUCGGAAGCUAAUAAAUAACACUUAGAUUUUUGUGGAAGAGUAAGGUUUGACCUUUUGGAAGUGCAAAUGAUUUUAAAGCUUAAAUUUGCAUAAUGCCUUCUCUUUAUGAAUUGUGAUUAGACAAGUUAUUUGAUAACUCUUGUUGAAGUUUGAGUUUUAUUUCUUUAAUGUUCCAUGUGAGAGUUAGAUCAUCAUGCCACUUGAGAAUUGUUUUUUUUUUAUCAGCAUGAUGUUGUAAAUUAUAGUAUUGUUUAUUUUUAGUUUUUAUCUCCUUCAUUGCUAAGGGACUAGCAAUAUGUCGGUUGGGGGGAGUGAUUACUACUCAAAAAGUGCUAUUUUGUAGCUUGUAAUUAAUCCUUUUAAACACUUUUGAGUAGUAGUUAUUGCCUUUUAACUCAAUUAACAUGUUAAGGACCCUUGCAAUCAUUUCUAAUCAAAUUGUAUAAGUUUUGGUGUUUUUGUUAGUAAUUUGAUCACCAAAACAAUCCAAGAUUGAGGAGAGUUAUUUGGAAUCCAUGGCAAAGCAAUGAAGAGCUCAAAUUCAUGAAGAACCAAGCUUUGGAGCUCCAUAGCCCUUUGCCAAAGUCGUUCAAAGUAUGCAAGGAGAGAAGCAAGGAGAAGAGGAAAACAGAGUGAAGAAAAUAGAGGACAGCAGCUGCAGUCUUCUUUUAUACUUUUGGAGCACUUCCCGAAGUCCAUUUUCUACAUUUGUAUAUACCAUUUCAAAGCUCAGGAAGUCAAGAAUCCAAUGCUUUAAACGGUGCGCGAUUCGGAGUUGAAACGAAGAAGUUACAGCCACUGCAAGUCAAUCACUCUAAAGUGUUGCGAAAUCAGCCUUUUGUUGCGAGAAUUUCGCAGCCUUUUUGUACAGUGUUGUGGAUUUCCUCCUGAAGUUUCACGCCGCGAUGGAAUCCAAACACCACAAGGUGGAAGCCAACUUAGCAGUCCUGCGAGUUUAACUUGUUGUUGCGGAAAUAUUUCGCAGCCCUCUUGAGUGUCUGCGAAAUCUCGUAGACACCAUUUUUCACCUGCGAAAUGUUCCUGGAGCUUCCUAAUAUUUGCCACCGACUCUUUUGGAUAUUUUUCUUCAGAUAUUUUUGUAUAAAUUUCCAUUUUCUCCUUGUAUUCAGCCACUCAUGUAAUUCCUUAGCUAGGAAGUAUCCAAGGAAGGGUAAAUUACCUUCCUAUAUAAACUCUCUUGUAAACACUCUCAGGAGACGUUGGGGGGGGGAAGUAUGUAAUAUAUAUAAUAUCAUAUAUCAUAUAUAGAAUAUACAGAGCCUUGCUCUGUUUUUCAUUCUCUUUCAUUUUUCAUUUCUUUUUCUUUCUAGCCAACCAAACUCUAAGGAUUUUUCCACAGAGGAUGAGAGGCUAAGCUUUUUGUCUCUUGGAGUGAGGAAAGUCGGGUAAGUUUCCACAUGCAUAAUUUGGAAGUUUUGUUGUUUUAGUUUUUAAUGAAGAGAAAGUGUAACCCGUUAGUGAUUUCCAUGUUUUUAGUUAACUUAAAACACCUUAGAGUCACCUGGGCCAACACUUGGUAAGGCAAGUGAUUUCCAACCAUGGAAAUGCACUAGUUUACCCCUUACGAGCCUUUGGGAGGUGACUUGAAGGUAGGAUUUUCUAGAAUAGCCAACACUUGGUAAGCUUUUGGACUCUAAGGAGACAUCCAUUAGUUAUCUCUUGCGUGCUUUUGACGGGUAAUCCAAGGUUAAAGAUCACCUUGAAUGGCAAGUGCUAGGUGAGAGGUAUGAGCCAGUGCAAAGUGCAUCAGUGAGAGGGAUUUAGUGUUUGAAUCCAUUAAUGGGAAGCAUCUGUAUAACACCGGUUAGAGAAUUAACUAUAUGUUAAUUCUCUAAUGCGAGGAAAAGAAACAAGUGACCGGAACUCCCUUUUUGUAUGAGGAACCUGAGCCUAGUGAUCUGAACUCCAAGAAACAUCUUUUCUUUGUAAGUAAAAUCAGUUACUAUUUUUGGCUAGUUUAAAUCUAAACCUUUUUCAUUCAAGCAUCUUUAUGUUUUCUUUUAAAGCUAACCUUGAAAUGAAAAUGCACCAAUUCAGCUUUGAAUUAAUAUCAUUUGUAAAGUGAAAACCCAUCCCAGUGAACGAUCCUAGAGCCACUAUACUAUAGUAGCUUUGUCUUUGCUACCCUAGUAUAUGGUGUAAUAGGUUAUAAAUUUUGUUGAUUACUCCCUCAAUCAAGGAGCACCAGCUGGACACGAAUCAGCUGAGACACCAAUUGGGCACGAAUCAGCUGACAAGUCAAGGACUAUGCCUUCAACUACUUCACUCCCUUGCAAUUAACCAGGAAUAGAGUAUGAAUUGGAAAUUAAAAUCACAAAAUUCUAAAAGGAAAAGCACAGAAAGCAUCAAACUAAUAACUUAUUUUAUUUUUUUUAGGCAGUGUUCAAGGAAGCAAGUAUGAAGAUAAAAUAAAAUUCAUCUACUAAGACAAAAACUCAGGGAAAAGUUAGCAAAGGAUUCAAAUCAAAUAAUCCCCCCAACUUUAUAUUUGCCUUUGCAUACAUAAAUAUGCAAUACCUUAUUAAAAUUGUACAUAUAUGUGAGUUUCUCAAAUGAAUUGAAAUUAUCCAAACUUCCUCUUCACCUAGAGCUUAUAUAUACAAAAAGGGAAUGCACACACAAAGUUCAUGUAUUUAGGUCUUACUGUAUUUCUAGUUAAUGCAUCAUUGACAUAUGCAUGAAUCCACAAUCUAUUGUGUUUUUUAGGAUAUUUAAGAGAUUCUUGCCAAACAAUUUCCCAACCCAUUUCUUGUAACAAAUCAUGCAUGCACAACUUAUUAUCUGAAACAAUUAUGAGUGACUUAUCAACGAGAACCCUUAUUCCAAUAUCCAGAAAGAAACCACAACUCUCUAGUAUUUCUGUGAUAAAAUCUUUGUCCUCCCAUUUACAAAAACAUGCAAUAUCGAGAAAUAUAUCUCUCUUUGUCAUCUUAUCCAUUAAAACCCAUUUUGAGCACAUUCUGAAUUUCCAUGUUGGAAAUUCUUUUUAGUUUGUCCAAUUCACUUUUCCAUUCAAGUAUGCUCUUGUUAUACAAAAAAGCACCCAAGACUUUAAGAGCUAAAGGACAUUUAACCGUUUGAUCCAAACAAUUCAAAAUUGGUCUAAUAAAUAAACCCUUCAAAAAGAGAAAUUGAAACAGAAAUGUCACUUGGUGGUUGGACCAAUUUGACCAAUUGAUUUGGUUCAAUUUUCAAAAAAUAUUACUUUAACAUGUAUGAUAAUCAAAACAUAGAAAAAAAAAACUAUUUUUCAAGAAAUGAGAUUAUUAUAAAAAAUAGAAAAUGUAAUCUAUUUUAAUGAUAUGAUAACUUGUAACUAGAUGAAACUUUGAUUGGCAAAGAAAAAGAAAAAGAAAAAGACCUUAAUGAAUUAGAAAAUAUUAUCUUUUAUAUUAAACUUAUCUUUGUGUAAAAGCUCUCUACAAUUAACUAUAUGUUUUCAUAAAGCUUUAUUUAGGCUAUGUUACAUUCUUGGAAAUUAAAAAAUAAAAAAUACAUAAAAUUAAUAAAUUAUUUUUUUCAUUAAUAUAAAUUAAAUAAUUUUAAAUACCUAUAAUUUUCAAAAUUUUUAAUCAUGGUAGUGGGUCUUUGAUCAACCAAAGAUAGCCCAUGCAUCAUCUGCCAAAGUGAAGCACAACAACCUUAUAAUAGUGAUGUCACAUAGCAAUUCAUUAUUCAUUAUUUUGUUUUCCCUUUUCAUUGUGGAUUUUCUUAAAGCUAUUAAAAAAACACACGAUAUCAAGAUUUGAGCGUGGGUCUUUCACAAUAUCUUUUAUAUACUAAUAAUUGUAAAUUAAUUAAAAUAAAAUUAUUAUAACUAAGUUAAUUUUAAUUGUCUUAUUAUGUCUCUUAUAUAGUGGUUAAAUAUAGGACAAAUAUAAAUUCAUAAAUAAAAUUAUUAACAUUUUCAAAUAAAAAAUAUAAAUAUAUAUCAAUAUAUUUUUUUUUAUAUCCUUCAAUAUAUCUAAACUUAAUGCAUUAUCAUUUUAGUAUUAAUGUUUCCCAAUUCGGUAUAUUAUUGUCUAAUAUUACAAAUUAUUAUACAUUUAUCAAUUUUUCUUAAAACAAAUUCAAUAUAUUCAUUAUUAUUUUUCUAUCAUUUUUUGAGUUAUUUCUAACAUUUCAUGAGUUUUUUUUUUUUAUCAAUUUCCAUCUCAUAUAUAUAUAUUGCAGAAUUUUCAUUGAUAUUUCUUUAUAUAGCUAUAAACUCCAACUAAUGAUAUAUUAGUAAAAAUCAAUAUUUUCAUUCUUACUUAACAUAAGAACGAAAAUUAUUCAAAUGGUGCAUAAAUUAAUGUGACCUCUUGAUGAGAAUGACAACGACAACCAUGAGUCAUAGUUAGUGUAUGUGUGUGGUAAAUUAACUUAGUGUUUGAUAAAAUAAUUAUUUAUCAUCAUUUAAAAUUUAAAAAUAAAUUUAAAUAUUAAAUCAAAAUAAUUAACUUAUUCUAAAUACUAAAUUUUUUUAUUCUCUUUGUUCAUAUUUGGUGAUAAUCAUGCUUUAUUUUUAGAAUUCUUUUUUUUUUUAGUAAAUAUUUUAUAGUUAUUUUGUAGCUUCACAAUAGUACUUUUUAAUAUAAAUGUUUAACAAGCUUAAGUUUAUGAAUAUAAAUAUUAAGAAAAAUUAAUGAGUUUAAAUAUAUCAAUAUAAUAAAUUUAAAAAAAUUAAGUUGAUUUUACCAAAAUUAAAGUAAAAAUAAUUCAUCUUAAAAUUAAUUUCAAUAAUUAAGUAAUAAGGAUUAAAUUUUAUCAUACAUUCUCUUAAUUAAUAAAUGACAUAACUUCUUUCAACAACUUCUUCAUUCUACUUUAGAAAAAAUAAAAUAAAAUAAAUUAAAAAAUUAACGUGAUAUUUAUUUAUUUAUGUCUAAAAUUUAAAUAUACUUGAAUUUGACUUAAAUCUAAAUAUAGCUUAAUAUCAUUAAGUGUUUAGACUUUUUUUAUUAGUGUCUAAAUAUUAUUAAUUGUUAAAUUGUUUAUUUUUAUUAAUAUCAAAAUAUGUGAAGUGUUAAAUUUGUUUAUUUUUGGUUAAAAACAUUUAUAAAAGUCAUUGUUAUAUUUCUUCUUAUUUUAUUUUGAAAAGUUGUAAUUUAACAAAAUAGUAAUUUAAUUAACACAUCUAAAAAUAUUAUAAUACAUUAUCAAAGUAAAAAUUUUAUAAUGAUAAUUAUGUAAUUAGUAAAUUAUAUUAUUGUACAAUCCAUCGUUCCAUGUUGUAUAUUAUAGCAUAGUUGUGCGUACCCAUCAAUGCAUAGACAUAUGUCUUUUGAUAAUUAUGUAAUUAGUAAAUUAUAUUAUUGUACAAUCCAUUGUUCCAUGUUGUAUAUUAUAGCAUAGUUGUGCAUACCCAUCAGUGCAUAGACAUAUAUCUUUUGAUAAUCUAUCAUGCAUGAAUGUCUCGUGGACUCUAAGUGAAGCAUGUAGCUAUUAUAGUAUAAAGAUGGUGUAGGAAGAGGCUCCAGGUUUACUAGUUCACACUCAACCAUAGCAAUAGGGAAUAUAUUGCACAUUAUUUCCAUCUAAAAGAAAUGUAGAAAAGACCUUAGAAAUGAAACUUUUAGAUCAAACCUAAGGGUGCCAAUGAGAUGACUCUAAGAAGGAUCACCUCAAUCUCAAUCUUAUGUCAUUUAUUUAUAUUAAAUGGGGUGAGAUAAAACAAAAUCAUAUUUGAACCUGUCUUAAACUUGGUCCGAGAGCAAGAAGGGUCUCUAAAAAAAUCUGCCUCAUUGUCAUUCUUAAGUACGCAUCUAUACCAAUGAAAGUUUUUACAUCUAUUCAAAAAUUCGAUGUUCCCGAAUUAAUUAACUUCACCAAACUACAUACACUUAAUAUGCAUGAAAAAGUGUCAAAAUUCUCAACCAAUCAAUGAGAUAAACUGUAAUUAAGUUUAGUACAUUGUAACCCUAAAAUACCUCCAAACCCCAUUUCUUGUAAGACCCCCUUCUAAUUAGGUUGCAAGUAUUGAAGUACUUUACACAUCUAAUUAGGCGAACAACAAGUAUCAAGAUAAGGCUGCAAGCCAUACAUAUACAUAUGCAUAUAAAUUUAAAAUUGAAAGAAAAUAUUAUCAAAUUUUAAAAAGAUAAAUUUCAAUUUUUUUUUUUUUUUUUUACCUUUGAUACAUUUUUUAAGCUUGUACCCUUUUGUUAUACAUAUUCAUUGGAGCAUUUCUUUGACUUCCCUAAGAACUAUUUUUUUUCCAGGACUAAAAACUUUUUCCUUAUUCGACUUGGGAUAUUAUAUACAACCACAACCUAACUUUCAUAUAUAAAGAAAUAUAUUUAAAUAGAAUAAAAUUCUUUUAUUCAUAAUUUAUUUUAUUUAUAUUAUAUUAUUUAGUUAUAUUAAAAAAUUAAAAAUAAUUAUGUUAAUUUAGGUUUUGUUUGCAUUUUUUAAAUUAUAAUCAUUAAUAACAAAGUGGUGAUAGCUUAAACAUAAUCUAAAGGUCCAUGGUUCAAACCCUUGGUUUCUCAUUGUUUUCCUGGUCUCAUUAGGUGGGCUAGGCUUGGAAUGUGAAGGGCUAACCUUUCACCCAUGAUCCAACCUUUUAGUUGAUGAAAAAAGAAGGCUAACCUAGAACCGAUAUACGCAAACCUAGAACUGAUAGACCAUGGUUCAAAGUUGUAGUCGCGAUCACUAACUUGGAGGGUCUUGAGGCACAUCAGUCUUGACAUCUUAGCUCGAUAUUGGAUGAUAUGUAAAAUAAGAUAAAUAAAAAUUAUAAAAUAUUAUAAUAAAUAUUUAAAAAAUAAAUAUAAUUAAAUAAACUUAAAAAUUAAUAAAAUAAAAUAUUGUGAAAAUUAAAAUUGUUCAAUAAAUUUUUAAUAUUGAAAUUGAAAACAAAAACUCUUUAAUUACCAAACUCAAAUAAGAAAAUAAAAUAAAAUGGGAUGAUUUUUACCACACAUUAGCAUUUAAAAAUUGAAACAAUAAAAUAACAUAUAUUAUUGAUACUGUCAUUUAAAACAACUAAUAUAUUAUUGAUGAUGGCAUUUAAAACAAUAAAAUAGUGCAUUAGACCUGAUUUCAAAUCUUCAAUUCUCAAACACCACCAACCCACCCAUGAAUAGAGAAAGAGAAGAGAACCCUAGCAAAAGUAGAGAGCUUCCUCUACAACCCACACCCACUCCCACACCGACAUCGACACUACGGAGAUAAAGUAGAGAGAUAAGAGAUCAACACCCAAGAUCAUCACUAAUGGAGGAGGAGGGGUCCAUGAAGGUGUUGCAGUCCACCAUGUGGUGAGGUUAGCAAAGAAAUGCCCUCCACCUCCUCUUCUCAUACACCUCAAAGACAAUCACGACUUGGACUAAAAAACUUUUCAAAGACUUCAUUGGGGUCAUCCUCUUCAUCAUGGGUCGUGAUUCUCAUGAAAUUUUUUUUCCUUUGAAGAGUCAUUGUUUUUAAAAAAAUUCUCAGUUAUGGUUGUUGUUUUGGUGUUUUUUCUCAGUUUUGGGUGUUGUUUUGCUAUGAUUUAGAAGGACAAUUGUUUGUAUUGAGUUUAACUCAAAAAAAAAUUUAGUAACUCGAAUGAUUCGUGCAAGUUAACUCAGUAUCUCGACUAAAUCAACUGAGUUUAAUCGAUUCCUGCUCGGGUCUUUACUUAAGAUGAUAUUGAGUAUCGGACUUGGCGUGGAAGGGGUUGAGGCGGAUACAACUCGGCCAAGUCAUACCGGACUUGAUCGAUACUUUGAACCAUGCGACAUACUGGUUCAUUGACUCACUAGUCCAACUGUUAGUCUAUCCGAUUCAAGGCUGAUUCAUUGUGUACUCCAACCUAAAGGCCAAACUAGACCAGGCUUCGGUGACAGUCCAACUUGGUCCUAGCUAGAUUUUUUAAUUUAUCCAAUUAAGAAAUCUCAAAUUAAUAAUAAUAAUAAUAAUAAUAAUUCAACUUUUGAAAAAGAAGAAAAUAUAUUAUUAUUUUCUAAUAGUUAAAUUACAUAUUAUAUAAUGGUAAAGCUUAAGAGGAAUCUAAAAUAUAAAAAACUAAUAUUACCAUUUCCAAUUUCUCAAAAUGAGAAAAAUGACUUUUAUUUCCAAUGACAAUAAAUUGUAUAGUUUGAUAAAUAUAUAAAAAAAAAAGGGUGCCAUAUGUAUCUUAGGGCGUGUUUGGUACAUAAGAAUGAUGAAUGAGAAUGAAUAUUUUGUUUCCAUUCUUAUUUCCUCUUGAAUAGGAAUGAAUUUGGUAAUUCCAAUUUUUGUGUUUGGAUGCAUAUAGGAAUGUAAAGUUGGAAUAACAAUUUGUUUCCAUUUUAAUGUUAAGUAAAAAUGGGAAUGAAAAUGGAAGAAAAGAAAUAAAUUAUCAAUAAUAUUCGUACAUAUGGUUUAAAAUAUUUGUUUUAAAAUUUUUUUAAGAGUUUUUCUACUUAAUAUUAACAAUAUAUUUCAAUGUAUGAUUUCAAAAAAAAAAAAUUGUUUUAAAAAAAUUAUACCUAGUUAUUGUUCUUUAGAAACAAUUUUUAAAAAUAAAGUAAAAUAUAAAAUUAUUAUUCCAUUUUUUUUUUCAUUUGAGAAAAUAAAUUUCAAAUCAAGUGAAACUUUGUAUUAAAUUUAUUAAUAACUUUAAUAAUUUUAAAAAAUAAUUUAAAACUAAAAAAAUAUAUGUAACGACUAUAAAAAAUAAUAGACAUAAUUAAUACUUUAAAAUUCUUUAAUAAAUCUUGUAAUUUUUAAAAUUAAUUUAAUACUUUAAAAUUUAAUUAAUUAAUAUUAGAUUAAAUAAAAUAAUUCAGAAUGUCAUCUUUGUAAUUGAGUAAUAAAUAUAUGCAUAUAAUGAAAAAUUUGGCUUAUUUAUACCUUACAAUUUUAAGGGCAAGGAAGUGAUCUAAUGUAGGUUGCUUAAUAUGAAAAGAUGCUUUAAAAUUUAAGAGCUUUUCAUGGAGCUCAUCAAAUGUAAUUGGGGUGUCAUGUGCUUGAACGACAUAGACUAGUUCUCUGUAUUCGUCAACAAGGCCAUAAAAGAUUUUCUCCAUGGCAUCCUCUUCAUCCAUUAGGGCACCAAGGAAAGUAAGUUCAUUGGCACGGGCUUUAAUGGUUUGUAGGAAGGCAGUGAUGCUUUGCAAACCCUUGGUGUGAUUCUUAAGGUGGUUGUUGACUUGUUUAAUGUAGACAUGUGAUAGUUUGACAUAGCUAUUGGUGAAGAUGAUUUAUGCUUCAUGAGAGGUUGUGGCACAGGCAAUGAAUGGAAUUAUGGUGGGUGAAACGAAGCCAAUAAGUGCAUUUAGGAUCAAUUGAUGUUGACGAAGCCAUGAAGAAUAGGUUGGGUUGGGUAUUACGGUGUUGUUAGCAAUGAGAGUGGUGGGUGGACAAGGUUUGGUUUUAUCAAUAUAGCUAAGGAGGUUAAAGCCAAUAAGCAGUGUUUGGAAUUGAAAUCUUUAUGAUAUGUAGUUGGUAGUGGUUAGUUUAAGUGGGGCUUAAGCAAAAACAUUUAUUGAGAUGAGUAUUUGGUGUGACUGAUGGGUGUUGUGAAUAUUGAGAGUAGAAGUUGCAGAAGUGGUGACAUCUUAGGUGGCUAUGAGGUUAUGAUGAUGUGGAGGAGCAUUAGAUGGCUUUGGCAAAGAAAAAGAGGUAAGGAAGAAAAAGUGGUGGUGAGGGUUUUUAGGUCAAGAAGCUUGAAUGCUCUAAUGCCAUAUUGAAAAAUGAGAUUGGUAAAUUAUUGUGUUUUUUUUUUCCUUUGAUUAUGAAGAAUAUAUAUAUACAUGUACAAAGAAUAUAAAUUUGGAAAGUUUCCUAAUUACCUAAAAUCAUAACCUAGAAUAUACUAAUUUAUAGUCAAUAGAUUACUUAUAAAAUGAAACAAAUUAUCUACAAAAGAAAACAAAUUAGUGAUUGAAAGAGAAUAUGGUAAUUUCCUUUAUUAGUGUCAAGUUUAACACCCCCCACAUCAAAAGGUGUAUUUGGAACCAUGUACAUAUUUCUGUUCUUGAAUUUCAUUAAUUAAGAUGUCCAACUUCUUUGCCUUUCAAAGAAAUUUCUCAUUCUCAUCAAUUUGAAAAUUGUAAUGGAAAGCUUCAAAAAGCAUCAAUAGUCUCCCAGUCUAUCACCAAUCAAAAUGCAAAUGCCCCUAUACAAGGUUUGCUACCAUCAUAUGACCUUUAUGUUGAAAUGAUGACAUUGCCCUUUGUAUAGUGGUGUGGCAUGCUUUGAUUUUUUACAAGUUGAAUUAUACUAAAAGUGCUUAUGGAGUCAGUUUAAGGAAAAGUAUUGGAGCUAGACAAGGGUUGCAAUAGGUCAUCACUUUAAUAUGCUGAGCGUUAAGAUCCUUAAUUAGGUUUUGCCAUUCCCAAUACCUUGUUAUAUCCCCUUCCCAAUUCCACAAAUGUUGUGAUCCCAUAUAAGUCUCCCACUUAGUCCUAUGCAUCAAUUAGCACAUAAUACGACCCUAUGCUUAGAAAUUGUACAUGUGCAACAUUGUGAGUUUCAUGUUUGACAAAAAUAUGAAUUCUAGUUAAAAUAAAUCUCGUUAAGAAAACACCUCUCCAUUAGGGACAAGUGAAGUCAUUAAAAUGUAGAGGUUGGCUACUCGUGUUCUAUGUUUGUUUUCUUCUUAUUUUAUUACUUCAUUUCAUGUCUUGCCUUCCAUAUUAUUAGUAUUUGUUUUACUAUUUUUUUUUUCUAAAGUAUAUGUGUUUUGUAGACCCUCCAUUUUGUCCUCCUAGCACAUGUCCUAUUAAGUAUUUGUCCGAUACUUUACAGCAGUUCCUUGAUGGCCCAUUACUACUCGUGUGACCUAUCUUUUCUAAGCCACCUUGGGGACUUUGGUUGAGUUAUUUAUCUAAUCCCGUUGUGACUCUUGGUAGCCCUAUUUAGACUUAGGCCCACUUAGGCACCUUAGCCCAUUUAGAUACACUUGGCCCAUUAGGCACCACCCUAGGCCCAUUUAGACACACUUGGCCCAUUCGGCACCACCCUAAGUCCAUUUAGGCACCCUUGGCCCACUUAGGCACCACUUUAGGCCCACUUAGGCACCUUAGGCCCAUUUAGAUACACUUGGCCCAUUAGGCACCACCCUAAGCCCAUUUAGGCACACUUGGCCCAUUAGGCACCACUUUAGGUCCACUUAGACAGCCCUAAUUUACACCUUAGGCCCACUUAGAUACAAAGACCCAUUAGGCACCACCCUAGUCCCAUUAGGCAACACCUUAGGCCCACUUAGUUUUACCAGUCUUGCUUAGGUCACCUUUCAAGUAGGGUUGCAUGGCUUGUAUGAGUAGCAUGUGCUUGAUUUUCUUAAUUUAUUUUAUUUACUUAUUUGUUAGUUUUAUUCAUUUACUUAUUCACUUUUUUCAAAAAAUUGCAUGAGAAUUGAGAUUUUAGUUUUUUCUAAUUGCAUGAAUUGAUAUCUCAUAUAUAUUCAUAUAUUUACUUUACUUUAUUCAUCUAUUUAUUUUUGUAGGAAAUUGCUUGAGCUUCAUAUUUUAAUUCUUUUAAUGUGUUUGAUAUCUUAGUUUUAAUUGUAUGAUUUUAAUUUUAAAUUUUAAAUUUUCAACUACAUGAUUUUUUUUAUUUUACUAUUUACUUUCUAUUUCACACGGGAUGAGGAAAUAUUUUCUCCUAAUGGCGUCAUUGAAGGUAUUUUCAUCAUUAGGGAUGACAUGAAACAGAGUCAUGGUUGUGGAUUUGUUAAGCUUCCUAAUAGAGAUAUGGCUGGCAGUGGCAGCAAUAAAUGCACUAAGUGGAAAUUACGUGAUGAGGGGUUGUGAUUUUUUUUUUUUUUUUUUUUUUUUUGGAAAGUGGAGAAUCAGUCCAGAGCAUAGCGUCAUUUUUCCUUUUGAAAGGAAAAUUACCAUGGCUGAUUUUGGCAAGUUAAAGGAGAAGGGUGCAGCGUGUAUGUGGACGAAAAGGGGGCUGUGUUCAAGCGGGGGUUGGCUGGUUUUCUUUGGGAGAGAAGACGAUUUGAGGAGGGAUUUUUUUUGGGAGGUGAGGCUGCGAUUUUCAGAGGGAGAUCAGUUCACGUUUCAGAGGCAUUUUUGGGGCUGCGGUUUGAAGGAGAUCAGUCCAUGUUUCAGAGGCAUUUUGGGGGCUGCUAUUUGCAAAGAUCAGUCUGUGUUUUGAAAGGAUUUUAGAGGCUGCUGUUUUGGAACGGAGAGACGCAACUGCUUGUUGAUAUUCACAGGCUAUUCACCCCGCGAUGGUGAAGAUGAGUACAUACCUACCUUGUUGAAUCUGAAGAUGAGAAAGGCAGCCGCACCAUUGGGAGCAAUUCCGGAACAGCCGCACCAGUGAAGGAAGGAAAGAAAGCUGGGUUUCGGACACUUUUGGGUCUAGUUCCUCUCAUCGGAGACACCACAGCCGCACCAGAAUUUUAAGGAGAGAGUCUUCCGUCCGGAUAGCUACAGAUCGGUUCCGAAGCUUGAUCCUCCAUUGCCUGUGCCGCCGCAACACUUUGUGCCGUACCCAUGCAUCUCCGACAACACCCUACUGCCAUUGGAGAUCCGCACCAGCUUGUCAGUCCCGCCACUUAAACACCAGAUUUUUAAGGGAAAUUCCUCUCCAUUAACGCGCAGCACUUUGAGGACUUGCAGUGCAUGGGUAGCCACCACACCAUGCAUCCUUGGAAUUGUUUUUUUUAAAUAAAAAAUCCUACUUGGUGGAAAGUGGCCUUUACCUUCUGAAAAGGCACUUUGAGAACUUGCUGUGCAUGGGUAUCCACCAUGCAUCCUUGGAAUUGUUUUUUAAUUAAAAAAUCCUACUGGUGGAAAGUGGCCUUCACGUUUUGAAAAAGGUGAGGAAGCUGCCAUAGCUGUGAUUGAGAUUAGUUUGCAUUACCAUCCAGCCCGUGAAGUAAGCAUUCGCAUAGAAGCUGCGAAUUGAGGAGGCCAACUUCAGAUUAUGGUGGUGGUUGGCCUUGCGAACGUUGCACCGUCAGUCACGGCUUGGAAGAAGUCGUUAUUUUUAAUAUAUGGCACAACGCGUCAGACUGAAGAGAAGAUCAAGACUUGGGUGAUGGGCAAAUGAAUUUUUAGGCAUUAUUGAAUUCUUCUUUUUCUCUUAUGCGAGCGUCACAGUCAACUGUUCAUUGCCCUAGGUGCUGUACACUCGCCGCCUUCCGCAAGCCCACUUGGAUGAUGGUUUAAGGAACCUGUGUGAACCACAUUUUAUUAAUAGCAACAAUUCAGGAAGCAUAUAUAUAAAACGGAUAGGAUGUGACGAAUGGCAAAAACGGUGUGGAUCAUGUGUUAAAAUGGAUCACUAUCUAUUCUUUCAGCAAAGGACACAAUCAAGCAUGUGGAACAUGAAGAUCAGUGGUCAGCAUUUUAAUAUUAGGAAGACAUCAAAUAUGGAAGGUCUCCACCCGACAGCACGCUGAGUACGGUUGGUUGGGAACUCACUAGCCUUAUCAAAUCGGAUUUGACUCGGAAACAGGCCUCAAAAGAUAGGAGCAUAUCCAGACAAACAUAUGGGUGGGUAUCUCCUGCUUCCGAUAUAGGGGAACCAAUAUUCCACGUCGCAGUUUGAAGCCUGAUCAGAUCAGGAACAGCACACGCACCUUCUGUUGGGUCUCUGCCAGACAACUGAGUGGUGCUCUGAGCUUACAUCUUGGUGUACAAUCUCCUCCUUCAUUUGUUUCUUUGAUCAGGAACUUUCAGUUUUGAAUUGAAUUUUCACAUCCAUUUUUUAACCGAAUAAUUCCGGCUUCAAAAAUCCAUCAUUAGACCUCUUUCAUAGACAAUAAAAUCCUUACUUUCAAUGAACUUUUGUUGCCAAAUUUCCUUUUGGCAUGCACCUUCCUAAUUUUCUCUAUUUCUUUUGAGCAAUUUUCUUGAUUUUCACGAUUUUCAAUAAUCAUGAACAAACUUCAUGGUUCCAAAUAAUGGGACUAUUGAAUUAAUUCGUGCAAAAGCAAUUCGGGAAUUGGUGGAACCCCUACACAAAAUCAUUCUUUUCAAAACUCUCCCUUGCUACCAGUUUUCAUUUAAUCACUGACCCUUUAGCUUUAAAAUUCAUUUUAGCAACUUUAAAAUUUUUUUUUUGAAAAAUUUCCAACACUUGUAUGAUUUUAGCCACUUCUUGAACUUGAAUUUAAAGUUUCGUUUGAGUUAAAAAGUCAUUCUGGAAUAGAAGAUAUAAACGAGUCUUUAGGGGGGCUCCGUUUUCACCCAGUUCUGGACACCCGAGAUCUUUUUACAAAAAUAAAAUUCCAGAUGACUUUUUAAAUUUGAUUCAAUAUUGUUUCUAAAUUCUAGGCUUCUUGAAAUUGAUAUUAGACACAUAAAAUAUUAAAAAAUACGCCUUCUUGAGGGAGAUAUGAUUUUUCAAAGUCGUACCUACUGUGCAUGAUGGAAUCUGGACAUUUGAUUAGUUGGAGCAUUUUAAAAAUAUUUUUAAAUACUAUCCGACCCUGAAUUUAUUUUUAUUGUGAUAUAGACACCUUGAAUGAUGUAUGUGAUUUUUUUUAUGAUUUUAUAUGAUCAUUUAUUAUUAUUAUUAUUAUUAUUAUUAUUUUUUAUGCAUGUCAGUUUCUCUUAUCUAAUCUGGACUUUAUAGAACCUUUAGGUGUCUUUGCUGCAAUAUGUCCUUUGAAUGAGCAUUUGGCUUUUGGUAUGUUGAUAUAGAUGUGUAGGAGUUGUUUCCUGAAAUUUUUCAUAAUUAAAUUCCACUCUAAGCUAUUUUUUUAGAAAUUGUUUUGUUAUGCUUCCUCUUCUAACUGCAUGCUAAUGGUUUUAUACUUUACUCGAAAUUGUUAUUAUUUUUGGAGUCAUUUGAUUUAUCUUAGCUCAAUUUUGGCUUUGGUACUGUAUAUUAGACAUAAUAAAGAUGUUAUAUAAUAUAUACUUGUCCUAACCAUUCUAGCCUUUUUUGAGGAAUCUUAUAAAUUAUGCAUGUUACCCAGGUAUGCUCUCUAUCACCCACUUUCUAAAUUCUGUGAAUAUGCUUGUCACUGUGAACUUGGGUGUCUUGAUAUUUGUUUCAUUGUUCAUUAUUUAUGAUAAAACGCAUGCUAGGUGAUAUGCUAUUUGAACUAACCAUUGAUGUCUUGUGAUAGCGCUUAAGAUGCAACUCAAGUACGCACCCUUUGACUCUCUUUUAUAAUCAUGAUUUGACUUUCUAGCUUAAUAUGUUAAUUCUGAAAUUACCUUAGUCUACUUAGGUACCCUCAAUCAAUUAAUUAAUUGUCACAUUCCCCUUAACUUAGUCAGUAGAGACCUUUGUAGGGCUCAGAGGGGUGCUACCUUUUUAAAGGUACCUUCCCAAUAAGUAACCUGACUCCCAGACCUAGACCCGGGUUUUUCAAAGACAUGCUUUUCCAAAAACUAUGGAGUCACUUUUUUUUAGGGUUUUCUUUCUUGUUUUAUUUUUCCUUUCAAAAUAAAAUAAAAUAAGUGGUGACUCCGACUUUUCUGAAACUAAUUUUUCACAAAAUAAAAGCAAGUCUUGCUGAUCAAGUGGGGACGCACGUGAGAAAUACGGGUCCACACAUGUGUAGGUAUGCAUUUGCAUAUACAAAAUGCAUUAAACAAAAUAUGAUUAAGCCAUUUUCACUGUGUUGAUCAUCAUCUUUGAAUACCUAAACAUUCUCUUUUUAUUUUAGUGGUUUUUUAGCUAGAUGAGCAAUCUUGUCUUUUCUUUUCAUAUGAAAUAAUUCUUUGUGUGAAAUUAAUUUUUUGAUUUUGUUUUCUUUACUUUGAUCUUAUUUUGGUUGUUUAGUUUUGUGAUGGUCAACUUGUUCACUUGCAGCCAUGAUGCCACUAUGAACACACACACACAUCAGCCACACUUUCACUUUCAUCACACACAACUCAGCAUGCUUCACUCACUUUCAGCACACACCACUUUGUUUCCUAAGGAAUUUUCUUCUUUUAGUUGUGUGAUUUUAUGUCAUUAUUUAUGUUUGUUAGUGAUUUCAAAUUUCUUAUCAAUUUACCUUUCUAAAAAUCAAUUCUCAAUUUUUCAAAUUCAUCUUAGACAUUGUUAGGUUAUGAAAAAUCAUUUUUCAAAAUCAUGCAACCACUUUAUUUCAGUAUGCAUGCUUACUUUGUGUUUCAAUGAUUUUCAAUUUUCUUACACUUGAAUACAAUUCAUAACUCUAAAAUAAUGGAUUAAUUCAUGGACUUCAUGAGCUUCAUCAUGAUUAUUGAGGGUUUAGGGAAGUGUGGAUCAAUUACUGAAAAUUAAAUCAGGCCUUGGUGAAGCCCUACAUUCUAUGUUUCCAAAACAACCCCUUAAGUUAUGAGUUUUUGACCUUCAAGAUAUUAAAUUGAGAUUGGACACUUUAGAAAUGAUCAAAAAAUAUUUUUCAUGCUUGGAUGACUUUUUUAAACUUCUUAAAAGUGUUCGAGAAAUUUUAUUUUGAACAAAAAUCACUCUCCAAGCUAAUAAAUAAAAUCAGUUUUUUUGGAAGGUCCAGAUUCACUUCAUUUUUUGAUACAUAACAUAUUUCUAUAAAAUUAAAUUGGUUUGAGAGGUUUUUAAUUUAUUUUGAUAUUUUCUCAUAUUUUAGACUUCUCAAGUAGAAUUUUAGGCUUUUAUUUCACUCAAAAACAAUUUUCCAUGUAUGAGAAACAAACCCAUCUUUUUGUGUAUUAUGCUAAUUCCAAUACGUAGAUGUGAAUGUUUAAUUAAAUUUUUGACUUGAUGAAUAUGUUUUUUAAUAUCCUAAAUAUUUUUCAUGUAAUUUAGACAUCUCAAAUAAGUUGUAAAAUUUUUAGUUUGAUUUUAUCAAACUCUUAAGAUAGUUUUUAAAAUUCAUCUUUGCAUAUAAUCAUAUUCUACUCUAUUUUUGAAUGAUCAAAUUUUUUAUUAAAUAUGGGAUAUAUGUUGUAUAAUUAGGAUUGUUGGACACUUGGGUUCUAUUCAAGACUCAUUAGGGUUGAUGCAAUUUUUUUUUUUUUGAUUUAAUAUCACUUCUAGCUAUUUUCUUAUGGAUUUAUUUUGUGCAUGUAUAUGUUAUGUCUUGUUUUAUGAGUGAUCCUAAGUUUAAUUAAAUCUAGGAUAAUCCAAGUAUAAUUAAGUUUCUGGGGCACUUGCGUUUAUUUGAAACUCUAUAAGGAUGAUGUACAACUUUUGUUUUGAUGAAAUAUCACUUCCAAAUAUUUUUUACGGAUUUAUUUUUGCAUGCCACUAUUAUGACCGUUGUGUAAUUUAUAUGUUUUUAUUUAUUCAACAUCUUUCCACAUAUUUUUUAAUUUCUUUGAUCCUUGUUAUGUGUUGUGGACAUGUUGUACGUAUUUGAUAAACCUAUAUUGUCAUUGCUUUGUUUCAAGAUCUCAUAUUUAGUUUAGUUUUGAGAAAUUAUUAGUUUGGUUGCUCUAUUGAUAUUAUGUUUGCUUUAAUUAUCUUAAAAAUCAUUAGUUUCAUUAUUCUGUUAAUCUCAUGCUUAGUUUAGUUUUUAAACAUUAUUAGUUUGGUUGCUUUGUGGAUAUUACUCGUAGCUUAGUUUCUAUUAAAAACCAUUAGUUUGGUCAUUCCAUUGAUCUCAUGUUUAGUUUAAUUUUUAAAAAUUAUUGGUUUAGUAGCUUUGCUAAUAUUAUGCUUAGUUUAGUUUCUUUGAAAAAUUAUUAGUUUGGUUAUUCUUUUUAUCUCAUGCUUAAUAUAGCUUUUAAAUAUUAUUAGUUUUGUUGUUUUGUUGAUAUUAUGUUUAGUUUAGUUUCUUUUAAAAAUCAUUAGUUUGGUUAUUCCAUUAAUCUCAUUUUUAGUUUAGUUUUUUUUUUAAAUUAUUACUUUAGUUGCUUUGUUGAGGUGAUGUUGGUUAUAAUUCUUGUGAAAAUACAAGCUAUGCUUAAAGGAGAAAAACACCCAAGAGGGGGGGUGAAUUAGGUUUUUCAAAGAUUUUUUCAAUACAACAAAUUCAAGCACACUAUAAACAAGAAAUAAAGAGAUAGAGUUAGAGAAUUCAAACUUGAAUUUUAUAGUGGCUCGGUACUUCCUUGCCUAUGUCCACUCUCCUCAAUAUCCUAACUGAGUGAGGGUUCCACUAGCUUGAAACUUCAACCAAGCUUCCAAUCCUUUACACUUGGAUUCCAGAUCCAAUGGGCUCUUACACAAUCCCUUCAAGAUUCAAACCUCUUGAAGUCUUUAACACUCAAGUUUUAUAAGAAAGAAACCCUCAACCUAGCUCAAAGAUAACUCAAAUACAAAACAAAACUAGGAUGACUCACAAGGGUGAACUAAAAGAUAUGCAAGUGAUGGUUUUAAUGCACUAAGAAAGAAAUGAGAGCUUAUAGGUCAAGAACAAGUAGGUAGACAAUUGAUUGCAAGUGUUCUCUACUUAAUAAAUGAAGUGGAGCUCUCAAUUUAUAGGUUUCUAAGCUCGGGAGCUAAGAAAAGCAAAAGGCAGCCUUGAUUGGUCGAGCUGGGGAUUGAUCAGUUCACUAGCCGUUGGAGUAUUUAAUGUUUGGCAGGUUACCGUUGCCUUGAUCGGAGGUCGACCGGGAAGGGGUGAACCUCAACCGGGAAAAGGAAGCUACUGGAUGAGAGGGAGUGUUUUUGGAACUCCUCGACCGGACCUUGACCGGACAAGGGCAAUUGGUCGAUCGGUUCCCCAACUGGUUGAGCUGGUUGGCUAGAGCCUCGACCGGUUCAGCCUUUUGGCCCCAAAAACCUAUCCUUUUCAAUUCCUUUAUUUUCUAACACUUAGGCAAGGUUUUUAGGUAAAAUAAUAUGCCAAUUUUGAAACGUUUUGCCUAAGGUACAUUUAAUAAAACUCGGGUUUUAAUGAAAUCAAAAUUUUAAAGAAUAAACCGAGUUUUCAAAGAAGUAUGAAAAAUUAUGAAAAUCCUAAGUGCACCCAUGCAUUCAUCUUACAUUCGUUUCCUAUAAUCAAAAGUCUUCCAAUAGUCUCAAUCUUGUAUCCCUUUGGUUCUUUGAUGAAUUUCCGAAUUUAUACCCGAGAUUCUUUAUCAUUCAAAUGAAUUAGUCAUUUAACCAUGGUUUGUUAUCAUCAAAACCGGAUUGAGCGAACCCUUGGGCUAACAAUUCUUUUAAAUAUCAUUAGUUAUUUUAGUUCAUUAAUAAAUUGGUCCCAUAUUUGAAAGUUCAUAUUUUUAGUUUGCUUUAAUUUAAUUUGGUUCAUUUUAAUUAGUUUAAGUACUCUUAUAGUUUUAGUUAAUUCAUUAAUAAAAUUGAUUAUAUGUUUGAAAUUUCACAUUUCUAUUUUACUUUUAUUUAAUUUAAUUCAUCUAUUUAGUUUAGAUAAUUUCAUAAUUUUAGUUCAUUAAUAAAAUUGAUCUCAUGUUUGAAAGUUCAUGUUUUUAGUUUAGUUUGAUUUAAUUUAAUUCAUCUAUUAAGUUUAGGCACUUUUAUAAUUUUUGAUUCAUUAUCAAAAUUGAUUAUAUGUUUGAAAGUUCAUGUUUUUAGUUUGGUUUGAUUUAGUUUGACUCAUUUUAAUUAGUUUAGGUACUUCUAUCAUUUUAGUUCAUUAAUAAAAUUGAUCCCAUAUUUGAAAGUUCAUGUUUUUAGUUUUCUUUGAUUUAAUUUGGUUCAUUUUAAUUAGUUUAGGUACUUUUAUAGUUUUAGUUCAUUAAUAAAAUUGAUUUUAUUUUUGAAAGUUCAUGCCUUUAGUUUACUUUGAUUUAGUUUAAUUCAUCUAUUUAGUUUAGAUACAUUUAUAUAUAGUUUUAGUUCAUUGAUAAAAUUGAUUAUAUGUUUGAAAGUUCUUGUUUUAAGUUUGCUUUGAUUUAAUUUGGUUCAUUUUGGUUAGUUAAGAUAUUUUUAUAGUUUUAUUUCAUUAAUAAAAUUGAUCCCAUGUUUGAAAGUUUAAAUUUUUUAGUUUGCUUUGAUUUCAUGGUUCAUUUUCAUUAGUUUAGGUAUUUUUAUAGUUUUACUUCAUUAAUAAAAUUGAUCCCAUGAUUGGAAGUUCAUGUUUUUAGUUUACUUUGAUUUAAUUUAAUUCAUCUAUUUAGUUUAGGUAUUUUUAUAAUUUUAGUUCAUUAAUAAAAUUCAUCCCAUAUUUGAAAGUACAUGUUUUUAGUUUGCUUUUAUUUAGUUUGACUCAUUUUAAUUAGUUUAAGCACUUUUAUAAUUUUAGUUCAUUAGUAAAAUUAAUUCUAUGUUUGAAAGUUCAUGCUUUUAGUUUAAUUUAGUCAAACUCAUUUUAAUUAGUUUAGGUACUUCUAUAAUUUUAGUUCCUUAGCUGAAUUGAUCCCAUUUUUUUUUAGGUUUUGUUUUAAAAUCAUUAAUGUUAGUUCAUGAUCAUUCUUAUCUUAGUUUAUAUGCUUUUAAAAUCCUAGUGGUUAGUUCAUGAAUCGAUAUCUUAUUAGUUUGUCUAAUCUAAAAUGUUUUGCUUCUUGAUUUAGCAAUCCUUCAUUUAAUUUGAUUUUUUAUUUUUUAUUUAUUUAUUUAUUUGCCGCCUUAGGAAACUCAUGAAGAUAAACCUCUACUCUUACCUAUUUUGCUUGGUUUUUUAUCCUUGUGUUUUGUGGUUUAAAAAUGUAACUUUUCGCUUUUAAGAAGAAAGUAUUUUCUCAAAAUGUUCUUUAUUAAAAUGGAUUUAAAAAACUCCUAUAAUUGUUAGGGUAAAAAAAAAAUCAUUUUCUUAAAAAACAUGCAACCAAGUUUUAAUUGGUUUACACCUUUCUUUUAUUUUCAAUAAAAAUUCUACUUUGAGUGGAAUAUGAAUCCAAACUUGUGAUCCCAAAUGAAUGGGAUAAUUCUCAACUUCGAUGAGUUUUUCAAUAUUCAUGCGAAAUUGGGAAUCCAUAGGCUAAAUUUGUGUAUAUCAAGUGAGGAUUUUGUGAAACCCGUACAUAAAAUCAUUUUUCAAAACCCUUUUAUUGUCAGCUUGUUGGAUUUGUUGCAUCUCUAGAAUAAAAUUUUGAUUUGGCUAAUUUAUGAUGCUCCUAAAAUUUUUUCCCGUGGUUGUAUGAUAUUGUGAACUUCAUGAACUUGAUUUUAGAAAUUUGUUUGAAUCAAAAAUCAUAUUUCAAAUGAAAAUUAUGAAUUAAUUUUUUGGUAGGUUUAGUUUUUGCCUAAUUUUGGAUACCCGAACUAUUUUUUGUAUUUUCAAAUUACUAGAUGAAUUUGAAAAAUUAUUCUGACUUUCGUCCUUAAUUAUAGACUUCUUGAAAUUUAUUUUAUACACAUACAAUAUUAUUUUUUUUUUGCUAAUUAGGAAAAUUAAUUUUCCUUUGUUGUCCCCAUUACAUUAUCCUAAUUUUAAAUAGAGAGGGUCUUUGAUUGUUUUUAAAAUUGAUCCAUAUACUUUCUUACCUUCUUAUUAUUUUCUUGUAAAUUAGACCUUCUGAAUAUAUUUCAUGAUUUUCUUAUGAUUUUAUAGCACUUCUAGGUUUGUUAAAAAAAUCGGUUUACGUAUUCUAUUAAAUUCUAUCAUAUUCAAAACCUUUUGAUAUAUUUUUGUAAAUUGAAAUUAAUCAAGGCUUCAAUAUAUUGUUGGGCUAGUUGGAUGAUAAACUAGACAUGUAGGAGAUGUUCCUUGAAAAUUUUUGUAAUUAAAUUCAGAUUCUAGAUAUUUUCUUUUAGGAUUUGUCUACAUGUUGAAAUUUUUAUAUAAUGUUUUAUUUAUUAUUUAAUUUGGAGUUAAUUAACUAAUCAUUUCUUGAUCUUGGCUUUGGAAUUGUAUUAUAGACAUAAUGAGGAUGUUGUAUGAUAUUUUUUUUUUUUUAAAUGAUAAAAUAAUACUUCAAGAUAUCUGUUUAGAGUUUUUCAAGUGAAUGCAAUUGUUCUACCCUUUGUUGUGUGCUUUGUUCUAUCUAUAAUUUUGGUAUUUUUAAAGUUAUCUUGUACAUAGUUUAUCCUUAACAAUGAGGUGUAUGCAUGUUCUAAGUGAUAGAUGAUAUUUCUUUGGAUUCUUGUCAUUUCUUUUAAGCUAUACAUAUACCAUGUGAAUUAUGAUUCACUAUCACAAUUAUUUAUUAUUGUAAUUGUUCUAACCACCCUCUAGCUUUAUGGAAAUGCCUUGCAAGUUAUUUAUGCAAUCCAUGGACGUCCCCUCAUACUUUUAUCCCUUUAGUUUGGUAAAUAGAUAUGUUUUGUGUGUCAACAUCUUCAUAUUUGAUAUUACUUUGUUAUGUGCUAUGAUUGGUGUUUGAUUCCUUGAAUUAGAUAGACACAUGUUGUAUUUUGUAUUAUUUUUCAAACUAACUUUGAUGUUUUCAUGAAAGUGCUUUAGGUUGCAGUUUAAGUAUUUUCUUUCUCAUAUGAUUGAUUUUUGUGGUUAGAUUGUUUCAGUGUGAAUAACAUUUGUUUGGCCUUAGAUAUAAUCACCUUUGUUAUUUUUAGUAUCCACAAUUUAUCGAUUAAUUAUCGUACUUACCUCAACCUAGUCAAUAUAGACCUAUUUUUAAUGCUUAAAGGGGUGCUACCCUUAUGGUACUUUCCUAAUAGGUAACAUGGCUUUCAUCCAUACUUAGACUUUGUUUUUCAAAGACACUCUUUUUUAAAAUUAAGGAGUCGUUUUUUAGGGUUUUAUUUCUUAUUUUGUUUUCCCUUUUAAAAAUAAAUAAAAAUAAGUGGAGACUGCAUUUUUAUAAAAAUCAAUUUUUCACUACGAGAACGAGUUUCACUGUCAAGUAGGGAUGCAUGUGAAAAAUGCAAGUCCACACAUGUCUUUUCCUUAAAAAAUGAGUCACAUUAUGGCUUUAUUUCUUAUUUUGUUUUUUAAUAAAAAAUAAAGAAAAAAAAGUGGCAAUUCCAACUUUUCAAAUAUAUAUAUAUAUAUAUAUAUAGUUUUUCCUAAUAAAAACGAGUCUCAUCGUCUAGUGAGGAUGCACAUGAAAAAUAUAGAUCUACAAAAUAGUGACUCCACUAGAAAUGUUUAGAGGGUUAAACUUGAACUCAAGUUGAGGGGAAAUGUGACAUUGAAUUAAUUGAUUAGUGGAUACCCUCUCAUUGUGCCUUUGUUAUACGCUUGCAUAUUUUAGGGCAUAGGAGAGGUUAACUUGGUGAUUAUUUUGUAUAUAUUGCAUGUGCCUUACUGUAUAUUGACUAUUGUUAUUAUAUGUGUUUGUAUAUAUCUGCUCAUGUUUGUAUAUAUCUAUUUUGCAUGAUUGUGUGAUGCAUGACUACCUUCCUUCUGCAUAAUGCAUGUUUUGCCUUUUUGUGUAGGAUACACAUUUAUCCCUCUAUCUCAAACUCCUUAGCCUUGGUCGAUUUUCUCCUUUUGAUCUCGUAUUUGGUGGAUGAGACUUGGUGCCUUGUUUGUUUCUCAAGUAAGCUAGUGAUUAGGAGUAUGGUCUAGUUGUGAGCUUUAUGUAUGAUUGGGAGCAUUUAGAGCAUUGUCAUGACAUUAUCAACAUCUUGAGAUUGUCACCUCAGAGUAGAUUACAACAUCAUCAGCCUUACCACAUCAUUUUUAUUUUAUCAUAAUCCUAUUUAGUCACCUCAUCCCUACUAUCACCCCACUUUGCCACAUCAUCCUACCUCACCAUGUCAUCACUUUGCCACAUCCCUAGUGCCUUAACAUCAUUUUAUGUUGUCAUGUCAUCCUUGCCACUUUAUUCUUAUCCUAUUAGCAUUGUUCCUUAUCAUCUCAUUCUUACUGUCAUCCCCAUUUUGCCUCAUUGUCAUACUUUAUCAUUUCACCCAACAUUUUUUUUUAUGUCAUCAUCCUAUCUUGUUGCAGCAUUGUGAUGCCUUACAGAGCAUCACGGCAUCAUUGACGUCACAUCAAUAGAGGUCACCACAUCAUAGCCACUUGGAGUUUGAUCAUUGAAGACUUGUAUAACCCAUGACUAGAUUCAAGAUAUAUGUGUGACUAGUGUGUUUACUUUUUUUGCUUUAGUUUAAGAUGUUUGGAUGCACUUAUGCCACACGCUACACACAUUAGAUUGCCCUGUAUAUGUGUUAAGAGAGGUAACAUGUGCUAACUAGUAGAAAACCUUAACCAUUAGGAAACCACCCUAAGAUUUAGAGGAAGUGCAUGUGUAGAGGUAAUGACCAGCUUGCAUGGAAGCUCCUAGUCUCUUUGGAGGUGUGUAGGAGGUUUUGUACCAACAAUGAGUAUGAUUGCUCCUACUAGGUACCUUUGAUCCUACCUUUUAGAGUCACCUUUACCUUGUAGAAUGAGAAUUAGAUCCUUGGACCUAGGAUACCUACCCACACAUAGGUGCAUUCAUGUAUAGGAAUUUGAUAACAACAAUUUUGCAUCAACAUUAGAGUUCCAUUAACAUAGAUUAGUUAUAUUAUCAUCCUCUUUACUCUUUAUUUGUUGGAUUCAAUUAGUCAAUCUUCUAGGUUAUACAUUCAUCGAUCUUGUAUAGUCUUAUUCCCUUUAGAAUUUUUUCAACCUGAAUAUGUUGUAUAUAAAAAGGAUUUACAUUUUUAAAUGUAUUGUCAUUGUUUUAGGUUUUUGUACAUUGAUGCGAAUCAUGGUAACUUAGCUUUAAAGGCGUAUCAACAAAAUUUAUACCUUGAAUACUAUUACUAAAGUAGCCAAGCUACUAUAGCAUAGUGGUUCUAGGAUCGUUCACUGGGAAGGGUUUUCACAAACACUAGUGAUAUUCAAAUUAGGAAAAUAGGUGAUUUUCUUAUGGAUGUUAGCUUUAAAAGAAUAUGUAAAUGUUUUAGAAAGAUUUAAACUAAUCUAAGCUAACAUUAAAGACUAAAAUGAAAGGGUGUAAAAACAAGUUUCUCAAAGAUAGGAUAGCUAUGCUCUGGCUCUUAUGCAAAUUGGAAAUCUCAGGAUAGGCUCCUCGCGUUGGGGUUGCAACUAUGGUGAUGCUUGCUUCCCGAACCGGUAUGGAUUUAGCAAAUCAAGUUUUAAUCCUUUAAAAUAGCAAAACAGAUGGUAGUGAAUUUCAUCAAUGGUUAUUCACCUUAGACUUCCUUUGAAUGGCUCGUAAGAGAUAACUAAUGGUCUAAAGCUAAAAGCUUACCAAAUAUUGGCAACUCAAAGUCAUUCCAGGUGAUAAACUCACCUUUCAAUGGCCAUUGAAAUUGGUUCUAACGGAUUAAUGCAAAACUUGGAAUUGAAAACCUCACCUUCCAAUAGCUCGUAGGAGAUAACUAAUGGAUAGAAAUCCAAAAGCUUAUCAAGUAUUGGCCGUUGGAAGUUGUCCAAAGGAAAUAAAAACCAAACUUUGAAUUAAUGAACCAUUAAUGAAAAAUGACUACCUUACCUUCCAGGUGCGAGAACCAUGGGAUUGCAUCCAAGCCAUCACCUAACAUCCAUACUUUGAGAAACUAAAAGUUUUAGCCAAUCAUCCUCUGAGGAAAAGCCCUCAGAGGCUGUUUGGCUACUAAGAAAAUAGAAAUGGGGAAGAACAGGAGAAAAGAGAAAAACUGAGCUUUAUAUAUUUCUAAGUAAAUGUACAGAGGAUCGAUCCCUAAAUCAUCCAAUAUCUUUUGGAGGCGUUGUGCACCUCUAUAUAUAACAAAAUUACAAGAUAAAGCCUUAUGUCGGCUGAAUACAAGGUUACAAAAGGAAUUUACACGAGAAAAUAUCAAGGCUAAAAAUAUCUGGGAAGUCGGUGGUGCGUGCGUGGAGAAACAGAGGAUUUCAAAGGCAUUUCGCAAGGUGCCUAAAUCCACCUUGCAAAAUUUCGCAAGGUGCUUUCUUCAUGGUGCGUAAUGGCCAAAUUUCGCACCAUGAAGAAAAUCUCCUUGCGAAAUGGUGUUCCCAUGGCUUGAUGCAGUUGUCUUCCGAAGGCCAUAUCUUCCUCAUUUCAACUCCAAAUCAUACACGGUUUGAAGAGUUGGAUUCUUGACUUCCUGAGCUUUGAAAUGGUAUAUAGCAUAUAGAAAAUGGACUUCGGAAAGUACUCCAAAAGUUCGAAAGAAGACUGCAGCUGCUGUCCUCUAUUUUCUUCACUCUGUUUUCCUCUUCUCCAUUGUUCUUUCCUUGCAUACUUUGAACAACUUUAGCAAAGGGCUAUGGAGCUCCAAAGCUUGGUUCAUUUGUGCUCGUGUUUCCACUUGAAAUUCAAGUAUGUAAACUUCCAAAAUCCUUGCUUUAACUUGUCCAAGUAGCUCCUCCAUCAUUUGGCAUGCUUGAAUUGAUUCAUAAGCUGAUAAAAACAUGUAAACUUGCCACAAAAUGGUUAAAACCAAUUACUAAGGACCUUAAUGAAUUAAUUGGGUUAAAUGAAUAUGAUUACUACUCAAAGGAGCUUAAAACCAUUAUAAUUAGGUCUACAAAAUAGCACUUUUUGGUAGUAAUCAUACAUUAAGUGUAGCAUUCUAGGAUAUGUUAUUUGACAUUUUUUGACCUAAGUCUAGGGUUUUGUGUUCUCUGGUUCAUUGAUAGGUUCCUUAAGUGACUCGUGUUAGUUAGAUUUUUUGAGACCUAGCUGGCUUCUUCUUGGUGAAAUGGUGGGGCGUUUGUCAAAGUUGGUGUGACUAUUUAUUUUUGUUGCAUCAAAGCUAUCCGUCUUGGUUAUUAAGUCUAUGUUAGUCUUGUGGUAUAGUUAGAGUUUGUAUUCUUUGUAGAUUGUUUUGACCUGUUAGUAUCUAUUUCUACUAUGGAUGUACAUUGAUCAUUAGACUCGACCUUUUUCAUUGAAUAUAUGUUUGUCUUAUGGUGCAUGUGUUAGACUUUUGAUAUGUUGCAUAAUUCACUUCCAUAUCAUGAUUAUUGGGCCUAACCCAUCAUAGAGAAUACUGAGCCCAUUAACCUAGGACUAAAGGAUCGACUUAGGGAGCUUAAGAUUGGGGCUCAUUUGUCUUGUGAUCAGAGUUGUACCUUAUUCACUUCCAUUUACACCUUGACCUUACAUCCUAUCUAUCUUGAGUCUUGCUCAACAUUUACCCCUUGACACCAUCACAUGACCUUUACAUCCUUUCUUAUCAUAGCUUAUACAACAUCAUCUACAUGGACAUUGUUUCAAUCUAUUUAUUUGUUCUUUGUACUUGAGACUGAUUUUAUGAGACAAGAAGGGUGGCUUACGAUGAGCAAAGUGGUCGAUUGCACAAGAUCAUUGACUAUUCUAUGGUUGAGAGAAGCAUCUUGAGAUUGUUAUAAAUCAUUAAGAAAUGGGAUAUUUAUGCAUGAUUUUAGAGGGAUGGAAUGCCUACAUUUUGAUAUUCUACACCAAUCUGUAGUGUUGACCAUGUGAGAGUUUAAGAGCAUGAUGUUUGAGGUUUUGACCAGGGAAUGAGUGUCAUCAUUUCAUGAGCCUACUUAUCUAAUCAUGUUGAUGUUCAUGCUAUGAUUCCUAGUGAAAAAAAUGGAGAAAAAAAAAAAAGAAAACACACAAAUUUAAUAUGGUUCGGCAGAUUGCCUGCGUCUAUAGGAACAAAGAAGAAGACUUUCACUAUAUCUCAAUUAGGUUUACAAAAAAGGGUAUUUAUACUAACCCUCAAGUAUUGGAAUUCCUUAAACCAUAUGCCUCUCCUUCCCCCCCCCCCCUCCCCCCCGCAUUCACUCCCCUCAUUCCACUCUACUUCACUCUGGCAUUUGCCCCUUUCUCCAUAUGUCUUUCACUCAAUAUGAGCCACAUACUACAACAAAUCACCUUUGUGUAUAAAGUUACCCUUUGCUAGCCAAUUAAGUCAUGCAUAUUUAGCCUUUUGAUUCAUCACCUUGCUUACCUCAUUUCUCAUACCUAUGGUUAGGGCCUCUUGGCACAUCUUUGCUUAUAGAUAGGAUCGCCUAGGUUGUGGGCUCCUUAGGUGAUUCAUCUUUUGUAUUCAUUAUGUUUGUCUUGAUCAUUUGUAUUAUUUUAGUCGUACAUCUUCUCAAUACUUGUUGUACUUAUUUGAGUCAUUGUUCAUUAUUCCGUCAUUAUGAGUUCAUAUAUGUACAUACAAGUUAGCCUUCUUGUACAUAUAUUGAGAUUUGUAUAGGUUACCUUAGGAUCCUUGUACAUGAUUGCCUUAAUUCAUUGGUUUGAUUAUUGUUAAAAAGAAAAAAAAAAUUAUGAUGUUAGUCUUUGUUGGCGGCUUGUGUGAUAGUUUUGAUCAUUUCAUUAUAUAUAGCCAUCUCAUCUAUACAUCUAGUUAUGAUUGAGUUGUGGGUUUUAUCCCUAACUAUGACAUGUUGCUUCUCUUGUACUCAAUUACACUUUUUAUUUAGAGUUUUAUUCUCAUUCAUCUUGGUUAUGUUCUUUUUUGCUUAUAUAUCGAGUCAUCAUUCAUUAGCAUUAUUUGCUUUACCUCUAGCCAUUGUAUUAUUCCUUUGAUUUCUUGAGCCUAUUUUAAGUCUCACCCUCGUCAUUUCCAUUUCUUUGAGUUAUUCAUGUGGAUGGUUGGUAUUUGUGUAGUUCUUAUCUUGGAUUUGUUUUUCUUUUCAUUGAUUUCAUCUUUUCAUUCAUUAUCAUAUGAAUCAUAGUGUAUUUUUUUUUCAUUCAUUUAGUUAUCUGUAUCAUAAAGCAUAUGUGAGGUUUAUAAUCUUUGAGUUUCUUUAUCUGUUACACUGUGUAUGCUAAAGGCAUGGGGAUUAUAUCAUUAGGAUUACUGAGCUUAAUUUCCCUUUGUUUCUUUUACCUUAUUACCUUAGCUUAAAUUACAUCCUGGGUCUUAAGACCACCUUGGGACCAUGACAUCAUGCAUUAUGCUUGAUAUCUCACACAUGGGUGGCAUUUGAGAUUGGUUAGAGAUCAGUUCAAGUAAUAUGGAUGAGAAACUAUGAGAGGAUUUACACUAAGGCCUAACCUCUCAACAAUUAUUAAUUUUCGAUAUGAUACCUUAUACUAGGGCAUAGCCAUUUCAUUCUCUCUUAUGGAGAAUGAUAGAUCAGGAGUCACUUAAAUUCAUAUCGACAUAUAUCCAUUUUUGAGAUAUAAGAUAAAGUUUGAUUUUGAUUAGACAAUUUACACUAGGGCAUAGCCAUCUCAAGGAGUUUAUACUAGGUCAUAACCCUCUUAUUGGUGCUUAAUUUUUUAGAUAAUAGCUUAUAUUGAGGCAUAGUCACUUCAUUCAUUCUCAUGGACCGUGAUACAUAAGGAGUAACUUGGAUUCAUAUAGACAUAUAUCCAUUUUUUAGAUUUGGGAUUGAGUUUGAUUUUGAUUUGACAAUUUACACUAAGGCAUAAUGACCGAACUUCUCUAUUGUACCAAAAUACUUAGCCUUUUUACGUAGUAACUCUGAUUAAGAAAAACUAGAGAAAGAGUCACUAUGGAUUUUGUAGUAUUCCGGGUAUCGUCCUCAAGGACUAGCUUAUGAAAAUUGUCAAUACUAGAAUAAAUGAAUUGUUUUUGUUUAAAUCUUAAAGUGAAAAAAAAUAUGUGAAUAAUGCGAAACUAAGUAAAAGAAAUUAAAUUAAUAAAAAAAUGAAUAUUGAUUUUAAAUUCAAUUGAUUCAAGUUUGGGGUUUUCCACAAUCCAACCUAGGGUAUAGAAAUUAGAGAAAACAAGGGUCUUUUAAGUAAUAUGAUCUUAGGGUUUUAGGAUCCUUGGCCGCUCGCGAUCAAGUUGAGUUCUAUAACUCAAAAUUGCAUCCGAAACCUAAUUUUUCCUUUUUAAAACAGAUUCCUAAAACCAUCAAAUGAAUGAGAUUGAUUACCAAUUUAAGAUUUGGAUUUUUAACCCUUCCUACUCCUUAUAGCUUUAUUUAGGGGCAAAUAACGGUAGGAAAGAUGAGGAUAACUAAUGAUCAAGAAUUACCAAGAAUCACUAGUAUCAGGUAAUAACCUACUGUAUCAUUCCCUAAAUGAACUCACAAGGAUAGGAUAAAAAAAAUGAUAAAUUGUCACCCAACCAAUAAUUAUUCUCAUUGUUAUAAUAAUUUACCCAUUGUCCUUAUAGGUUUCCUAACCCUUAGGUUUUCAUGCUUCAAGCCCCAAGUUGGCUCUUAGCCUCUCAUGGGGGUGAUGUCACAUUCUCAAUCCAUAAUAGGGUAAAAAUCCAUAAUUUGAAUCAAAAGAAACUAAAAACAAUAUAUUUUAUAAAGAGGAAAAAGAAAACAAACCAAAGUUCUCGUCUUCUUCCACCUUCAAUGUUAAGUUCUCCGAAAAAAAAUCCAAGAUCCCUAAAACCUAGAAUUGAGAGAGUUUAUAUAAUAUCGUCAAUUACCUAACAUGUGGCACACUCUCAUUGGCCACUUAUUACAAAAUCAUUUCCUAAAAAUGAUUAAAAAAAUAAUAAAAGGGUGAUUUCUAGUCAUGUGGGGUCCACUUAAGGCGGAUGGAGUGCCCUAGAUGCAAUUCCCAAGGUAGAGAAGGCAAAACAUCAAAGUGACAGUGGGUGAAUUCGAAAUUGGUGUCAUUUCAAAGUGGAUUUCGAAUUCAUAAGUUGAAUAGAUGCAAUUCCUGAGGUAGAGGAGGUGGAACAUCAAAGUGGCAAUGGGUGAAUUCGAAAUUGGUGUCAUUUCGAAGUGGAUUUCGAAUUCAUAAGUUGAAUUUUGAAAUCAUUUCGAAAUGACCCUUCAGCUUGGUGCAGUUGUCUUCAAAUGGCCAUAACUUCUUCAUUUCAGCUUCGAUUUGCAAACCGUUUGAAGCGUUGGAUUCUUGACUUCCCAAGAUUUGAAAUAAAAAAUAGAAUGUAUACAAUGGACUCUAGUAAGUUCUCUAAAUUUUUCCUCAAAAUCAGAGUAUAUAAUUCCAUCAGAUUUUUGAGUUCUAAAUUUCCAUGCAGCUGAAUCUUGCUUCAUGCCUCAUUUCCCAUGUUUUCUUGCCUUAUUUCUUACUCCAUAAUGGUCAUUUCUCAUCUUCCAAACUCAUGAUAUCCUCGUCUUUCCUUUCCUUACGGUCCAUGAGUCUUGACUCACUUAUUUCCUCAUUUAGCCCUUUCUUGAUCUUUCAAAAUCUAAAGUGAUUCAACUUGCACCAUUUUCUUCCCUUGAACCUGAGAUAAGUCUCCAAAGUACAAAUUAAACUCAUGACUAGGGCCUUAGCAUCUAUUUAGUUCAAGUUAGGUGAUUUGAAUGUCUUUUUGUGCACAAAUCAUAUAGAAUAUGUGCCAUUAGAGCACAUAUUUUGGCUCCAAUCACAUAGCCACCUUAGAAAGUUUAUAUUGGUGUAUAGCCCUCUCAUUGAUGAUUGAUUUUCAAGAUGAUAGUUUAUACUAGGACAUAAUCACUUUAUUCCUUCUCAUGGAGCAUGAUGGAUUAGGAGUCACUUGGAUUCAUAUUGACAUAUAUCUAUUUUUGAGACCUAGGAUAGAGUUUGAUUUGAUUUGAUGAUUUAUACUAGGGUAUAGCCACCUUAAAGAGCUUAUACUAGGGCGUAGCCCUCUCAUCAAUGAUUGUUUUUUUAGAUGAUAUCUUAUACUAAGGCAUGCCUUCAUUCCAUCUCAAUAAGCAUGAUGGAUUAGGAGUCACUUGGAUUGAUAUUGACAUAUAUCCAUUUUUGAGAUAUGGGAUAGAGUUUGAUUUUGAUUUGACAAUUUAUACUAAGGCAUAACCACUAUGCUUGAUUCCCUACACUAGAGCAUAUUCGUCUUUUAGAGGAGAUUUGAAACUCCCUUCACAUUAUAGUAUGAAGAUACUUUAGGGAGUAAAAAUCUAUCUUGAUGAGAUUGUGUAUGUUACAACAUAACCAUUCUAGAUAUUAACUUGCACUGAGGCUUAACAUUUUAGACGUUACCUUAUAUACCAGGGCAUACUCCUUUUAUCAGUGUUUGAUUUUGAAGAUGAUUAAUUUGUUUUGGCCUUACCCAUUUUUACUCAAUAUAUUCAUGUUGGGGCAUAACCCACUCAGUUGGCGAUUGAUUAUUUUUUGAAAUGGCAAUUUAUAUUGAGCAUGACUACUCUGUUUGAAUCCCUACAUUGGGGCAUAACCAUUCUCUUGAAGGUGAUCAGACAUUCUUUUCAUAUUGGAGUAUGAAAGAUGGUUAAGAGAUAUUGAUUUGAUGUCUUUUAUAUUGGGGCAUAACCAUUUGAGGGAGUAUUUAUACUAGGGUAUGACUAUCUUAUUGAUCUUCUAGGACAUUGGAAUUCGACCACUUAAUUAAGGUUUUAUAUAGGUUAUAAAGAUGAUGAUGCCUUGGAUUCGGUCUUCUCACCAUACCUGGUCUGAUUUAGAUACUAUCGUAUAUUUACUUCAUACCAAAACACUCCAUUUUUUCUAUAUCUUCACACUUAUAUCUUGUAUUCAAUCCAUCCAUAUCAUUCCAUCAUGAUGUAUAAAGUUAUUUUGCUUCCAGAUCAUAGGAGCAUGUAAACUAAUCAUGAGUUUCCUAGUCAAACUUUCAUGUGCCUUUUGGAUACUGAAUUUAACAUCUUCCAUGAUGGCAAGGCUUGACAGAUUGUCGAUUGUUUGUAAUGUUUUUCAUUUGAUAGUCUACAUGUCAUGGCAUGACUUGGUGCAUAUUUAGACUUAGAGCUUUAGUUAUCUUUGUUUUUGUCCAUCAUUUGGUUUUAUUUUGAUAACAUGGUCCCAAGACCUAUAGUCCUAUUUAGCUUUUUUAAUUGAAGAUUAGACAUUUUCAUCUUAUUAUCAAUGAGUGCAUCCUAGUGUAUGUCUUUGUUCGUGCCACACCCUAAUUAUCCGACUUUUUUUAUAUUUUCUGUUAAUGUCACGCCUCGACUAUUCGACCUCUUUUAUGUUUUCUUAAUGUCAUGCCCUGAAUAUUCAACCUUUUUUUGUCUCUAUUAGUGUCAUGCUUUGAUUGUCCAACUUUUUCAUGUUUUUUUAGAGCUAUCUUGAUUGUCCAAAAUUUUCAUGUUUUCCUAAAUUCGAGCCCUGACUGUCCAACUUCUUUUAUGUUUUCCUAGAUUCGCACCCUGAUUGUUGGGUCUUCCUUGUGUUUCCUCUAAUGUCCAUGCACUGAAUACAUGACCUUUUUUAAUUUUUAUUUUAUUAGCCUUGAUUUUUUUCUCUAAUCAUUAGCUUCUUCUCUUUUCUUCUUCAUUCUCUUGUUCACCCAUUCAUUCCCCCCUUUGGAUAGUAAGGUCCUUAGUGUUUCACAUAGAUAUUGUCACUACCUUGUUCAGAAGAGUCUCCCUUAAGAUCCACGUAGAUAUUGCAUGUUUCUCUACUAGUAGAUCAAUGAGCACAUUUCAUAACCUUAGAGAGCUUGUGUCUUAUUGGGACAAAUUUGGUGAUCUUUCUUGUACUUUAGUAGAGCCCACUUUGUUUGGUUGGUUUAUACACUUACUUCACUUGUGAACUCUUCUAAAAAUGGACAUAUUUGUAGAUCCCAAAAUUUUCCCUAAGCCUAUUCUCACUUUUUAUUUUAUUUUAUUAUUUUAUUAUUUUAUUUAUUUUAUUUUAUUUUAUUUUUACUUUAUUUUUUUCUUCUUUUCUUUUUCUUUUUUUUUGUUCCUUUCUUGUUUUUCACCUUUUUUUUCUCCCACACACAUGCAACUACAGAACCUUUCCCCUUCUUAUUUUUCCCUCUUCCUUCUCUUUUCUUUGCUUCUUUCUUUUUCCUUCCUUUUUGUUUUUCUUUCUUUUCUUUCUUUUUCUCUCUUCUCUCUACCCACUCUCACUCCCAAACCCAUCUCUAGCCAUCAUCUACCUUCCUCCUCUUUCCCUUGUCUUAUUUAUUCUCCUUUCAUUUUUCUUCUUAUUACCCAUUUCUCUCUCUCACCUUGAAGAUCCAUAACCAUGGCUGCCCCAUACUCAACACUCUCACCACUAGACAGUUGCCAUCAGUGAGCCAUUAUUUGUCUGUGAUCCAUUUUCUCCCUUUGUUUCUCUCUUUUCUUCAUUUUUUUCUUUCUCUUAUCUCACCCAUUUUCUUUUAUUUAUUAUUAUUACUAUUAUUAUUAUCCCAUUCUUUCCUCUUAUCCCUUCUUUCCAUAUUGCAUUCAAGAAAUGGGUAAGAUGCCCUUUUUCAUUUUCUUAUUUCUUUAGUCAUUUUAUUUUUUAUUCAUAAAGUAAUUGUUCUUGAUUGUUGAGUUUGCUUGUUUGGACUUUAGAUAAUUUUGCUUGGAAUUUGCAUAUUAGAUGUUGAUCUUCUUUUAGACUUUAAUAAAUUAAGUUAUCCAAAAAUCUUCUUUUAAAAAAAUAAAAUAGGUCGAAUAAGAUAUUUUCAUUAAAUAAGAAAAAUGGACCCAAAAAUAAGUUUCUAGACAUCCUUUUUAGAUAAAAUAGUCGAAAAAUUUUAUUUUAAUAAAAGAAAUAAUUCAUAAUUUUAAAAUAAAUAAAUAAAUAAAUAAAAAGUUCACAAAUAUUUUUUCAAAUAAAAUAAAAUAAAAAUAAAACAAUCCAGUAAUCUUGUUUUAAUGCAAUAAUAAUUCAAUAAAUAUUCUUUUUAAUAAAAUAAAGUUUUUUUUUAAUAGAAACUUUAGAAAAAAAUAGUUUUUUUUAGGAAUCUUUUUUUUUUUUAACAAAAAUUCAAAAAAAAAUUGAAUAAUAAACGAUCUAGAAAUUUAUUUGUUUAACAAAAUUUUCUAAAAAAAAAUUUGAUUUUUAAAUAAAAUUGUCCAAAAAGUUAAUUUUAAUAAAAUCGUCCAAAAAUUGAUUUUUGAAUAAAAUUCUCUUUCCUUGAUAAGAAUGGGAUUUAAAAUAAUUUUUAUAAAUAAAGGUCUUAAAGAAUUUUUUUUAAAAAAUAAGAAUAGGAUAAGUAAACCUUUAAAUUGAACUGAAAGACAACCCCCCCCCCCCUUUUUUUUUUUUUUAAUAAAUUGGUAAACUAAUCUCUUUCUAGAUGAAAUCCAAAAAUUCUUUCUUAAUAAUGGAAUCCUUGGGAAUAAAUUUGUGAAAAAAAUUUUUCUAAAUAAACUAGUAAGAAUCUUUUUCUAGGUAAAAUAAAAAAUAUAUAUAUUUUUAAUAAAAUUGGGUUGAACCUUAUAACCUUGUAAAUAUCUUUCUUUAAGUUUGUAAAAAAAAAAUUUAAAUAAAUAAAGAUUGAAUCAAAACACUUUUUUAAACAAAUUAGUAAAAUUCACGCCUUCUUAAUAAGGUAAACAAAAAUAAUUUCUUGUAAGUCAAAUAAAAUCUUUUGUAAUAAAUUGAAGCCUUGUGAAUAAAUAAAUUCAAAUCAUUAAUUUGAAAUUGUUGUUAAUAUAAAUGGAUUCUUUGAAAAUUUUUGGAAAUUGUAUUAUGAUAUUUGAAAUAAUAAAAUCUUUCUAAUAAAUUAUUUUGUGCAUUUCUUAUGUAUCAUUUUUGCAUAUCUUUAUAAUUUGUUUUUGCAUUAUUCUAUGUGCUUGUAUUAUUCUUUUUUUCAGUAUCCAUGAUUAAUUAAUUAAUUGUCAUAAUUGCUUUUUACAUGCUUAGUAAAAACCUUUUUAAGGCUUAAAAGGGUGCUACUAUGGUACCUUCCCAAUAGAUAACUUGAUCUUUGGAUUCAAACUCAAUUUUUGACGACAUGUCUUUCUUUAAAAAUGGAGCUACACUAGGGCUUUAUUUCUUAUUUUAUUUUCUUUUAAAAAUAAACAAAAAUAAGUGACAACUCCACCUUUUAAAAAAAAAAAAAUCAGUUUUUUACAAUAAAAAUAAGUCUCACCAUCAAGUAGGGAUGCACAUGAAAAAUGCGGGUUCACAAUUGUAUUCCUUAGGAUUAAAAUAUAAUACAAUUAAUUAGAUGGAUGAUAACGUCAAAUUCAGGAUAGCUUCAUAUUUUUUCCUUUAACUGAAGAUUAAAAUAAAAAGUAAAGUGAUAAUUUUUAAGAUGUAAAAGUUUUAUUAAACAUGAAAGAACUAUUGUGUAAAUAGAAAUAGAAUUAUAGAAUUCUUAUAAGAAAUAACAUUUUUAUGACUUUUAUAUGAAACCUUUUUUAAAAGUUAGAAGUUUUUUUUAAAAAAAUAAUAAUAAUAAUAAUUAAAUAGGUAUAAAAACUUUUAUUCAACUUUUUUUUUUUUAACUCUUACAAGUCAAUCCAAAUAAAAUUUAAACAUAUUUGAAAAUCAUUUUUAAAAAUCCAAAAAAUCACUUAAAAAUAAUUUCUGAACUUUUUUAAAUUUACAUUUAAAUACUAAGUGAUUCUUUUAAAAAUCAUAAUUUUUUUUACGGAUAAAAAUAUUACAAAUAAAAAACAUUUUAAUCACAAUAAAUUUAUCUUGAAUUCAUGAAAUUUCAUUUAUUGUUAUUUAUUUUUUGGGAUUUGAUUCUUUACAAUUAUUUUUGAGUGUUUAUAAAGUAUAAUUAGGUUAUGCCCAAAUUUAUUCCUAUAACUCUAUCCAUCAAAUAUAAGUAGCGUGAAAUUUUGGCCUGUCUCCACCUUUCGUCACUUCUGACAUUGUCAUGCACUGCUUCAUCAACUCCAAACACAACUGCUGAGGAUAGAAGAAAAUAAGACAAUGGAAUGUCAGCUAGAAUAAAAUGAAAGUUUAAUCAUUUAAUCUUUUUUAGCACAGCUUUCCUGCCAACUUAACAUAUUGACAUGGACUUGGACAGUACCGUCAAUUGCAGCAGCUUAGUUAACUGUAAGUGUCUUUUCUCUAAACCAUAAAUUCAAAUGAUCAACUCCUACGUUUUAAUUUACAAAAGCCAGUGAUUUGAAUUUAAGGAAGCAGGAAAGGGUUUACUUGAAUAUAAAAUAAAAAAAAUAAUAAGAGUUGAAAAGUAAUCAAAUCACUAAAAAGACAGAUUUGGAGUUCUUUUGCUAUGGGGUUAGACUCAAUUUGUUCCCAUGCAAUGGAAAUGGACGAUUUUCUUUAUCUUGGUAUAGAUCUUGUAAUAUUUUAUAAAAAUAUAAAUUAUAUGUCAAUUAUUUUAACUUUCGGAAAAAGCGCUUAUUUUAAUUUAAAAUAAAUAAAUAAAAAAGAAUUGAUUUUAUCUCAAUUGUAUAAGACUUCAUAAAAAUUAUCUUAUUUGCAAAAUAUUUUCAGAUGUAAAAGUAAAUAUUAAACAAAGCAUUUGAUGAUCUUUUCCAUAAGUAUCCAUUUAGAUCAUAAUCUAAUUUUAAAAUAUUAGAAUAAAUCAAUUACUCUAAACUAUAUAAUUUAUAAUUUUUUUAUUAUUAAUAUGGUACCUAACCUUCCACGGAAUUGGAAUAAAAUAUGGAUAAUUAAAAAAUGUCAACUAUCCCAUUUCAAACUUUUCUAAUACAACAUGAUAUUUUAUCAUGUUGAAUGAAAUGGGAAUGACCAAAUAUUCUCAAAUCAAAGCUAUAUCUAUUGUGGACAUUGUCUUUUUAUAUUGAAAUGAAUUAAGGUUGAAACAGGAACACAAUGUCAAAUUCUUUUUUUAUAAUCAAAGACUUCCAUGGAAAAUUCCACCAUAGCAUAUCUUAAAGAUUAGUCAAAUUCCAUUAUCUUUAUAGGCUUUUAACAAUCCAAGAAAUUGACAUUAAUAAUCCCAAACACAAUAUUCUGCAACUUUACAUUAUUAUUUUUAUCGUAAUUGAAAAGGAAUACAAACUUAGUCAAACAGAAAAUAAAUCACGAAAGCUAAAUAAUACAAAUAUUCAGUGAAAUCCUUGGCAUGUUAUUUCUUUGCAGCUUCAACAUGGUGGCAUGUCGGAUGGAGGAGGCAGCAUUUGAGCUUCUGGGUGUUUACCAUUUUUCACUAUGAACGCAGUUUCCAUGCCCCAAGUCAGAUGGCGUUCUAUAUGGCAGUGCAUGAACCACACUCCUGCAACAGAGAAAAUAUACCAACGUUACACCUAACUUAAUUGUAAUAUUAAGAAAAAUUAUUUCAUUGGUAUGCAGGUUGGUAGUUUCAAGGGUUUUUUUUCUUUAAUAGAGGACAUGAGUGCUUGCAAUAUACCAGGGUUGGAUGCCUUGAAUCUGAUUGCAACCCAACCAUUCGAAGGAACAAAGAUGGUAUUCUGAAGGGGAGGAUCCACCAGAUUAUACCGCAAAGGGUCUCUAUUUCCAUCGAAAUUCCCAAAUCCCCAUCCAACAACAUAGAAACUGUAUCCAUGGAGAUGCAUGGGGUGGUGUGUCUUUGCAAGCACGGCUGUCCCUUGAAGAAUAAUCUCCACUGUGGAGUUAUACUCGAGCACCCUUACUUCUGUCCCGCUGCUCGACAACUGAUAGGUUAAUGGAAGAUAAUCAUAUGUAAAAUCGAACACCAGUGGUGGAAAGCUAGGAAAGUUAUUUCCAUAUACACCACUGAUGUUAUAAUAGUAAGCUUCUAGUAUGUCAAUUAUAGGCGAAUGAAAGCUUAUGUUGUUUAUACUUGAGGAGAAUCACGUCCCAUUGGGCCCUGCACAUGAAUCAUUGAUGCAUGGGUAUGAGUUCAUAGAAAGAGUGUAAAACAGGUUAGUGCUCAUGCUCAAUGGGACAUUGCAAGGAUGUUCCGCAUCUGCUAAGCUUCGAAGGCCGGCCAUGACCUGAACCGAUGCCUUUGUGUCAUUGUAUGCAGGAAGAUCAGGUGAGGAGGGAGGUGAAGAUGGUGUGUAGUAUCCCCUGUACUGUACAAUAGCUGUGGUGGUUGUGUUAUCAUAAAAGUCUCAAUAUUUUGGGGCAACAGAAUAAGUUAUAGACGUCAUGUAAUAGUGAUCCGGGCGUUGGUUAGCUUCUAGUAAGACAUCAUAGGUUUGGCCAGGAAAUAUUGUGAUAUAAUCUCGUGUCAAUGGUUUCGUGUAGCUACCAUCUGUUCCAACCACUGUCAUUUUAUGCUUGGCUAUGGCGAAGAAGAGAGCCUUGUGCAAGGCAGCAUUGAUUAUGCGAAGUAGAUAGGUCUUUCCAUGAUCCAUUGUUAGCUUGAAUGUGC